rnacentral:lncRNA from 1 species
UUCGGAGCAUGUCUGUAAGUAUACGGGUUGUAAGGUGAUAAAAGUGAGGCCCCUUUCAGAAGAAGAGGCAUUGAUACUAUUCUUGAGUAAAGUUGGACCUAACAUAGUUCAAUGUCCAACUAUAAUGCCAACUCUGAAGCUUGUUGUCAAGGAAUGUGCGGGUCUACCUCUUACAAUUGUCAUGGUAGCUGGUACCAUGAAAGGAGAAUAUAACCCUCGUAUUUGGAAAAAUGCACUCAAAGAUUUGAAAGAGAGAAUAGGGAAAGUGGAAGGAGUGGAAGCUGAGGUAAUCGAGCGCUUGAAAUUCAGUUUCGAUCACUUGAAAGAUGAGAAAGUAAAAGAUUGCUUCUUGUAUUGUGCAUUAUAUCCUGAAGAUUAUGAAAUUCAUAAGGUUGAACUAAUCGAGUGUUGGAUUGCUGAGAUAUUCAUAGACGAGAUGGACACAAGACAAGAAAUGGAAGAUAAGGGCCUUACUAUUUUGAAAAGGUUGGAAGAUAACUGCUUGUUGGAAAAUAAUACCACUCAAUUUGGUUUAAAUGGUAUAAAGAUGCAUGAUGCAGUGAGAGACAUGGCAUUGUCGAUCACAAGAAUGAAUCCUCGAUAUAUGAUACAAGCAGGUUCGCAAUUAGAAGAGUUACCGGAAAAGGGGCAAUGGAGUCCGGAUAUUGAGAAAGUGUCACUUAUGUAUAACUCCAUAUCAGAAAUUUCCAUAGAUGUGCUGCCCACAAAAUGUCAACUGCUCACAACCUUGUUAUUGCAGCAUAACCCUAUAAAGAAGAUUCCAUAUUCUUUCUUCUUAAACAUGCCCUGUCUUUGUGUCCUAAAUUUGUCCUAUACAGAGAUCGAGAGUUUACCAAAUUCCAUCUCUGAACUAAAGAACCUCACAACAUUGUUGCUUUGUGAUUGUGAAGAAUUAAGAGAUCUACCAUGUCUUUCGAUGCUUCAAGAAUUGAAGAAGUUGGAUCUAAGUUGGACUAAAAUUGAGGAAGUCCCUGAAGGAAUGGAUAUGCUGAUAAAGCUAAGAUAUCUUGAUCUUAGAGUGCACACUCUGAAAGAGAUACCCGCUGGACUUUUACCAAAACUCGUUCACCUUCAACACUUGGGUUUUUAUGAGAACAAUGAAAAAACAAGUCUAAAAGCAGAGGAGUUGGAACCAUUGAUGAAGUUGGAAUGCUUUACCGGACGUUUCGAAGAUAUCAAUGAAUUCAAUAAGUUCAUCUCCUCAAUGAAACUAAGUAAGAAAAAUCUCAUCAAGUACCAUUUACAGGUGGGCUCAUCUUUUAUGCUUGCUACAAGAGAUAAAACAGUAACAAUUGGAGGAGUCCAGAAUUGGGAAGGUGAGUCAAUUAUGCACCCAAUUGAAAUUCAACAGUUGAAUAUUUCAAGUUGCAACUAUUUGAGAAACUUAGUCGAUGAUAAUUCUUCCUUCAAAAAAGUGAUUGGCUUGAGGGUUUGGGUUUGUGAAGGGAUAGAGUGUGUUGUUUCCCUGUCCUCUUUUGCCUCUUCUUCCACUCAUCCAUUUCAAAGCCUCGAGGUGUUAGAUCUUGGAGAUCUGCCAAAGUUGAGUGCCCUUAUUAUGAAAGAUGCAGGAAUUGGUUCAGCAACAACAUCAACAUCGGCUCCGUCUGCCACCUUUUCCCAUCUUAAGGAAAUUAGGAUAUACAAAUGCCCAGGUAUGAAGACGUUGCUUCCACAUUGGUUGCUUCCAAACCUCCAAAGCCUGGAAGAAAUACAUGUGGGUGCUUGUAGUCAGCUAGUAGAAAUAUUGGGAGCAGCAACAUCAAAAGUUGAAGAAAAAGAGAGUGAUGCAUUAAUCAAAUUCCAUCUUUCCAAAUUGAGAGUAUUGAGACUAAAUAAGUUACCAAAUUUGAAGAGCAUAUGCAGCAAAAGUGGAGUGAUGGUUUGUGAUUCUCUCCAAGUUAUCAAAGUUUUUGGAGAUUGUGAUAAACUGAAGAGAAUUCCUCCAUUUGUUCCCCUUGUUGGCAAUGGGCAGCCAUUUGUAUAUGCUCCACCUUCUCUUACAAUCACGUCAGACACAGAAUGGUGGGAAUCGUUGGAGUGGGAUGAUCAUCCAAACUUUAAAAAUGUUCUUCAACCCCUUUGGAAGCUUUUAAGGUAUCAACCAUUUAUAGUUUAGUUUAUUCGAUUUAUUUUAUAAAUCUAAUUUCUCCAUUUUAAUACCAUUUCAUUAAUCCAACUUCUCCAAGUUAUCCAACUUAUCCAACUUAUCCAAGAUGCUGGAGACUGUUAUAAACUGAAGAGAAUUCCUCCAUUUGUUCCCCUUGUUGGCAAUGGGCAGCCAUUUGCAUAUGCUCCACCUUCUCUUACCAUCGGGUCAGAGACAGAAUGGUGGGAAUGGUUGGAGUGGGAUGACCAUCCAAACUUUAAAAAUGUUCUACAAUCCUUUGGAAGCUUUUAAGGUAUAUGAACCAUUUAUAGUUUAGUUUAUUUUAUUUAUUUUAUAAAUCUAAUUCCUCCAUUUUAAUACGAUUUCAUGUUAUAUUUUAUUUAUGUUUGAAGAUGAUGAGGCCUCCAUUGGUGCCAAAGAAGUAGAAGAGAGUAGCAGGGCGGAGGAUGGUGCAAAAGAGAGGAUAAAAAAGGUGGGAAUAAAAGGAAUGAUGGAUGAGGAAUUGAGCAGCCACCAUAAUAAUGGACUCCUUUUCCAUUGAAUCAAAUAUUAUUAUGUUCUAUUAUUUAGAAAAUCUUUAUAUGUUCUUAAACAGAGAUGUUUUUAAAAUUAUUUGUCUUUAAAAUUAUUAAACUUAUUUAUUAUUCUUCUAUCAAUCAUUUAUGCAUUUUUUUACUAAUGAUUCUAAUAAAAGUUUUAACAUUCAAAAGCAUAUAAGUUGAAAUAAAUUUUUUCAAUUUUAAAAUAUGCAACUUAAAAAGGUACUCCAUUAUUUUCUUAAAAUAAUAUCAAAUUAUGACUACCUUUAAAGUAUAAUUGAGUGGAUAAAUCACACCGUUGGUCAUUUUAAACUAACAUUAUUUCUAUUUUGGUCACUCUAUAAUUGCUCGAAUUAGUUGGUCAUUUUAAACUAACAUUAUUUCUAUUUUGGUCACUCCAUAAUUGCUCGAAUUAGUCAAUGACAUUGACAUUUUUUUAUUUUGGACUAAAGCUAGGGACUUUUAUGUAAUUAGCCCAAAACAUUUGUUUUUGUUUAUUUUGCAACAUAAGAACCACAUGUCACCACUCAUCCCUUGCUUUCCAUUGCUCCUCACUGCACAAUAAGAGCCACGUUUCAUCACAAUGGUGUACAAAGAGUGUUGGCUGUGUUUUGACUAUCGUACAAAUUAGUGUAGAAAUACAACUGAACAAACUUUCGAGUGGAUACUAUUGGGAAAUUGUAGGUAAAGUUGGAGCGAAAAACACAACCACGUCUCUUUUAUGGAAAAUGGCCUGAAAAAAGCCUAAUAAACCCAGUUGUGUAUUCAACAAAUGGGUUUCAACCCUCCUUUCCAGCCACUCCCACCGCUGAUAAAUUGAAAUUAUUUGUAAAUUUUAAAAGUUAAUCUUUUAAAAUUAUAAUUAAAUCGAUAUAAUAUGUAAAAGUUGAGAAAUAAAUUUAUUAUUAUAUUAAUUUUUUAACUAAUAUAUCAUCCUCUCAUUAGAGAGGUUUAAGGCACUUAAAGGAAAUAGAUAAAAAAAUAUCUCGAUUAAUUGAGUGAUCAAACUACAAAAAUUAAUAAUUGAAUGAUGAAAAGGAAAAGAGAUAAUGACUAGAUGUAAUUUACCCAUAUUUUUAAAAAGCGUAUAAAAAAUACAGAGGAAUGGGCUGGUACUUUGAAUGGUCCAAUUAGAGUAGCAAUUGGUGGCUCCGAUGCUAAUUUAAUUUCUACACCAUAACAUGGAAUUUUGCACCAAAGCUGAUCCCACGGUCAUCUCAAAAUAAUGCUCAUCAUAUUUUAAUUUAUCACACUUGGAAUUACAGACGCUGCACUUUCAUAAGAUAAAUUUUUAAGAAUUUGGAAUGUUAUCAUUAAGUAACUAAAUUUAAGUAAAUUAAAAUAUUUAAUAUAAAAAUUAUAAAAUUAUAAUGUCAAAAAUUUGUGAGAAGUGUAUUACAAUUAUGGGAUAUUUUUAAUCUUUUUGAGAUAAAAUUGUUCUUUCAAUAUGAUCCCAUUUUUCUCAUGGUAACUAUGUGAUCCAUGACAGUGUUUACUUCUCAUUUAUCAUGUAAUGCUGAUGAGAGAAUAUAAUUUACCUUUUAGUUGAGCUAUGAAUUUCAUUGUUGAUGAAUGAUGCUACAUACUAUAAAGGUCAUAUACCUAAUGCACCAACUUUCAGUUCCUUAUCUAUUUAAACUCAGACUUUCGUUUACAUCAAAGUAUACGAAUCACACAUACAUAGUCCAUCAUCUACUCAGGAUUAAAGUAUGUCACACCAUGAACGUCACAAAUGAAUAAAUCUACAAGUGAGUUACAUCUAUGUCUCUAUUUUCUAAGACUCAAUCUCUCCAGUACCGAAGAUAAAGUAUUUCCUUAAUUGGAUUGGAUAGAUAACAUGUUAUCAUUUCAAUCAGUUUGCUCUUUUUUUAUUAGACUAAGGACAUUUUUAGAUUAUCUAUUAAUAUAAAUUGUUUUUCCAUAUUAUGAUCCAACCAUGUAAUACCGUUUGGUAUUAGUUAAAUGUUAGAUAAUUAUUGGGUCAAUAUUUGUUUUGCGUGCAAAAAUCAUAAAGAAUAAUAUACAAAGGAUAUUAAUGUAAUGAAUGAAUAUUUUAUUAAAUCAAUUUGUUCAAAAAAUAUAAGUAUAUAUUGACGAAAAUAUUAAAAUAAAGACACUAGAUCUAACAGUCUCCCAUUUGACCUAGAGAAGUAGAUAAGUCAUAUUUCGAAUUCCCAUAUUUUCUACACGUUUCUCAAAACUCCUAGCCACCAAAGUCUUGGUCAAUGGAUCCGUAAGGUUGUCCUCUUAUAUGACUUUGACUACAUCCACUAUUUCAUUUGUUAUUGCCUCCUUUAUGAUAUGAUACUUUCUAUCAAUAUGUUUUGUCCUUUUGUGGUUUCCAGUUUCCUUGGUGUUAGCUAUUGUCGCACUAUUAUCACAAUACAGUGUGAUAAUUUUUUCCAUACCAUGAACAACUUCAAGACUCGUAAGGAAUUUCCAAAGUCAUAUUACUUAUUUUCUUGCCCCAAAAGCAACCACAUAUUUGGCCUUCAUAGUGGAUUCUAUAGUGUAACCCUAUUUGACACUUCUCCACACUAUGAACCCAUCGCCUAGGACAAAGUUAUAAACCGAUUUGGAUUUGCUAAAAUCUCGAACACAUUUGGAAGUCAAGAUCGAUAUAACAAAUAAGAGUGAGAUCUCUUCCAAAACAUACAAGCAUAUAAUUCAUCAUUAUUCGUAAAUACUUGAGUAUAUGCUUUAUUAAUUGCCUGUGUCUUGAGUUGGGAUUCACCUAAUAUCAACUCACCACCUAUUAUGAAAAAAAUAUCUAGACGUGUGUGUCACAAUAUACAUGAGGCUUCCUAUUGCCAAAGCAUAAAUAACAUUUCUCAUGUAUUCUCUUUCUUAAAGAGAGAUGAAAACUUGAUAUAGAAGAUUGAGAUCUCUUCUUGGAAUUUGUCGCUGCAAAACAUUCCAUUAUCUUAUCUAUGAAUGAAACUUUUGAUAAAGUUAUCACUUUGUUCUUUCAAUCCCUUAAUAUUCAAAUGCCCAGAACAGAGUUAGUUUCUCCCAAAUCCUUCAUUCUAAAUUGUUGGGUUAACCAUAAUUUAACCAAUGACAAUGUCUCUACAUAAUUCCCAAUGAAUAAAAUAUCUUUGACAUAUAAAAUAAGAAAUAUCACCUUUCCAUCCUUAAUACUUUUAUAAAUAAUAGGUUGAUCAAUAUUUUUCUCAAAUCUUAAAGUUUUGAUGGCUUGAUCAAAUCUUUGAUUCUUUAAGCGGGAUGCUUGCUUAUGUUAGUUGACAACCAUGAUUUUAAUAACCUUAAUAGUUAAUAAUUAAGGAUAACAAUAAUUUUUAAAGAUUCAAUUGAUAUUAUUUCAUUAUUUAUCAUAACAAUUUCUUUAUAUAAACAUGAACAUAUUUUAGAAUUAUGAAUGAAAUUGAGUGAUUAUUUCCUCAACAUUACAUAGAAUCUUUCUCUAAUUCUGAACAUGGUAUCAGAUUUAGGUUUGAUUUAGGGAAUUUUUUUUUCAAUUUUUUUUUGAAACCCUAGAACCAAAAAAUCUCAUCAAGUAUCGAUUACAGGUGGGCUCAACUGAUUGGCGUUCUACUGUAAAUUAUAAAGAAGAUAAAGUUUUAUGACUUGUAGAAGUGGGAAUUUUUAGAACCAAGUUAAUUAUGCUCCUGAUGGAGAUUCAGGAGUUACACAUUUCGUACUGCCACAAUUUGAGAAGCUUCAGCGAUGAUGUUUUUUCCUUCAAAAAUUCUAGUGACUUGAAGGUUUGUACAAUUGAGCAUUGUGAUGGGAUAUAAUGUGGUGUUGUUUUUUUCCUCUUCUUCCUCUCAUCCACUUCAGAGCCUUAGGUGUUGUUUCUUUACAAAUUGUCGACGUUGAGUGCCCUUAUCAAAGUUAACAGAUUUGGUUCAGCAACAACAUCAAUAUUGGCUUCGUCUGCUACCUUUUCCUAUUUUAAGAAAACUCACUUACCCAACUGCUUCACUAUGAUGAUGUUGCUUCCAUAUUGGUUGCUUCCCAACCUCCAAAAUCUACAACUAAUAAAAGUGAGAGGUUGUGAGCUAACAGAUACAUUGGGAGGACCAACAUCAAAACAUAAAGAAAAAAAGAAGUGAUGGAUUAAUCAAAUUCCAUCUUUCUUAAUUGAAAAAGUUGGUAUUGCAAGAGUUGCUAGAACUAACAAGCAUCUGCAAUAAAAGUGGGGUAUUGAAGAGCAUCUGCCGUAAGUUAGAAUUCCUUCAUUUGCUCCCCUUGUUGCAAAUGGACAGCCAUAUGCAUAUGCUUCACCUUCUCUGAAGCUUGAAUCAAUUUCAACAUGGUGGGAAUUGUUGGAGUGGGAUAAUCGUCCAAACUCUAAGAAUGUUAUUCAACCCCAUUGGCAUAAAUUGUGUAAUGUCAACAUUUUUAUUUAUUUGUACUUUAUAAUCUCAUUUCUCUAUUUUAAUGCAAAUUCUUGUAUUGUUUUAAGGUGGUGAUGAGAAAGUUGCUCCAUUGCAGCUUCAUUUGGAUACCUCUCAAGUUGUUUAGGAUGGAGAUGGCGGAAAACGUGGGGGAUAGUGUUGAGGACACCUUGAAUGGUGCUUAAGGGAGGGCCUGCUUUACCGUGCCGGGAGGGUCUUAAUUGUUGGAUCUACAAAAUUCAAGGGAGAAGUGCUAUCAUAGUACAUAUGAACAAUUAUAAAGCUCAUCUUGGGUACGGAGACUCGAAUCGCCAACUUAAAGCUUAUACUGCUUAGCUGCAUCCAUAAUACCACGUGGGCUAUUUACCAAACACCGGCUAUCGGCAAAGUAUGAGAGACAAAACCCUCACCGGGGAUAAUACCUUUGGUUGUUGAGAGAUUGAUUGACUACCCAACAGACGACACUUUAAAAGCUUCUCCCAAAGACUUUGACCUCUCUAAAAAUAUGUUUCAACCCAAGUAACUUAUGAUCCUAAGUGUCCCGAAAAAUAUUUUAUUCCUUGAUAUUCCUAAACCAUAGUUAAUACGGAUGGAACCAUUCAUCUGAUCGCUAUUAGCUUCAACAAUCUGCUCUGGUGGCAUCCACCAUUAAUAAUUUAAUGUUGCAGCAAAUAUGACUCCCAGGUUUGGUUCAUUUUGUCUUGUUUUUUUCUUUGCACUCAAUGUCUUAGAUCUCCAAAACACAUCAAGGUAGGCCCUGGAGGAGUAUAAAAAUUUUUGAAUCCAUGGCAACGUGAAACAACUUGACCUUUAACCUAUAAGAGCUAUCAAAACGUUUAGCCUAAAAAUAAACCAUGAGACUGUUUAUUGCUUUAAUCAUUUAAGUUUCAAUUGGUUCAGAAUUUUGAUUAAUUCUUUUGUUUCUCAAAUUCAUGUGGAUAUCAUUUAUAUAAUAUAUACUCAACACGAGUAUAUUUAAUAAAUCAUUCUUAUGUCCUGCUUUCCCAUAUUUUCAAGUCACUUGCAACAAUUUUUUUUACUCUAACUUAGGCUUCACACCAAACUAAACUAAUUGAUUUGAAACCUAUUUGGAAUAAUUGGUUACAUUAUUACUUGAACAAAUAACGUUUUUAAUGUCUUUAUUUUAUUUUGGCCCUUAAUUUUUUUUUUGUGUUUUAUCCCAACUUUUUAGAAUUUUUUUGUAAGUGACUUGAAAGGGAGUACUCUUUUUUCUCAUUUUAAUCUCACAUGGGCUAGCCGAUGGGUUAUACGUACAAGGCUAAAAUGAUUGUUUUAAAAAUUUUAUAUGUUUAAUUUUUAGAGUUAGAAUUAAAUUCACAAAUUUUGUAAAUUUUGAGGUCAAAUUUGUUGAAAUUUUUAUAUUUAGGAUCAAAUUGAUCAAAUGUGUAAACAUUAGAGGGCUAAUUUUGUUACUAGACCAAUAAAAAAGGCCACAUUAGUUUAGAGUGACUAAAAUAUUUAAUUUUAAAAAGUUUAGUGACUAAAUCAAAAAAAAAAAUAAUAGUUGAGUGACCGAAAUAGAAUAAAAAGCGUAGUUGGACAACCAUUUUUACAGUUUACGCAUAAAAAAUAGUUUUCAAGAUGUCCACGUAAUCUUUUAAUAGAUAAAAUUUAAUGGAGAAACUAAUUUACACGUUUUAAAAUGAAUAAAUGUCAAUUUACUCGUUUUUUCAAUAAAGAAAUGGAAAAGCAAUCCGCCCUAAGCGCAUCAACCUUCCUAAUACUUUUACCUUUGAGAUCCCUUAUAUUGUUCUGACAUUCAAGUAUGCAAAUCCAACUAUUUCCCCCUUUUAGGAUUUCUUAAAAUUUGUUUCCCACAUUCAAGGAUGCAACUGUAAACAUUUCCCCUCUUAGGAUCCCUAAAAUUUAUUUCCCCUUUAAAUAAACAAUUUCUUAUUCUUCCCUAAAAAAUAACUUGAUUUAUUUUAAAAUAUAUAUACUUCAAAAAGUAACCUUCUAAAAUAUUUAUUUUUAAAAUAUUAUAAUUAAUAUAUAUAUAUAAAAUUACAUUAUAAACUUAUUUUGAUAUGAUGUUGAAUCAAAUAUUAUCAUGAUCCUUUACCACUUUCAACAAUAGUAUUUUAUUUCGUAAAUUUUAUGUUAAGUAAACUUCAAAUUUUAUCAAAAAACAUAUAUAUGGUCCAAUUUUAGUAUGUGUUUAGAUAUGAUAGAUUGAUUGGAUGAAAGUUUAAUUACUAUUGUAAUAAUUGCACCCUCUUGUAAUUACAAAGAAUUAUAAUUUUCUAGACAUAUUUGGGUGACAGAGUGUAAUUACAUAUGAGAUAUUACAACGUCUAAAUGAAUAACAAAAAUUAAAAUAAAAUAAUCAUAUACAAUAUGUUAUUCCAAGGUAGUUGAUAAUACGAUUAAAUACCAAGGAAAAAUAAAUUUCAUAUGCAAUUUUGUCUAAUCUCUCUAGUAUUUAUUGUUGGGUUACAGGGACAAGCCAAAAGUUUUAUCUUUGUGAGGCCAAUUAAAUUACAAACCUUUAAAUGAGUCAAAUUACAAUUUUAUCUUUGUUAAUGCUUGUUAUUUUAGAAAGGUAAAGGGUUUAAACUGGAAUUUUUUCCAUCUUUGGAGGGCCAAACUGCAUUUUACCACUAAACUAACUUAUAAUUUUAAAAAUUUCAAGGGACUAAAAUGACAGUUUUUUAUUUUAAGGGGAUAGGGCCUCUACCUAACCCCCCCUUGGCACUAUCCCUAUGGGGUUAUUUGAUCUUUUAACAUUUAACAUAUACUCUAUUGCUCUUUUUCAUCAACAAUUGGUCGCUGAGUUUAUUGUCAUGUAAAUCUGAAUUCGUAUUUGUGUCAUUAAGAUUAUAACGAUCUUAUUCUAUUUACUUUUUAAUGGAUCGUCUCAAUUCCACCUACAAAUGAGGUUAUGAGAUAUGCAACAUGCUAAUGUAAUCCAACCUUAUUUUUUUAUACUAUAUCGAAUCAAUGUUAUUAAUAUAAAAAUCUUUUUUAGAAUAAUAUUAUAUCUCUACUUCAACUUGGACCCAGUUGGACCCUCCAAUGGGCCACUCAAGGCUUAUUAAGUAACAUAAUUAGGUAAGAAUCUUCACUCAGUUAUAAAUGCCCAAAGGUACCAACAUUAUUAUAGUGGUCCUCUCUAGACUCAAAGUUUGAAAUAUGCUAAACAUUCAUAUUGAGGCCCUCUACUUGACUGAUUCUUGGUCCUAGAAUGGGUGAAUCGGUCUUCCUCGACACCACCCCCUCCUCCUUCUCCACUCCCAUUAAUACUGUGUAUCAACAAUGAUAGAGGUGACGGUGGAUCGAACAUGCGCAAAACCCUAGAAAUUCACCCUCUCAAUAUACAAAGAAAAAAAAACCAAAUUUUAGGUUCAAAGAGCUUGUAUUUGUUGCCAAAAGAUUUGGAGAUUGAAAAAUACAUAGCUUUUGACACGAUUCAUGGUAGUUGGAUAUUUGUGGGCAAUCUAUUUUUAUUUCGGUAGUAUAUGGUAUGUGCUUGCAUUUUUCUUUUUCUUUUCGGUUGUGGUGCAUUGGUCUUUGAGUGGGGUUUUAGAAUAGAUAAUUUUCUCUGUGUACGAAUUUUAGUGGAAUUUGGGGUUUGAUUCUUUGAUCAUGGUUUUCCUGUUGUGAUAGUUGAUGGGGUUCAAGUGUAUUGUUGCAUGGUAAGAAUUUCAUGAUGUUUGCUUGUGGUUCGUCUCUUGUUUUAUUAUAAUUCACCGGUUUACUUUGUCAUUCAAGGGCUGGAUCCGAGGUUGUUUCAUUGAUUGAACUUCUUGCUGAUUCUUAGAGAGCUCGUAUGUUUGUAUAACAAAUGUAUUGCCUCUAUAGUACAUAAAAUAAAAGCAUAAUAGGGGGAUGUUAGACAUGGUCAUGCUGAUUCCACUCAAUUAUACAUUAAAGUAGAACAUGUCCUAAAUACACAAACAUAACGUAUGUUAUGUACUUGCUAAAACAUGUAUAAAUGUAGAAUAUCCUGAAAAUAGAAAUUACAAGAGUUGCCAGGUUCGGAAGAUAGGGAAUAAUGAGCUUCUUUCUGAUAACAUGCUGUUUGACUUCAACAUAAGUUAGUGUGGCUUGCAAAUAAUGCACCAAACAUGUGUUAAAAUUGCUUAUUGCUUUUAAUGUGAUUCACCACUAUUCUAUUGUACAUGCAAAUGCAAAAUAUGGUUUGCUCAUUACUUGUUCAUAGCUUCUCGGCUAACCUUUACAACCAUCAUUAAUUUUUUUUUAAUUUCCUUUUUAUAUUGUUGGCUUUUAUAUUACUGAAUGUUUCACUGAAUGUCAAAUGUUAGACUAAGUUAUAAUUCGAAGUUUUUGUUAUUUUGUGUGUGCUUUAAAUAUGUUUGGCUCAUUUUCUCCAGUAUGAUUGUUAGUCUAGAAUAAUUAAAUCUCUGGAAGCUAUGCUUGUUUAUGCAUCUCACUGCAACCAAUAUCACUGCAGUUUAAAUUACCUAUAGCUUGUGUUUUUUUGGUCAUCUACAGCCUUUGGUGACUAUCAAGUAAGACAUGAUACACAAUAACAUUAUUGCAACUCUUUAUCCCAGAGGUGUAAUCCCCUGUGUAUGUAUGUAUAUCAGCAGAGUGCAACACCCAUGCAUGUGUAUGUUUAUUAUAAAAAAGAAAGAUGGUGGUGAAUUAGAGGGACCUGCGAAGGUUCCCACUAGGUUUCUUGCAUAUGUGUUAUUAACAAUAAGAAAAUGAAUGGAAGGGGGAACCCUCCCACGGGCAUAGCCCUGCCUAUGUGUAUAUGUAUAUAUAUAUUAUUUUAUUUAAAAGAGAGAGAAUGAUGAUUGAAAGCUUUCCAUGGACAAUUACACUUCACGAACAGUAAUUACUCGACAUCUUUGCUUUUACACUAACAGGCGAUUAUACCUCCGUAGAUAGUAAACACUCGGUAUGGUUAUUUGUACUUAUCUAUACAUGAAAAUCUAUACGAGUUUGAGAAAGGGAACCUAUGAGGGGUUCCCACGAGUGGUUCUACCACCUUGCAUAUAUGUAUAGUCAUGUGGUAUAUAUGUUACACAAAGGGAACCCACGAAAGACUCCUACGGAUGAUUACUUGUUGUCUACAUUUAUGUAAUUCUACUUCCAUUAUGUAAACCCAAGUCGAGUAAACUUGGUCGAAGGUUGUGAUUUGACGUGGCAAGGCCUUACACUCCACGUAAUUCUGGCCUGCGAGAGCCACGAUAGUGUGAUCGACCUGUGAUUCUUACUGUAAGUCUCCCCCCAUGUGUUUAGGAGCAGGAUCUAUCAUAAGCCUUCCGCUCUAAGUGGAGAAAGCACCACCAUUUUUCCAUAAGUCUCCCCCCUUGCAUAUUGGAGCAGAGCCUUUAUUACCACUUUUCGUAAGCCUCCCUUAAUGUGUCUUGGAGUAGGACAUUCGCGCCCUUCUGUGAACCCUUUGGGCUCUUGAUGGAGGUAAGACAUAUCUUCUACAUUUCAGCCCGUUUGUGAACUCUUUGGGCUCUCGACAGAGGUGAGGCAUAUCUUUUACAUUCGGGCCCCUCCAUGAACCCUAUAAUGACUCAAUUUUCAAUGGUGUCAAAAAAUUUGAUUUUAGAACCUCAUUUCUAUAAACUGAGUUCAUAACUAUUAAAUAUGGAUAUUUACAGAGUUAGUAUAUAGAUGUAUUGCAAUUUAUUAAAUAAUUUAGUUGAAAAUGUGGUUAAUUAAGGCCUAGAGGCUAAAUUGUAAAAAGUUAAAUCACUAUAGAGUUUUAAUUUGAAAAAGGCUUAGGGACUUAGAUAAAAAUUAUCCAAAGGACUAAAAUGGCUAAUAGACGAAUUUUAAAUAGAUAAUAGUGGGAUGUGAUCUUGAAUGUCAUUAGAUAAUAUUAAUUAAAUAUUAAUGUUAAUUAAACACGAUUAAAGUAAUUAAUUAAGCUUAAUUAUAAGCUAACCUAGCUAUAUAAACCAAAUUUAGUGGAGGGAGAGAUGAAUAUUCAUCUUCUCCAACUAGCCAAAGGAGUAAAGCCAAGUAGAAACCCCAUUGUUGAGACCUUGUUCAUUCGACCAACAUUUACAAGUAAGUCUCUAGCCAUUUUUUUAUAUAGAUUUUUUUAUCAUGAGAGCUUGAUUAAGCUAGCUUAUGUAUCAAUUUGUUCAAUUGGUGAAAUUUUGAUAAGUUACCAUUGUUGAGAAUUGAAUGAAUUAGGCUUGAAAUUGAUAGAAAUUAAGCUUAGGUUAUCGAAAUGACUAAAUUGCAAAACUUAAUUCUUAGCCUUUUACAUUAGGGGCAAAAUUGAAUAAAAUGAAUUUUUUAUAAAAUUAUGGUAGGAAUAGAAAGUAUAAGGUCCCUAAUGAAUACAUGUGAAAUCAAAUUUUAUUCCGAAGCUUUAAAUCGAAAGUUUUGCUUAUCUAAAGUUUAGGACUAAAUUGAAUAAAUUGUAGAAUAUGCAUGAUUUGGUAUUUGAUUGUGAAUUGGAUGAAAAUUGAUAGUGUUAUAUGUUUUGUGAUUGUACGUAGCUAACGUCAGCACUGUGCCUUCGAAAGGAAAAAGAAAAGUGAGAGUUGUCGACGAGUGACGCAAGCCUACAAUUUGUACUUUUAUGAUUCAGGAUCGUAUUAUUUGUUUGCAUAUACAUUGUUUAUUGAAUGAGGAAAUGUCAAGGUGAGUAUAUAAUGAAAAUGUGAAUUGUUGUGUUAGGCUUGAUAUGAAAUAUUGAGAUAGAAGACUAAAAUUAAUAAAAUGGAAAAUCGCAUGAAUUACUUUGAAAUGUGAUAUGUGACAUGGAAAAUUGAGUAGAAAUAUGUUAUAUGGAAUGAGACAUAAUGUGUAUUGAUAAUGAAUUGGAUUGUGACUAAGGUUGUGAUUGUGAAAUGAUAUAUGUAUUGAAUUUUAAAAUAAAAUUGAACGUUGGUACCUUAUUAACUAGUCUAGUUGAGCCAGAUAGUUAACAUGUCAUAGGAUUAGAUUGUCUAUGAGUUUGUGCACCUAUGCGCCAGGAUGCACCUCGUGUGCCAAGAUGCAUUUUAUGUUCCAGUAUGCACUUUGUGCAUCAAGAUGCACAUUGUUUGCCAGUAUGUGUUUUGUGCGCCAGGAAUGUGCUUCAUGUGCCAAUAUGCACUAUAUGUGUCAAUUUCGUUACUUCAGUUUAUUUGAUUAUGCACUUCGGUGCUAGUUUGGUGUGUUGCUUGGACGAUCUGUGUAUUCGUUUGAGUCCUAUUAAUAGGGAUUAUAAGUGGUAAACUUGGUAAAUGAUAUCAAAAUGAAAUGGUAUGAUGAUAUGGAACCACUUGUGUACUGAUGUAAAUCAAAAUGAAGAAUUAUGUAAAUGGUUAUGCAAAACAGUUGAAUACGAGCCUUGGGGGCCAAAGCAAAUGUGAAUGACUCAAUAGACUUCAGAAAAUUUUUAUACGAAUCGUGUCCUUGGUUCAAAUUUCAUUAUGGAUAAUUUUUUAUUGAUUUAUAAAGAUAUGAAAGAUGAAAACACCAUCACAAUCAUAUAUCUUACUUUAUAAAUAAAAUUAUUUUUUCGUAAUUUUCUUACUGAGUUGGGACCAAUUGAUGGGUAAAACCAACUCAGUAAAAGACUUAAAAAAUAGUAUAGAUAAAAAGGUUUUAAACUGAAUUUUUUAAAAGAAUUUAGGGUAAACGACACCAUUAAUCACUCAAGUAUGGGUAAGCUUUCGUUUUGGUCACUUAACUAAAAAAGAGUUACAAUUUGGUUACUAGUGUGUUUCAAAUUGUUUGUUUUUCUGUCACCUGACUAUUAAGUGGCACUUGUUUUAGUUGAUACAAUAAUAAUUUUAGUCCUCAAUUUUUAUAUUUUCUAUCAAAUUGACCUUGAUUUUGUAUAAAAUUAUAAAAAAAAACUAAAAAUAUUUAUAAAAUAAGAAAAUGUAUAUAAAAACUCUAAAAAAUAAAAUCUUGAAUAUGUUGUUGAAUAACUGAAUUGUAUUGAGAAAUAAAGAAAAUUAUCAUUUAAUAGAAUCCAAUAACAAAUUAAAAAUAGAACAAAUCUAUGUUUCUUAAAAUCAAAUUAGUACUAUUUUCAAGUUGAAUUACAUGCCCUAGAAGAAUAUCUAAAACUGAUAUUACAAAGGCUUAUGAAAUUGACCUCGAUGCCAUUUUUUUAAUCAAAAGAAUACAAAAUAUACCAUAAAAAAUUUCUUUUUCAAACUCAAUUCAAAUUUUCAUUAUAUUUAAAUUAUUUUUCAAAAUCAAAAUUAUAAAAAUAAAUUAUAUUCAGAAUUUUAUAGUUUCUUAUAAUGUAAAAGCUACGUCAAGAAAUAGAAGAGGUAAAAAAACAGAGACAUGUCAUUUUUCUUAAUUUUUUUAUAUAUAUAUUUUAAAGAAUGGGUAUUGGAUAUUUUUAUAAAAAUAAUAUAGAGAAAUUUUGAAGGGUUUAAAACAAUUAUCCUCAUUUUCUCUCACUUUAUUUAAUUUUAAAAAUUUUAUCUACUUUUAUUUAAUUUUUAAAUUUAUAAUGUUCUAAAAUUUUAAAAAUAAUUUACUAAUGGGGUGCGAAUAACUAUACCUAAUGCAACUCAUUAUUAAAUAUGCAUUCUUAUACCCUGCCGUCCCAACUCUUAUUAUUAUUAAAUAUUAUUUAAUGCCAACUUCAAUGAUGUCCAAGGUCUAUCACCAAAUUUCAAGGUAAUUUUCUUUCAUUUGCUUAAUCAAUCACAUGCUUUUCUUUGCUUGAUUCAUGAGUUUGCAGUGAUUGUUUCUGAUUAUCUGCUACUCUUAGCAGCUAGCUUUGUAAGACAGUCAACUUCACUGCGUCAUUUUCAGUUCUAUUCUCUCAACACUUUUCAGCCACUAAGUCAGGUAAUAAGAUCUGAAGCUAUGAUUUCCUCUACUCAUUAUCAACAGUUUUAGAUUUUAAGACAAGAUGAUCAGCAGACAUAAUCUACUCUAGAUUGCAAUUAACACAGAAAGAGCUACCCAGAAGCAAUAUAAUGUUGAAAUCUCAAACUGUUAACAUUUUAACUCUUAAUAUUCUGUAAUGAACUAUUGCACACUUGAAUCUAGCAUUUUAUAUACAUCGAGGGCUUAAUUCUGGUGACCAGAAUUUCAUCAUGUUUCUGUCUGCCACCCAUCCAUAGCUCCAUCUAAAAAACGCCAUUGCUUGAAACUUGCAUUCAUGUUUCCUUUUCAUGCUUACACAGACAUAUCAAUACUUCAUCCAAUACAUUCACAGAUUUUCAUUAUCUGCUACUGUUAUAUAUGAUUGCAUUGCAGGGACAUAGCAAUGGAGUACGUAGAGCCUGUUGUUGUCAUUGCAAAUUGUCUCGGAACACCUGUUUGUAAAUACUUGCAAUAUUACAGAAAGCUGAACGAUUAUGUGAGAAACUUCAAGAGGAUCAGAGAUGAAUUGAAUUGCAAAAUGGAAGAUAUAGAGCUGCAAUUGAAAGCAGAGCUUCUUCGUCCUCUGGGGAAGAUACCGAAGAAGGAAGUUGAAAAUUGGUUGAAAGAUGUGAAAGAGAUGAUUAGGGAAGCACAAGUUGUUGAAAACAAAGUCAGUAACGGGAGAUAUCUCUGUCGUGCUUGCAACGGGAAGCUGGUUGAUGAAAAGACUCGAGAAAUGAAGGAAUUUCUUGAUAAAGCUCCUAAUGCCUCUGAAGGUCUUGCCAUAGAUGGUCCAAGCGGUGGGUUGCCGCUGCCAACAUCAGAACUAGUUGGAGAGGAAGCUGUCAGAAAUGAGAUUUGGGCAUGUUUGAUGCAGGAGGAGGUGAGCAAGAUUGGAGUUUGGGGGAUGGGCGGUGUGGGUAAAACCACUAUCAUGAAGCACAUUCACAAUGAUCUUUUGAAAGAACAAAGAUUCAAAAGGGUAAUCUGGGUUACCAUAUCAAAGGAGUUCAAUGUAAUGAAGGUACAAGAUAAUAUUGCAAGUGCGUUGGAGUCAAAGGAGUAUUUAGACAAAGAAGAGGACAAGCUCAGACGAGCUGCAAUCUUGUCAGAAAUGCUAAAGAACGCAGGAAAGCAUGUUCUAAUCCUAGAUGAUGCGUGGGAUAAAGUCUCUCUAGAGGAAGUUGGGAUCCCUGAGCCGAGUGGCAGCAAUGGCUGCAAGUUGGUGUUGACAGCCCGUUCGGAGCAUGUCUGUAAGUAUAUGGGUUGUAAGGUGAUAAAAGUGAAGCCCCUUUCAGAAGAAAAGGCAUUGAUACUAUUCUUGAAUAAAGUUGGACCUAACAUAGUUCAAAGUCCAACUAUAAUGCCUACGUUGAAGCUUGUUGUCAAGGAAUGUUCGGGUCUACCUCUUACAAUUGUCGUGGUAGCUGGUACCAUGAAAGGAGAAGAUAACCCCCGUAUUUGUAAAAAUGCAGGGGAAUUGAAAGAGGAAUAGGGAAAGUGGAAGGAGUGGAAGCUGAGGUAAUCGAGCGCUUGAAAUUUAGCUUCGAUCACUUAAAGGACGAGAAAGUGAAAUAUUGUUUCUUACAUUGCGCAUUAUAUCCCGAAGAUUUUGGAAUUGAAAAGGAUGAACUAAUUGAGUGCUGGAUUGAGGAGGGAUUCAUAGAUGAUAUGGGUACAAGACAAGAAAUGAAAGACAAGGGCCAUGUUAUUUUGAAGAAGUUAGAAGAUAAUUGCUUGUUGGAAAAUGUCUGGAGUGAAGAAAUGAUAAUGCAUGAUGCAGUGAGAGACAUGGCAUUGUCGAUCACAAGAAUGAAUCCUCGAUAUAUGAUACAAGCAGGUUUGCAAUUAGAAGAGUUACCAGAAAAGGAGCAAUGGAGUCCGGAUAUUGAGAAAGUGUCACUUAUGUGUAACUCCAUAUCAGAAUUUCCAUAGAUGUGCUGCUCACAAAAUGUCAACUGCUCACAACCUAGUUAUUGAAGGAGAACCCUAUAAAGAAGAUCUCAAUUUCUUUCUUCACAAACAUGCCUUGUCUUAGUGUUCUGAAUUUGUCCUCUACGAAGAUCAAAAGUUUACCAAAUUCCAUUUCUGUACUAAAGAACCUCACAACAUUGUUGCUUUGUUAUUGUGAAGAAUUAAGAGAUCUACCAUGUCUUUCGAUGCUUCAAGAAUUGAAGAAGUUGGAUCUAAGUUGGACUAAUAUUGAGGAAGUACCAGAAGGCAUGGAUAUGCUGAUAAAGAUAAGAUAUCUUGGUCUUCAAGUGUUCACUCCGAAAGAGAUACCCGCUGGACUUUUACCAAAACUCGUUCACCUUCAGCACUUGAGUUUUGAUGUGGACAAUGAAAAAACAAGUCUAAAAGCAGAGGAGAUGGAACCAUUGAAGAAGUUGGAGUGCUUAACCGGACGUUUUGAAGACAUCGGUGAAUUGAAUAAGUUCAUCUCCUCAAUGCAACAAAGUAAGAAAAAUCUCAUCGAGUACUAUUUACUGGUGGGCCCAUAUAUUAUGGGUCGUGGAAGGGAGAAAACAGUAACAAUUGGAGAAGUCGAGAAUUGGGAAGGUGAGUUAAUUAUGCACCCAAUUGAAAUUCAACUGUUGAAUAUUGUAAACUGCGACUAUUUGAGAAGCUUAGUCGAUGAUAAUUCUUCCUUCAAAAAUGCGAUUGACUUGAAGGUUUGUGGUAUUUGGGGGUGUGAAGGGAUAGAGUGUGUUGUUUCCGUGUCCUCUUUUGCCUCUUUUUCCGCUCAGCCAUUUCAGAGCCUCGAGGUGUUAUAUCUUCGAGAUCUGCCAAAGUUAAGUGCCCUUAUUAUGAAAGAUGAAGGAAUUGGUUCAGCAACAACAUCAACAUUGGCUCCGUCUGCCACCUUUUCCCAUCUCAAAAAAUUAAGAUAGUGAGCUGCUCAAGUAUGAAGACGUUGCUUCCACAUUGGUUGCUUCCAAACCUCCAAAACUUGGAAGAAAUAUUAGUGGAUCAUUGUGAUGAGAUAGUAGAAAUAUUGGGAGCAGAAACAUCAAAAGUUGAAGAAAAAGGGAGUGAUGCAUUAAUCAAACUCCAUCUUCCCAAAUUGAGAGAAUUGAGUCUACGUAGGUUACCAAAUUUGAAGAGCAUUUGCAGCAAAAGUGGAGUGAUGGUUUGCGAUUCUCUCCAACUUAUCCAAGUUGAUAGAGACUGUUAUAAACUGAAGAGAAUUCCUCCAUUUGUUCCCCUUGUUGUCAAUGGGCAGCCAUUUGCAUAUGCUCCACCUUCUCUUACCAUCAGGUCAAGGACAAAAUGGUGGGAAUCGUUGGAGUGGGAUGGCCAUCCAAACUUUAAAAAUGUUCUUCAACCCCUUUGGAAGGAUGAAAGGUAUGAACCAUUUAUAGUUUAGUUUAUUUUUUAUUUUGAUAAAUCUAAUUUCUCCAUAUUAAUAAAAUUUGAUGUAUAUUUGUGGUGAUGUUGAAGAGAAAGAUAAAAGGGUUGGUGGGAAAGAAGUAAGGGGGAGGAUAGUGCAAAAGAGAGGAGAAAAGGAAGGAUGGAAGGAAGAGGUUAAGAGCAUGGAGACUGAGAGGCAAAGGUAAAUAAGAAAUCAAAAAUAUUUAUAUUAAUCAAAAUGAUUUAAGGUGAGACAAAAUCAUAGUUUUAUUUCCAAUAAAAGUUAGGAAAGUAUUGUAAAAAGACAUAAUAUUUUUUAAUUUCCAUGUAAAAUUUCUGGAAAUUUAAAAAAUAAUAAAUGCUUGUUUUUUUAGAACAUAAUAUUUAUUUAAAAAUAUAAUUGGAUUCAUUCAUAUGUAAACGUAAUGAUAAAGAUUAAAACAAUAAUGUACUUUCAUAAAAGUAUGAUUUUAGAAAUUAAAAGUGGAAAUUAAAUAAGAUAAAUUCCUUUUCUUAACUAAUAUAAAAAUUGUAGGGAUUAACAUAGUUAAUAAUAUUAACAUAUUUCUAAUAUUAAAUAAUAUUUUAAUUUAUCAGGACUAAAUGAGAAAAUUAAAAAGGUGAAAUCCCUUUUAAAAUAAAUUUAAAACAUUAAGGGUAUUAUGUUGCAAAUAACCCCUCCACGUUCCCAUAUAUAAAAUACAUUUUCCUUUUUCUUUUAAUUUGUGAUGAAUAAGUUGGAAAAUAAAAUAAAAAUAAAAAAAACUUAGUUUGCUUCUUUUUUUUCGAAGCUGAAGGUUUAAAGUUUUUUGGUCUUAAAUACAAAAAAUAUCAUAGGUUCUCAAUAAUUAUGUAGUUUGUAACGCCAGAAAGUUUACAUUUUUAAAAUAUCAUAGGGACACUAGCGUGUGUCCAGACCGUGUGUGACUAUGUUAGUGUAGGGUUCACACAGGCCAAGGAUAGGAACGUGUGUCCAGGUCAUGUAACUCACUAUUUACAAAAUAAGGAUCACACGGACGGAUGACACAGCCGUGUGUUAGGCCAUGUAAGACACACGGGCAAGCAAACAGGCGUGUGUCAGGUCGUGUGAGGCUACAUGGGUGUGUGGGCCAGUUUACGAAAUUUUUCAUUUCCCGAACUUCAUUUGAAAUGAAUACAAGCCUUCUGUGAGGCCGUAUGAACUGAAUUAAAUUGUAUAAAUUGAUAUUCUAUGAUCUGAAAUUGAGUACUAAUAAUUUGCGUGUGUAUUGUGUAUGACCUAUAUUAAUAGUAUCGAUCUACUGUAUUCAAGCAUGACUUGUAUCUGAAUAUUCGCAUUUGUAUUAACUGUCAUGUGAAGUCUGCAUAUGCAUUGGGUGGAAAUUGAGCAAGAAGGAAGUAUUCUGUUCUGGCAUAAUGAUUAAUUCACUGUCAUAUGUACUCUGAUAUGGCAGCUAGACUGCAAUUUUUGAAACGUGUCAGACUGACCAUAUAUGGUGUGUAGGGUUAGAUGGGUUAUAAGUACCCUAUUUCAUGUGUUAGGUUUGUCGGAGAUGGUGUGUAACGGCCGGGAUUAAGAAAAUUGCAUAUGUUCUGUUAUGUUCUGUAUCCGAUUAUAGUUUGAUUUGAUAUCUGUUUGUAUAGUUCUGAUCCGUAAAUGAAUGAGCUAUUUCCUAAGUCUAAAUCGGCAUUUGAACUUGGACAUCUACUGGUUUAAUCCACACUCUAUUGAAUAUGUAUAUUGUUGGUUUCUUUAUGAGAUAUUAAAUCAUUUUGUUGUUGAAUGAAUUACAGGUAAAUCACAGGCUUAGACGAGUCAGUGGAUGGGAAGCUCAGUUUCACUAUUUUAAACUGUUUAGUAGUACUAGUAUUGUUAGUUGUUAUUCGUAUUUUCAAUUUAGUUGGACGAUAAACCAACUUUCUUGCCUUGUUAGUUAUUUAAAUCUUAAAUGACUCUGAAGGAUUUUAAAGCUAAGUUAUGAAGUUGCUUUAUUAUUAUAGUUCGUUGUAACCCUCCAGGCUUGGCCUUGUCGUCUAGACCGGGUAUGAAUUGUUACACUCCUUUAUAAUAUUUAGCAAUGCCAACAAUGUUAAAAUUUGGCCCACACGAGGUUAAAACGCUUGCAAUUAAUUUUGUUUUCAAAUUUCAUUGCAUACUUGCUUGACCUGAUAGGAUCGAAAAAGUUUUUCAUCUAUCAAAACUAGUGUUUUAAAAAUUAUAUCGGAUCAGCCAAUUGGAUAUUAAAUCGGUCUAGAGAUAGGAGUUGAAUUGGUUGACUUGCGAGCCAAUACAAAUAAGUUGACCCAAGCUAAGGAAACCAAUUGAACCAGUUCUCUCUAUUUUUUAAUUUUUUAUGAAAUUUUAAUAUUUUAAAUUUAGAUAAAGAAAAUAUUAUCUUUUUAUCUUUUUUUUACAUGAAAAGUUUUAAUUGAUUAUUUUUAAAAAGAAAUAGGCUUAACAGUUUGCGUAACAACAAAAGUACCAACUUGGGAAAAAUAUAGUUUAGGUAGUACUUUUAACCAAAAAAAUAUUCAGGUACCAAAAUGAGAAAAAUGAUAGAGUUUAGGUACCAAUUUAUGAGUUAAACCUUUUUUUUAAAUGAAUUUAACGGUUUGACUUACUAUUUGACUAACGAAAGUAUCAACUUAAGAAAACAAAAGUAGUUUAUAAACCACUUGUGAGAAAAAAAAACUUUAAAUAUCAAGAUAAAAAAAAAUAUAUAUAUAAUUUAAAUAUCAAUUGAUAAAUUAAUUAUAUUCAAAAUAAUGGUAUUUUAGAUAGCAAAGGUAUUGAAAAUUUAAAGUGAUAAAUUACCUUUAUCAUUAUAAAUAAAUACCACAAUUUUUUUAAAUAAAAUAAAAAAUUUAGUUUAAAUAUCAUUAUUUCUUCUUUCAACAAUCAUUCUAUUCUAAAAAUAAAAAUAAAAUAAAUAAACAAAGAAAACUUUAUUAUAUAAUUUAAUCAGUUAAAUUUAAUCAGUUAAAAUAAAUAAAAAGUAAGACUUGAUGAAACACUAUAUAUAAUUUAAUCAGUUAAGUUUUAUUAUUAAUUUUUGUAUUACGUUGUGUAUUUAAUUUUUAUAUUUUAAUUUGAUUAUUUUUAAUUUUUAAUUUUUUAAAUUUUAAAAUUUCAUGUGGUAAUAAUUAAAUUUAUUAAGUUAAAUUAUACUAUUUCUAAAAGGGUUAAUGCACUAUUUACCCUUAAAAAUUGUACUCAACUAUCACCUUGAUACUUAAAGAAUUUUUUAUACCAAUUUUGUACACGGAGUUUCUAACUAUGAAUCACUUUACCUUACUUGUUAACUGCAUUAAAAAAAAGAUGAUGUGGCGUGCUCUCAGCAUAUUACGUGAUUCAAUUCUUAUUUUCUCAAAAUAAAUUCUAAAAAAAAUGAGAACAAUAAAUAAUAAUAAUAAUAAUUGAGAAUUUUUCUCAAUUUUUUUAAAAAUAAAAAAAUAUGCAAAUUUAUAGCAAAUUCCUAAAAUUGAAAAACUAUUUACAUUUUUUUAAGUACAAAAAAUUAAAAAAAAAACAAAUAAAAUCUAUAAAAUUUUAACAAAUAAAAAAUUGGAAAGUUGUAUAAAAUUUUCAAAAUAAAAAAAUAUUUCUCUUUUUUAAAAAUAGAUAAAAAUACAAAAAAGAAAAAGAAAAAAAUACAAGAAUUUCAAAUUUUUCAGAAAAAGCUUAAAACAAUUGAAAAUAAAAAAAAAUAUAUUUUUAAAAUAUAUGAAAUAUAAAAAAACUUUUAUUUGGAGAUAAAUACUGAAGGUUUAGGGGUUGAGCCUCUAGAACAUAUGAACUGAUAUCUGAGCGAUCAAGGCGAGGAAAGCGAAGUUUCAUAAUAGCCACCAGAGAGUCCCCUUCAAUCUCCACCGAACCAAACCCCAUCUCCCUUGCGAAUCAAAUCUCUUCCACACUCACCCAUGCCUCCGCUGCCAAAGGGGUUGAAACAUACUCCAUCCAGAAGAAGGUUGCCCACAUUAGAAGGCUUAAAUGAUUCAAAGUCAUGACCCCCGCACGUGCAGCCCCUCAAGUCCCUAUGAAACCCGGUAUCAAAAUUGAGUCGCAUACAAGGCUCGACUGACAGUCACCAUGUUCGGAAGGUUGAGUCCUUCCGUCGACCAUGCACAUCGAGUAACCAUCCCAGCCUUUAGACAUGACCCAAAAUAAAGGUAAGAAGCUCUAAAUUUUAUUGUCGCUUGCCCUCAUGCGCCAAAAGAUUUCUCAAAUACCAUACUACCUAAAUGGUGACAAUUAUUGUUAGACGUUGUGCAGGAGAACUACCACAAAGCAAAUCCCAACAAAGCAAGGAGUCGUUAACCUCAUCCACAUGCCAAGUGAAACCAAGGCUCAACCAAACCGAGAGCAGAAAUGGACAAUCACGACAAGCAUGAAGAGAUGUUUCACCACCCACACCACAUCGAGGGCACAUCGAGUCACCUCGAAGGUGUCGCAUGAAAAGAUAAGCAUUGGUAGACACAUAGUUGUUUAGGAAUUUUGACACUAUAAUUUGGAUAUUUUCCUAUGCAGGAAUCUGCCAAGGAGUUCUAUAAAUGUCCUUGAUGUCUUGACCCACAUUAAUGUACUUGUCCUUCAUCGAACUAGGAAAACUGUUGCGGAAAGGAUCGAUUCGAGAACUCCGAUAUGACUACAAGUAAAUUGACCGGAACGAAAAAUAAAGUGAACACAAGGAUUUACGUGGUUCGGCUUUAAUGCCUACGUCCACGGGCAGAGGCGAAAAGAAAUUUCACUAUAACAAGAUGAAGAUUACAAGUGUUUUACACUCAAGACACAACCCGAGAACCUCACAACUCUCAACCCCUAUAGAAAACCCGAAAGCUAAAAUCCUAGCUUUCAAAGAACAAGCUUUGCUCUCUCUUGGUUUGGGAUGAUGAAUAUGGCUAAUGAACCUCUCUAUUUAUAAGAGAGUUCAAGGACAUAAUUGUCCAAAACUUUGGCAAAGAUUUGUGGUUGAAAAUGGACACCAACAACCAUCCACUAAUCCACUACCACCAACAACCCACUACCAACAACAACAAUCCACUACCAAUUUUAAGCCAUUUCUUAACAAAUCUCCACCUUGGCUUGAAAUUUACCAAGCUGAACAUCAUAGUGAAUUCCUCGAACUGGAUCACCUCUUCCAAACGCCUCUCUGGCGCUAAUCAAUCCCGAAUACCUAUCAAGUCCAAGCAAUGCUUGAACUUAUAUGCAGGGAUCACCUUAGUUAACAUAUCUGCAGGAUUCUUCUCGGUAGCAACCUUGCUGAUAACAAUGUCACCUUGCGUAACAUGUUCCCGAACAAAAUGAUAUCUGACAUCAAUGUGUUUGGUCCGUUCAUGAAACAUCUGAUUUUUAGUCAGAUGUAUGGCACUCUGGCUAUCGCAAAAUACAACAGUGAAAUCCUGUUGUAAACCCAAACUGCUUACUAGACCUUUCAUCCACAAUGCUUCUUUCACUGCUUCUGCUAACGCCAUAUAUUCCGCCUCAGUCGUAGAUAAGGCUACGGUAGACUGUAACACAGCUUUCCAACUAAUGGCUCCUCCAGAAUAAGUGAAAACAUAACCCGUCAGAGAUCUUCUUUUGUCCAGAUCUCCAGCAUAAUCAGAGUCCACAUAGCCCGUGACACUGCUAGUGCAGUCACUCUGAUCAUAUACCAAGCAUAAAUCUGCAGAACCUCUCAAGUACCUGAGAAUCCAUUUCACGGCCUGCCAGUGUUCCUUGCCAGGACAACUCAUGUAUCUGCUGACCACACUAACUGCAUGUGAAAUGUCUGGACGAGUGCAAACCAUUGCAUACAUCACGCUUCCAACUGCACUCGAGUAUGGAAUGUGAGACAUUUGCUGCUUUUCUUCAUCAGAUUGUGGUGACAACUCUGCAGAGAGUUUGAAAUGUGGUGCCAACGGAGUACUCACAGUUUUCGCUUUAUCCAUGCCGAAGCGUUGAAGAACCUUUUCAAUGUAGUUCUUCUGCGACACACGAAGCUUGCCCGCCUUGCGAUCUCUGUGAAUAUCCAUGCCCAAAAUUUUCUUGGCAGCACCCAGAUCCUUCAUCUCGAACUCACCACUCAACUGCGACUUUAACUUGUUGAUUUCCGACAUGUUUUUGGAAGCAAUUAACAUGUCAUCAACAUACAGCAACAAAUAAAUGUGCGAACCAUCUGAGAGCUUCCGAUGAUAGACACAAGCAUCAUAGUCACAUCUUGUGUAACCAUGCUGAAUCAUGAAGCUAUCAAACCGCUUGUACCACUGCCUUGGGGAUUGUUUCAAUCCAUAUAAAGACUUCUUUAAUAGACAGACAUGGUCUUCUUUACCAGGAACUGUAAAACCCUCUGGUUGACGCAUGUAGAUUGUUUCCUCGAGCUCACCAUGCAAGAACGCCGUUUUUACGUCAAGCUGCUCAAGUUCUAGAUCAGACUUGGCCACCAUGGCAAGUAAUACACGAAUGGAAGAAUGCUUUACGACUGGGGAGAAAACUUCAUUGUAGUCAAUCCCCUCUUUCUGAGUGAAGCCUUUAGCAACCAAUCGUGCCUUGAAUCUAGUUGCUUCAACCCCUAGGAUGCCUUCCUUUUUCUUGAAGACCCAUUUGCAACCAACUAUCUUCUGGUUACUUGGCGGCUUAACCAACUCCCAAGUAUGGUUCUUGUGAAGAGAUUCUAUCUCCUCACUCAUAGCAAUUGCCCACUGUGCCGACUCAUCACACGUGACAGCCUCAUUAUAACUGGAAGGUUCUAUACCAAUGGACUCCGCCACACUGAGCGCGAAAGACACCAGAUUAGCGUAACGCGGAUUUGGUUUGAUUUGUCUCUUCGUUCUUCCAGUGGCAAUGCUAUAUGGUUUUUCUUGAGGUGACUCAUCUUCAUCGGAAUCUUGCACCUCAACUUGAUCAUCCUGGACUGAAGUACCUUCCGUAGGAAUUGGAGCGUCCACCUGACACUCCACCUGCUUCUCAACACCGUGAUCUCCCAUUCUAUCUGACUCCUCCUUUUCCCGGGAAUUUGUGGUGGAUCGAAGCAUGGAUGACUCAUCAAAAGUCACAUCUCUGCUGAUGAUGAACUUGGACGAAACCGGAUCAGGACACCACAACCUGUAUCCUUUCACCCCUUGGCCGUAUCCAAGAAAUAUGCAUUUCUUCGCCCUCGGUUUGAGUUUUCCCUCAUUUACAUGAGCAUACGCAGGGCAGCCAAACACUCUUAAACCAGAGUAAUCAGCAGGAGAACCAGACCAUACUUCCUCAGGAGUCUUCAGCUCAAUAGCUGUUGACGGAGAUCUGUUAACCAAAUAACAAGCAGUAUUAACAGCUUCAGCCCAAAAUUCUUCACCGAGCCCAGCAUUUGAUCGCAUGCAACGAGCUCGCUCCAAGAGAGUUCUAUUCAUGCGUUCUGCAACUCCAUUUUGUUGUGGUGUUCGACGAACAGUGCGGUGUCUCACUAUUCCUUCAUUUUUGCAGAACUCAUUGAAUUCACCUGAGCAAAACUCCAAGCCAUUAUCCGUCCGGAAUCGCUUGAUCUUCUUUCCUGUUUGAUUUUCGAUCAAAGCUUUAAAUUGCUUGAAGUUGAUGAGAACCUCAUACUUGCUCUUCAGAAAAUACACCCAAACCUUUCUCGAGUAAUCAUCGAUAAAGGUAAGCAGAUAUCUGUAACCACCUUUAGAAAUUGUCGGAGAAGGCCCCCAAAGGUCAGAAUGGAAGUAAUCCACUGUGCCUUUUGUCUUGUGAAUCCCAGUGCUGAACUUUACCCGAGUCUGCUUACCGAAGACGCAGUGCUCACAGAAAUUCAACUUUCCUGUACACUGCCCAGACAAUAAUCCUCGUUUGCUUAGCACCGAUAAGCCUCUCUCGCUCAUAUGCCCGAGCCGCAUAUGCCAUAACUUCGUGGUGUCAGAAUCUAGAUCAUCUGAUGAUGACACUCCCGCAACACCUGUAACCGAGGAACCAUCGAGGAAGUAAAGGCCCCGCUCCAAAUUACCACGUAUCACAGUCAAAGCACCCGAGAAUACCUUGAGAACUCCACCUUCAGCAGAGUACCGAAAGCCUUUCUUGUCCAACGUACUCAAAGAGAUCAAAUUUUUCUUCAUUUCUGGAAUGUGCCGAACAUCAGUUAGAGUUCUAACAAUACCGUCAAACAUCUUUAUACGAACUGUGCCAAUCCCCAUGACUUGACAUGCGUGGUCAUUUCCCAUUAGUACUGAACCAGAAUGCUUCUCGUAUGUUGAGAAUGCAUCUUUCGAAGUACUUAUAUGAAAUGUAGCUCCCGUAUCAAGAAUCCAUCUCCCACCAGCGUAAGAGUCGGAUACUGCAAGAACGAUCUCGGCAUCACUUGAAGAAUCUGCAUCAGCUACAUUCGCACGAUCAUUUUGUUGCUCCUGUGAUUCUGAUUUCUCCUUCCUUUUCGGACAAUCUACCUUCAUGUGCCCGUACUUCUUACAGUAGUAGCACUGUAUUCUCUUCUUGGACUGCGAUCUAGGAUGGCUUUUACUUGAACUUCCACCCUUUGCCUUGGAUCUUCCUCGAGCAACCAAGCCUUCGCCUUCAUUGUUUUCGACCACCUUACCAGUGAUUUUCUUCCUCAACUCACUGGAACUUAAGGCAUUUUUCACCUCCUCUAGAGUCAGGUCAUCACGACCGUACAUCAUUGUAUCAACAAAAUUCUCAUACGAGGGAGGCAAAGAACACAAAACAAUUAUUGCUUGGUCCUCAUCAUCGAUUUUGUUAUCGAUAUUAUUCAAAUCCAUGAUAAUGGAAUUGAAUUUAUCCAGGUGCUGGGAAACAGGUGUACCUUCCUCCAUCUUCAGGGCAUAGAGUCUUUGCUUGAGGUAGAGCCGGUUCGUCAAUGACUUCGUCAUGUACUUGCUCUCUAACCGGAGCCACAAACCGGACGCGGUUUUCUCAUCCGCUACUUCUCGUAGCACUUCAUCUCCUAGACAUAGCAGAAUAGCACUAUGUGCUCUUUCUAGCAUGUCAUCCUUUUGCUCUUCCGAAAGCGUGCUUGGUAAUUUAUCUUUACCAGACAAUGCUUUUAGCAAUCCUUGUUGAACCAGCACUGCCCGCAUCUUGAUGCGCCAUAAACUGAAACUAUUUUUCCCGGUAAAUUUCUCGACAUCAUACUUAGUCGAUGAAACACUUGUAGCCAUAAUUUGGAACCUUUGAAUGAAUGAUAAUAUUUUCUUCCUGAUGUGAAAGAUCAGACAAAGCUGCAGUCACAGGGCAAUUCAGAAAAUAUUAUCACUCCUUCAACUACGCUCUGGUACCAAUUUGUUGCGGAAAGGAUCGAUUCGAGAACUCCGAUAUGACUACAAGUAAAUUGACCGGAACGAAAAAUAAAGUGAACACAAGGAUUUACGUGGUUCGGCUUUAAUGCCUACGUCCACGGGCAGAGGCGAAAAGAAAUUUCACUAUAACAAGAUGAAGAUUACAAGUGUUUUACACUCAAGACACAACCCGAGAACCUCACAACUCUCAACCCCUAUAGAAAACCCGAAAGCUAAAAUCCUAGCUUUCAAAGAACAAGCUUUGCUCUCUCUUGGUUUGGGAUGAUGAAUAUGGCUAAUGAACCUCUCUAUUUAUAAGAGAGUUCAAGGACAUAAUUGUCCAAAACUUUGGCAAAGAUUUGUGGUUGAAAAUGGACACCAACAACCAUCCACUAAUCCACUACCACCAACAACCCACUACCAACAACAACAAUCCACUACCAAUUUUAAGCCAUUUCUUAACAAAAACCAUGCAAAAGGAGUCAAUAGCCACUCCGAAUCGUGUACUCUCGAGAACCUUUUAAGCACCAAUGCAACUGUCAGAGGCUUCCUACUGCGGCAAAGGAAUGAAGAGGAUCGUACGAGCCUCUAAGGCAUCAAACGUUGAUAGAACAACAUCCUCAUUCCACAUAUUCAUAUUUGUGUCAAUCAAAUCAGUAACCUAAUUAAUACCGUUGACUCAUUGUAACUCCACCAGAAAUGGUCGAUCACUAGAGCGUCAUGACAUGUCACAAACAAAAAUCUCAUUCUCAUUCCCCAUUAGCCAACUACAACCUUUGACGAGUAGGCCUUUCGCCGCCUAGAUGCUCCUCCUAAUAAAAGAAGGUUUGCUCCCUAAUGUCGACUGUAGGAAAUCAUCACACAAAAAAUAUUUCACCUUAAGAACCCUUGCCAUUCACAAAAAUUAUCCCUAUUUAAAUUUUUCUUAGUAAAAAUGUUAAUAAGAGGAUUAUAAGACAUAUUUGAACUGAAAAAAAAUGAAGAUUCAUUAAUUACUAUAUUUGUAUUAAGCAAAUAUUUUCAUUUCAGCAACAUAUCAAGAAUGUAGUAUGAUGCAUGCGUCUUGUAUUAAAACCUUGAAAAUAAUUUUUUUUUGUUGCUAUGAUCAUUUUCACACCCAUCAAUCAUGUCACUUUGGGGUCCAUGAUUAACUAGUAAGAACAUGGAAUACAUCCAAUCAGUUCAUGAAUCUUAAUUCUCAAGACUCCACAGGAACCAACGAUCGUUUAACAUUUAGCCAUCAUCUCUAGAUUAAAUAUCGUUUUUUGGGAAACUAUUUCAUAAGAGAAGAUUUUAAGUAUGUAACCGUUGACUCAACACCCAUCAUGAACAUGUUUUCAUUUAUGAGUCAUCUUGGGAUAAUUUCACUAAGAUUCAUGCACAACUACUUAUCUUGAAAAGUAAAUCUCAUCUAGUGAACCCACAUGAUAAAAUUUAUCUUGGGACAAUUUUUUUUCUUUUAUCAUGCUAUCAUUUAAUACCAUCAAUGGAGGUCGCAGGUCUUGUUAAAGGACCUUCUCCCACUCAAUAUUUUAAAAUAAUAUGAAAGGUUUUUAUCUCAUGUUUAAAACAUGAUCAUACAAUAGUCCUAGUGACAUUCUUAUCUAAUUUAUAUGACAUGCUUCUCAUAUAUGCAUGACAUGCUAUGACAAUUUUACAAUAUUCACAUUCAUUUAUUCAUAAGAAUCAAUCAAUCAUAAAACAAAUAAUUUUGAUUCUCCAUAGUUUUUCCUUUGAGGGAAAACUGAAUAAGUGAAUGUGAACCGUGCACCAGGUAGGGUCUUAGGAAAGGGAGGUGAAUCAAAGUUGACCACUUAAAAACCAAGCCUUCUAAUACCACACUUCUCACGGUAAUCGAAUAACCUAAAGGAGUGAAUAGAACAAUACAACGCAUGCAUUUUCUCAUUACCACACUUCUUAUUUUUUUUAAUCGAUCAACUGCGGAUCAUCUCAUAUAUAUAUAUCACAAUUGUAACAUUACAUUAUAUAAAUAUUAAAAACAAUUAUAAAACAAAAAUAUAAGGAGGUGAGUAAUUAAAAUAAAAUUGUCAACCAAGGUUUCCAUGGUUUUAUUCUAGAAAAUAAAAGAAAAAAAAUAAAAUUACAUAGUUAUUGGCCACAAGGCAUUCUUUGGGUCUUCAACUGCCAUCGCUCUAUCUUUUCCUCAUCAUGGACUCCUUUUGGUAGAACUACAUUUAACCCUUAUGUCCGUUUUCGGAUCAAGAAUUCUAUAGAUUAAAAAAACAAUCCUACAUGAAGAUGAUAGUCUACGGUCUAUUUCCUAAGAACCAUAACAUUGACAAAGCAAACAAUUAGAUAAUAAAUAUAUAAUAUCGCAUUCAUUCUCAUAUAUAACACAAAAAUAUGUAUAAGAUCUAAAGAAUGUCACUUUCUAUGUAAUCAAAUCAUUCAAGAAGAAGAGAAUUUUAUUUUGGUUAUCUAUUUAUACUUAUAGAUAGAGCAAAACCUAAUUUUAAUACCAAUUGUUCAAAAAUGGGUUUGGAUAAUGCAGCGAAAAAUCAAUAUAGGGAAAAACCUAAGUUUUAAAAAGUUAUAAAAUAAGAAUUUGGUUGUGAUAUCAAAAGUAAUAAACUUAAUAAAAAUUAUACCAUUUGCAUAUGCUCCACCUUCUCUUACCAUCAGGUCAAGCACAGAAUGGUGGGAAUCGUUGGAGUGGAAUGACCAUCCAUACUUUAAAAAUGUUCUUCGCUUCAACCCCCGUGGAGGAUAAGAGGUAUGAACCAUUUAUGGUUUUGUUUUUUUUUUUAUAAAUCUAAUUUCUCCAUAUUAAUAAAAUUUGAUGUAUAUUUGUGAUGAUGUUGAAGAGAAAGAUAGAAGGGUUGGUGGGAAAGAAGAAGGGGGAAGGAUAGUGCAAAAGAGAGGAGAAAAGGAAUGAUGGAAGGAAGAGGUUAAGAGCAUGGAGACUGAGAGGCAAAGGUAAAUAAGAAAUCAAACUUUUUAAACAUUUUCCAUCUCUUACCAUUCCUUCUAUUCUCUUCUAAUAUAUAUAUGUACAUCCCAAAAUAACCUUCUGAAUAUUUAUUAUUAAAAUAUUUAUAUUAAUCGAAAUGAUUUAAGGUGAGACAAAACUACCAUAGUUUUAUUUCCAAUAAAAGUUAGGAAAUUAUUGUAAAAAGACAUAAUAUUUUUUAAUUUCUAUGUAAAAUUUCUGGAAACAUUAAGAUUUAAAAAAUAAUAAUAUAGUUAGGAAUUAAUACCAGAAGAGCUAUCCAGAAGCAAUAUAAUGUUGAAAUCGCACACUGUUGAACAUUUUACCUCUUAAUAUUCUGUUGCACACUUGAAUCCAGCAUUUUCUAUACAUUGAGAGGUUAAUUCUGGAUAUACAAAUUUCAUUGUGUUUCUGUCUGCCACCCAUCCAUAGCUCCAUCUAAUAAACGCCAUUGCUUGAAACUUGCAUUCAUGCUUACACUGACAUAUCAAAAAGCCAAUACAUUCACACAUUUUCCUUAUCUGUACUGUUAUAUAUGAUUGCGUUGCAGGGACAUAGCAAUGGAGUACGUACAGCCUGUUCUUGGCAUUGCAAAUUGUCUCGGAACUCCGGCUUGUAAAUACUUGCAAUAUCUCAGAAAGCUCAAUGAUUAUGUGAGAAACUUCAAGAGGAUGAGAGAUGAGUUGAAUUGCAAAAUGGAAGAUAUAGAGCUGCAAUUGAAAGCAGAGCUUCUUCGUCCUCUGGGGAAGAUACCGAAGAAGGGAGUUGAAAAUUGGUUGAAAGCUGUGAAAGAGAUGAUUAAGGAAGCACAAGUUGUUGAAAACAAAGUAACGGGAGAUAUCUCCGUCGUGCUUGCAACGAGAAGCUGGUUGAUGAAAAGACUCGAGAAAUGAAGGAAUUUCUUGAUAACGCUCCUAAUGCCUCUGAAGGUCUUGCCAUGGAUGGUCCAAGUGCUGGGUUGCCACUGCCAACAUCAGAACUAGAUGGAGAAGAAGCUGUCAGAAAUGAGAUUUGGGCAUGUUUGAUGCAGGAGGAGGUGAGCAAGAUUGGGGUUUGGGGGGUGGGCAUAAAAAAUUAUUAAAAUAGAUCAUUGCUAAUUCUCUCUUUUCUUAAUCGGUAAGUUUCUCUCUUCAAAUCCUUUUAUUUCUUUAUUGAAUCCAUCGCAUAUCAUUUGCAAACCCAUUUCUGUACAGUUUGUUUGUUCAAUUUUUCUUUUUCCAAUUUUUCUCUUGAUUUAGAUGGAAGAUUCUUUUGUAGCAUUUGAAGAGUUUCUAAAAAUUUUAGGGUUUUCCUAAAUCUAACUUUCUUGACACCAUGUGCGUGUAUAAAUUUCUUUCGUGGAGAUUAUUUAUCAUGUUUGUGUGUUUCGUCUCUUGAGGUUGAGCUGUUUUUAUUUUCAAAAAUAAAUAUUUAUUUUCUUUUGCAUUUAUUUCUAAUAUCACUAUAAAUUGUUUAGGGUUGUCGAUUUUGGGGAUUUUAGGUUUUGGAUGAUCUAAUUUGGGGAUUUUGAGUAAGGGUUUUGAUUUUAGGAAUUUUUAUUUAGGGUUUUUAAAUUAGGAGAUUUUGGGGAUUUCUCACACCGCCCUCUCAUCAACUUCAAAGCCAACAAAUCUACAUCUAGGCUCAUGCAAAAAGUCACCAGAACCCAUGUUUGAAACCUCAGGUCACUUCCGCCAUGCAGAUUGCAUCGAACUGAUCGACGACUCUAUCAAAGAGCUCCAAAAAUCUUUAUGUAAAUUUUUUUUCAUAUCAGAUGCUCCAACUUUGUGCUCAUGAGUGAUCUUCAAACCUAGGUUAAUGCUGCCCUGACGGAUGAAGAUACUUGCAUGGAUGGAUUCUCAAGCAAGGCCAUGAAUGGGUAUGCAAAGAUGAUGUGAGGAAACGAAUUAUUAAGAUCACACGUUUGACGAGCAAUGUUUUGGCUCUCAUUAAUAAUUAUGCUUCAUCUCAGAUCCUUCAUUGAUUUUCUUGAGAAAACUUUGAUGGCAAGGAAAGUAUUGUGUUUCAUGGAUUUAUGUUCAAUAUGGGAUUUUAUGGUUUUCGAACAGGGCACAAGUUUUUCAGGUACUGUAGAUUGUGUUCUCAACUCUAUGUUUGUGGUUCUUGAUUUUUGCAAUUGUAUCAAUUUGAAUAUGAAAUUUGUGUUCGUGUAUGUUUAAGGUUUUUAUUAUUUUUUAAUAAUUUUAAAAUCAUUUGUUGACGUGGUAUAUAAAAUAAAAUAAUGUUAUGUUAGUAUUUAAAUUCAUUUGGACUGUCAUGUCAGAGGUUAAUGUUGACCAUUAGACAACUAACGGCCACAUCAGCCUCUAUGUUAAAAAUAAACCAAUUUGUUAGAAAUUUAAAUUUUGCACUAUAAAAUUAAUUUUUAAAAUUAACUAUUCAAUUUGUAAUUGAUUUUAUUAAAUUAAAAUAUUCACUAAUGUUUGAAAAUGUUCUCCAUGUUAAUUAUACACUUGAUUGUUUUUUUUAAUUAUUUAAGAAUUCAGUUAAAUGGUAAUCAAUUUAUAUUAAAAUAUCAGUUUUAUUGGUUGUAUUAUUUCAUUAGUGUUCUUAUAAUAUUAUUUCAUUUUUAUUUAUAGACACCAACUUCAAAAGCAGAAGAGGAUUAAUUCACGAGAAGAUAUGGCUCAUACUGUAAACGAUAAAUAAGAUAUUAUAAAUUGAUAUCAUUAAAAUUUAAAUAAUAUACAAAGAGUAGAAAAAUAAAUUGAAAACAUAUUAUAUGAUCUAAAUGAACUAUAAUAAAAGGAUUAUAUAUUUCCUAUCAAUCCUACUAUAUUGUCUUUUAUAAAUAAUUUCCUAUCAAGCAAGUUGACAGCUAAAGGGUGCAAAUUUGACUUUGCUAAAUUCUCUAGCAUCAAAGAGGCAAGAUAUGUUGCAAACAAGACAUAAACCAAUAUCAACAUGGUGAUUCCAAAAUUCAAAACACACUAAACCCCUACUUUUGUAUGAUAGAGAAAAUAUGAUGUACAAAUUUAUAGUCAUGGAAUGUAUUAGGUGCAUUGAAGAUAAUUCAGUGUUAGAAUCAAAGAAAUUUAUCGUUAUUUUUGUGAAUUGUAAAAUUGUGCAUCAACUGGGAAAAAUGUUCGUCUUCCAUUACAAGAAUUUCCUUAAAGUUAAUAGUUUGAGAGAUAAUUUUAAGGAGGAAUUGGAAGGCAUUGCUAUAAGGAGAAUCUGAAGAAAGUAAUUUCGUUUUGAGUUUCAAGUGAAAGGAAUGAAAGAAAGGUUGCUUAAAUAAAUACAGGAUUGGAUAUUGAGUUGUUUUGAAUAGUUGAGCGAAGGACACAUGGACCAUAUGAAAUUCAAGUCUACCAAAGUAAUGCUAAUCAGAUUCCUCUUUGGAAAUGACAACUUUUCAAAACAUUGUCAAUCUACCUUGAAAUGUGGCAUCUGUGAAAGAAUCAAUCAUGAAAUAUUAAAAUUAUACUAAAACGACUAUAACGAUUUAUUUCCCCUAUAAAUAAACGUUUUCUUUUCUUCCUUAAAAAUUAACAUGAUUUUAUCUUAAUAUAUAUAUCUAUACACGUCUCAAAAUAGCCUUCUAAAAUAUUUAUUUUAAAAAAUAAUUUAUAUAAUACAUAUAACAAUUAAUUAUAAACUUAUUUUGAUAUGAUGUCAAAAUUAAAUAUUAUAAUGGUCCUUUACCACAUUCAACACUAACUUUGAUUUUAUAAUUUUAAAAAAAGAAUUAAACUAAUAACAUAAAAAAUUUAAACUAAAGUUUUUAAAAGAAUUUAGGUUAAACUACACCAUUAGUCACUCAAAAAAGGGUCAAUUUUCAUUUUGGUCACUUAACUAAAAUAAGAUACAAUUUGGUCACUAAUGUUUCUAGAAAAUAAAUUUGGUCACCCGACUGUUAAGUUGCAUUUACUUUGGCUGGUAUGAUAACAAUUUUUGUCACAUCCCAAAAACCAAGUUAGUAGAAAUUGGGUUAGUGAAACCAAGAGUGGUCACGUUCUGUUUUUGAGUUAAGAUUGUGAAAAUUAUGUUAAGUAAAUUUAUUUGGUUUAGUGGUUAAGUCCUUUGGAUGUGUCUAAGGUCUUGCGUUCAAAUUUUUUCCCUUAAACUUUCAUUAUUUUUGUCCUAACUUCCAUUUCUGAACAUCUAGCUUAUAUAUUAUGUUUUCUCAAUUGAUGAUAAGAAUGAGUUUACUAGUUUAGUGGUAAGGCUUCAGUUUACUUAGAGGUCUUGUGUUUGAAUCUUAUGUAUGUAAAGUUGAAUUAUUUUUGUUUUUAAACUCUAAGAAAUUUUUUUAUAAGGAUAACUAAUCAAAUUGAGUGGGGAAAAUUUCCCCAAAAUUCUCCUCAUUCUGUUGCUCACUUCUUCCCACAUUGUUCACUUUUUCUUUUCCCUUUUCUUUUUACAUUUGAUUUCUUCUUCUUUUUUUUUUGCUUUGGUAGUUUUGCUGCCUUCCUUUCUCAUCUUUUCUCUACUAUUUUCUUUUGUGUUAUUCUAUUGGUACGCUGUUGAAUCUCUGUUAUUCCUUCGGGUAAGUGUUGGUUAUUUGUUUUAUAUAAAUGUGGUGUUGGGUUAAUCUUUCAAGUGAUUGAUGGUUUCAAUUUUGAUAUUUGCAAUGUGUUGUUAGGAGAAGAUCGACAGACUCUUGAAUUGUCUCUAGCGAUUUAAGUGCAGGAAAGGGCUGUUGUUUUUGCAAGGGUAAGUGAUUAAAGUUUUCAAUUGGAGGUUGAUUCGGUUGCUUAGGCUAAGUGUUUAGCAUUUUGGAUUGAAUUAGUGACUUGGAUUUAGCAUAUUACGAAUAAUUCUUACAUUAUAAAAUGUCAAUUUAGGUAUUGAAAUCCUCGUAGUGGUGUUAGCAUCGAAAAUCAACUUGGUGUGUAACGGAAAUAUCGAAAAAUAACAAACGACACGAUGUUGAAAAACCCACUAUCGACGUCACACAGCCAUGUGCCAGGUUAUGUAGGUCAUACAGGCUGGGUUAUUUGGGUCGUGUGGGCUACACGGGUGUGUGUUAGGCUAUGUGCACGAGUUGGUCAGUUGCGUCGUGUGGGCCCAUUUUUUGUAAAAUUCUAUCAAGGUCGUAUUUGAAGUGCGAUUUUAAAUUAGUCACUUUGUAGGUUCCGAAAUGUGUUAUGUAUGCAUUCUGGAUACGAAAUUUGAUAUUUUGUUUCUAUUAAUGUGAUUUUUGAAGCAUAUUAUUCAAUAUUGACAUUGUACAUGUAACAUUCAAGAGCAUGUUUGUGGUAUGAUUUAUGCUUCUGAUCUGUAAUUUGAGAAUCUAUUUAAGCAUGAUCCAUUUAUGUGCCUCUGAGUAUGUAAAAUGUUUUGACAUGUGCAUUGGGGUGGAAUGAUGAUGUGAUGGAGGAAGUGUUUUGGCAGUUUAACUGUAUGCUGAUAUUUAUAAGGCAUCGUUGCUGGGCAACUCGGGAUAACUUAAUUUGUGGUUUAACCACAUAUCUAAUAUGGUGGCUUAACUAGACUUAUUGAUUUUGGCAGAAUACCGCAUUAUUUUUGGCAGCGUGAUUGCGCUAUUCUAAAAAGUGAUAUAUGCUCACUUAUUGGUGUGACAGAUGGAUGGGGUCCUUGUAACACCCCUUACCCGAGACCAUUGUUGGAAUCGAGCACGAAGCAUUACCUAACUUAACUUACUAAUUCGGAGCAUAAAAAUUUGCUUUUAAAAUUAAUUCGCUCACGUUUAAUCAAUAUGUUCCUAAAAAGGAUCCUCGAGACCCUAAAACAUGCAAUGAAAUCAAUUCGGGUCCAAACCAGGAACAUUAAAAAAUUUUCAAUUACUUAAACAAGUCAAAAUGAUUUAUUUUACUAUCCACAAUAAAAUUUCCACCUACGCAAUAGUCACUAAAUUUUUUAUAACUCAAGUUACGAAAUUUAAAAUUUAGAUCCGUCAAUUUUCCCUGAAACUAGACUCAUAUAUCUUCUUUACUUACUCUCUUACUCGUUUACUUACUUGCCUGCUUAGACAAUUCAUGUUUAUAACUUACUCAUUCCUUGCUGAAAUUUCUUUUCUCAACUGAUAACUGAGAUACUCUUAAUCUUAUUAACUCACCUGAACUUGUCUAUUAGGCUUUUACCUGAACUUUCAUGUAACAUCGUCUAUUUACUAGCCCUUUGAAUCACUUGGAAUACUAAGGAUACUCGGGUCUCUUGUCUGAAUAUUAUAGCCAAAGCUAUGUCCCAAACAUAGUCUUCCAUGAGAUGUUUCUUGUAUUGCCAAUGCCAUAUCCCAGAUAUGGUCUUACAUGAGAGUUCUCAUAGAGGUGCCACUGCCAUGUCCUAGACAUGGUCUUACGGGGGACAUUUCAUCUCAGUGCCAAUGCCAAGUCUCAGACAUGAUCUUACAUGGGACCUCUCAUCUUGGUGCCAACACCAUGUCCCAGACAUGGUCUUACAUGGGAUCUCAUUCCCCAAAUGUCAUGACAUUUGUAUCUAUUACAUUCCCAAUGUUUCAACGGGGCUUUUAUCACUGAUUCUCUGUCAUCUAAUACUUGAGUCAACAUUAGAUAUUUUCAUGAAAUAAAUACAUAAUUGCUGAAAAAUAACAGCAUUAAUAAUAAUUAUUGAAAUAUUGCAUUUAUUUACCGUAAACUUACCUUGGUACAAAAUAUGAUCAAAUCAGCACUUUAGUCCUCAACAUUUUUCUUUCCCCGAUCUAACUCCAAAUUUAGUUCUUCUUGAUCUAUAAUAGAAAAUUUGGCUUAUUUAAUACUCACAUUCAUCAAAACAGUCCUUGACUUGAACUUUGACAAAAUUACGUUUUUCCUUAAACUUUUGCAUAUUUACACUUUUGUCCCAAAGCUCAGAAAUUAAACUUCAUCCCUUAUUCUUAUGUUUUAUGACAUGCUGAACAUUUUUCCCUUCUAUGGAAACAUCAAAUUCUCAAUCUAACACUUACUUAUGAACAUUAGGUAUUUUUACCGAUUAUGUCAAUUUACUCGUUUUUACUUAAAAUCGACUAGCAAAAGUUGUUUAACAUAGUUCCAAGCUUCAUAUUCUACCAUAAAACAUCAAAAUAAACACAUUUCACGUAAGGGUAUUUUUCCAAAGAUGAACCCUAGAUUAAAUUAUUGCUAGAAUAAGCUAAAUCAAGUUACCGGAACUCUAAAAACGUAAAAAACAUUAAAAACGGGGCUAGAACGAACUUACAAUCGAGCUUGGAAGCUUGAAAAAACCCUAUUCAUGGUUUACCCUUGUGAAAUUCGGCCAUGGGGUUGAAGAUGGACAAAAUUUGGCUUUUAAUUUGGCUUUUAAUUCAUUUUAAUAACAAAAUAACCAAAAUGCCCUUAAUGAAAAACUUUGGAAACAUGCCUAACCAUGUCCAUUUUUGUCCACCAACUUAACCAAUGGUCUAAUUACCAUAUAAGGACCUCCAAUUGAAAAUUUCAUAACAAUUGGACACCUCUAACAUGUAGAACUCAACUUUUGCACUUUUUACAAUUUAGUCUUUUUGAAUAAAUUGGGUGCCCAAACGUCAAACUUUCCAAACGAAAUUUUCACAAAAUCAUUUCGUGAAAUCGUAGACCAUAAAAAUAUAAUAAAAAUAAAUUUUCUCACGUUAAAUUUGUGGUCCUGAAAUCACUAUUCCGACUAGGCCCAAAAUCAGGAUGUUACACUCUUAUAGUCCUAUUUGGUGUGUAUUAGUGGGACAGAAAUGGUGUGAACUGGAUGGAGGUAGGAUCUAUUUCUGUGUCUGUAUUUGCAUCUGUAUUUGUAUAUGCAUCUGAUUCUGUAUAUGAGAUUGCAUCUUUAUCUGAAACUGAAAUUAUUUAUGUAAUUGAAUUGUAUCUAUUUCUGUAACUAUUACUGUAUUUGAGUCUAUUCUGCCUGUUUGGGUUGAGUUACACACUAAGCCUAUAAGCUCACCCUAGUUCUUUGUGUAACACCCUUAGCCCGUAUCCAUCGCCGGAUUAGGGUUAUGAGGCAUUACUACACGAAUCACAAUUCAGAACAGAGUUUUGCUACAUUUAUUGUUUCAUAAUUUAAACUCAUCAGAACACUUAUUCCAUUCGAUUUUAAACUUAAAAUUUCUAUACUAAUAUCAUAAUUAUAUUUAAGAUUAUUCGAUUAUAUAUAUACAUGUGUCAUUACGCAACAUAUACCAACAUACAUGAUAACAAAUUUUUCAUAAGCUAAUCCUCAAACAUAACCUUUUUAUAGUCUAAGCAUAUUCACAUAUUAAAAUCGAUUAUCAAUCAUACAAAAAUACAACUUUGAUUAACCAUUAUGGUCGAAUAUACUAAUUGUUAGAAUUGUGUGACCCAAAUUCUAAGAGAUUGCUUGCAAGUCAAGUUAAACAAAAAUAUAUUUUCUUUCUAGAAGAUUUAGUAUUUAUUAGUAUAAUAUAUUUAGCAUUUAUUAGUAUAGUUUAUUUGACUUACUAAUUUAGCCUAUAAAUAGGCUCUUUACAAUCUUAGAAUUAAGACACACCCAUUAGAUUAGAACUCAUAAUACAUUCAAAGAAUUUUGUGUUUACGUUUUCGGGUUCUUUGUUUUCGGGUUUUCGGGUUUAGUUUUUAUCUCCAUCUUUUGUACUCUUCAUUCUUUUGCCAUUAUAGUAAAAUUUCUUUGCCCGUGGUUUUUUAUCCUCUUUAAAGGGAUUUUUCCACGUUAAAUUUGUGUGUUCAUCUUCUUAAUUUCUUCUGCUAUUUUUACUUGUUUGUUGUUUAAUCGGGACGAUCCUAACAAGUGGUAUCAGAGCUAGUUUAACUUUCAUAGAUCAGCCCAUUCAGAGAUGGCAGCAACAAGGUUUGAAAUUGAAAAGUUCGAUGGUGAGACAAAUUUCAAUUUGUGGCAAGUUUGAAUGAUGGCAAUUCUAGUUCAAAAUGGCUUGAAAAAGGUUGUUACAGGGAAAAAGCCUGAGAAUCUAAAUCAAACAGAAUGGGAAGAGCUUGAUGAAAAGGCCUUGUCUGCAAUCCAGUUGUGCCUCGCGAAUACAGUAUUGCAGGAGGUAUUGAUGGAGAAGACCUCAUUCGCCUUGUGGAAAAGGUUAGAAACUCUUUAUGCGACUAAGUCUCUGGCUAACCGAUUAGUGUUGAAACAACGUCUAUUUACGUUUCGCAUGAACGAAGGUGAGCUUCUUAAAGAUCACAUCAGUCAAUUCAUUACUCUUUUAAAUGAUUUAAAGAACGUUGAGGUUCAUAUUGACGAUGAAGAUCAAGCUAUGCUAUUAUUGUGCUCUUUACCCUCUUCAUACAAGUCUUUCAGGGAGACCCUGAUUUAUGGCAGAGACAAACUCUCGUUUGAAGAUGUGAAGGGUUAUUUGUUGAGUAGAGACAAACUCGACAAUGAGUUUGGUUUGAAUAGCAAAGCAGAUAGGCAAGCUUCCGUUUUGGUAGCAUCAAAGAAACGAGACAAAAGGUGUCGUUAUUGUAAAAAGUUAGGUCACGUCAAAGCAGAUUGUUAUAAACUGAUAAAUAAAAGAGAUGCUGAGAGUAACGAGGAAGAUGUAGCUGGUGCUAAUUUGGUCGAUGAAGGCGAUGAUGAUUUCUUGUUAGUGUCAACGAGCGAUAAUUCCAAGCUUACGUCUGAGUGGAUCCUAGAUUCAGGAUGUUCUUUCCACAUGUGUCCCAAUAGAGAAUGGUUCUCCACAUACAGUUCAGUUGAAGGUGGAGUUAUGCACAUGUGAAACGAUUCAUCUAGUAAAAUAAUCGGUAUUGGUACUAUUAAAAUUAGGAUACACGAUGGGACGAUUAGGACACUCUCAGAUGUCAGGUAUGUACCUGAUUUAUGAAAGAAUCUCAUCUCCUUGAGUAUUUUAGACUUGAAAGGAUGCAGAAUCAACAUCGAGUCGAGCGACAUUAAAGUACCUCGUGGAGCUCUUAUUUUGUUAAAAGGUAAAAGAACCGGCAGUCUUUAUGUUCUAGAAGGUUCUACAGUGACCGGUGAAAUCGGACGUCCCUCGUCCGUUACGGAGUCAAAGUCAACUCAUUUGAAGCGGAGGCAACUUGGUCAUAGGAGGGAAAAAGGUAUGACCGUUUCGUUGAAGAGAGGUUCUCUUUUGGAUGCAGGUUUUGAAAAGUUAGGGCACUGUAUUCGUGAAAAUCAGACCUGGGUUAGUUUUGAUUUGGCAGGGCACAAGUCGAAGGCUAGAGGUCUUCCAGCUUCUAAUCAUAGAUUCGACUCAAUUAAUUCCCUGCAUAGUUCAAGAUAGGCCCGUGGCGGGUUUUGGAAAAGAUGGCAUUGAAAGAAUUCGUGUCAAGGUGGAGAUUGUUAGAAUUGUGUGACCCAAAUUCUAAGAGAUUGCUUGCAAGUCAAGUUAAACAAAAAUAUUUUUUCUUUCUAGAAGAUUUAGUAUUUAUUAGUAUAAUAUAUUUAGCAUUUAUUAUUAUAGUUUAUUUGACUUACUAAUUUAGCCUAUAAAUAGGCUCUUUACAGUCUUAGAAUUAAGACACACCCAUUAGAUUAGAACUCAUAACACAUUCAGAGAAUUUUGUGUUUACGUUUUCGGGUUCUUUGUUUUCGGGUUUUCGGGUUUAGUUUUUAUCUCCAUCUUUUGUACUCUUCAUUCUUUUGCCAUUAUAGUAAAAUUAUCUUUGCCCGUGGUUUUUUAUCCUCUUUAAAGGGGUUUUUCCACGUUAAAUUUGUGUGUUCAUCUUCUCAAUUUCUUCUGCUAUUUUUACUUGUUUGUUGUUUAAUCGAGACGAUCCUAACACUAAUGAUUAACAUCAACCAUGAUGCGUAUUUAAGUUCAAACAAUAUGGACCAUAUCACAUAAUUAAGUAUCACUCAUUUAAGUAGCAUUGCACACAUUUAAAAUAACAUGAUUUAAAACUGAACAUGUUUCUCCAUCAAUUAUAAAACCAUGCACAUAUGACCUUGUUAUCUUAAGUAAAUUUGGGCACAAAUAACAGUUAAGAUUACACAUCAUUCGCAUGCCAAUAUAUAUGCAUUAGAUCGUGCCAAAAAUUUCAUUCAUACCACAAGCUAAGUUAUUCCACAAUCAGACAAUCAUUAUAACCUAUAAUACAUAAUAUAUUUAUUUAAAUGUUAUAAAUCAAAUAUCAUGCUUAUCAUUUUAGCAUCAUAUCCUUAGCCUUAUAAACAUAUUCAUUUUAAUUAUCAACUAAAACAAUCAUAUGACAUAUUCAUAUUUAUCUUUUACCAACCAUACCUAAUUAACCAAUCAUUUAAGCAUGAUAUAUAUGCAGACAUUACCAAUACAAACCGAAUCAAAAUAACCUAUACACAUUCGAACUAUAAUCAUCCUUUUACCCCACUACUAAGCCGAAUUAUAAAUAUACAUCAAACAUCACAAACAUUUAUAUAUUCAGUAUUAAUCUUGCUAAUUUAAUCUAUAAGCAUAUACUAAGUGCACACACACAUAUAUGACGUGCAUAAUACUUAAUUCAUAUAUUAAAAUUUUAUAUAUAUCAUUUCUCAUUUUCCAACUCAAAUUCAUGUACUCAUUUAUAGCAUAAAACACACUUCAAAAAUAGACCUAAAUCAUGACUGAAUAUAUAUAUAUAUUACUUUCGAUACAAGCUUAAUCCAUGACUUAGUUCAAUCGAUCAUUAACAAAACAUAUUAAACAAGUCACACAUAAUCAUACCAUGACCGAAUCUAAAUAACUUAAGCAUCAAAGAAUCUAUUAUAAUCAUAGGCAUAGAAACUAAGCUUAAUCAAAAGAAAUAAGCCAUUUUUUCAUGGCUUAAAAUUAUAACCCAAAAAUCUAGCAUUUCAGCUAUGCUAUACAUGCCAUAAGAUCGAAUUUAAUCUUAACAAAAUACCAAAAGGAGUCAAUAGUGUGAUAGCCUUCUUCGAUGAUCCCCGAGCUCGUAACCGACUUCCAAAAUCUAUAAAACAAAGAGUAAACAUGCACACAGUAAGCUUCCACAGCUAAUAAGUCAUAAACGAACAUUAAUCAUAUGAACAUUAACACUAAAUCAAACAGCCAAGUCAAUCCAAACCUUAGUUAAAUAUACAUAUAUCACACUCACAAGUUUAUAUGUUACCAAAAAUAAAUUAGCAGUUAUCAUCAUAUAACUAAAUGCACAAAUACUCAUAAACAUAUAUAAUUAUCACUUUUAAAUAUUUAACUAAGGUUUAUAAAACAAAGAGUAAACAUGCACAUAGUAAGCUUCCACAGCUUAGUAAGUCAUAAACGAACAUUAAUCAUAUGAACAUUAACACUAAAUCAAACAGCCAAGUCAAUCCAAACCUUAGUUAAAUAUACAUAUAUCACACUCACAAGUUUAUAUGUUACCAAAAAUAAAUUAGCAGUUAUCAUCAUAUAACUAAAUGCACAAAUACUCAUAAACAUAUAUAAUUAUCACUUUUAAAUAUUGCAACGAUAUCAUUAUGCCAAAUCACUUAUAAUAUUACAAAUACACCAAUAGACCAAAUCACUUAUAUGCUCAAUUAUGCUAACACGUAAUUCAUAUCUUACAUAGCUUCAAAUCAUCAAUUCAAAUAUACAACUUACCUUAAUUUCAUAACAUAGUAUGAAUACAUACUUGAACCUUUUAAUUCGAUUUCACAUUCUAUCUUUACUUCACAUUGCCCCAUGAACCGUUCGGAACAAAAAGGAUACGCGGAUAUUCAAAAGGCUCGUACAAUGCCAACGUCCCAGACAUGGUCUUACAUGUAAUCAAAUAUCGAUGCAACUGUCCCAGACAUCGUCUUACACGUAAACACAAGUUGAUGCCAACGUCCCAGACGUGGUCUUACACGAAAACACAUAUCGAAAAUCCUAUGUCAUGACAUAAGUAUCCUAUCUAUUCCUAGGGUUCGUACGGGACUUCCAGACAUUGAUUAUCGAUCAAAUCAAACUCAAAAUAAAUCCCUAUUCCAAGAUCAUAUUCGGCCAAUCAUUUAAUAAACCAAAUAAUUAAUUUAUCACAUAUUAUUUACAUAUUCAUUAAUUUAACAACAUUUAAAAGCUUAUUGACUUACCUCGGAUGUUAUCAGACGAUAUAAUUGACUAUUCGAUUACUUUCGAUUACCCCCGAUCUAAUUUCGUUUUCUUUCGUUCUCGAUCUAAAUAAAUUCAAAUUUAACUAAUUUAAUCACACAUUCAUUCAAUUUAAUCCAAAAACACAUAAAUGAGCAAAUUACCAUUUUACCCUGACAUUUUACACUUUUUGUAAUUUAGUCCCUAUUGCAUAAGACACAAAAUACACAAAAUUUGCAUAUACCAUAGCUAGGCCGAAUCUUCCUAUAGUCCCUCUAAGUCCACAGAUUUUAUUCAUUUCACAUUUUAAUCUCUAAAAAUAUUAUUUUUGCAAUUUAGCCGUAAUUACUCAAUUUCAUCAAAAAUUCCAAUACAAAACAUAUUAAUCUAAAACAUAUAUUUCAUUAUUCAUCAUCAAAUAUCACAUAACACAAAUGUUCAUCAAUGGCACAACUCAAAAUAUUCAUCAAAAUAAAAAAUUCAAAUAUGGAUCGGAUAGUAUUCGAAGCAACGAUCUUAAAAAGGUAAAAAUUAUCAAAAACCAAACAAAGAACUAACCUUAAUCAAGCUUCAAAAUGGCCGAAUAUUGCUUGGCUUCUUUUCUUUUUCUUUUGCAUGAAUUCAGCUAAGGAAGAUGAUAAUAACCUUAAUUUUUUUUUAUGUUUUUAUCUAACAUAUAUUAUAAUAUAUUUUUAAUUUACUAAUAUAACCUUAUAUAAAUAAAUAUAACUUAUAUAUAUUUUAAGGUUAACAUUGUCCUUAGCUGUCCACUAAUACUAGCUAUGGCAUAAUUUCAACAUAAGUGCGUCAUAUUAUAAAGACAAGUUCAAUUACGCAAUCACACAUUUAACUAUCAAAUUUUUAUUUUACGCGAUUAAGCCGUUUUCUUUAAUCAAUCAUUCAAACGAUAAAAUUUAAACACGAAAAUUUCACACAAUCAAAUUCACACAUUAUAAACACACAAAAUAAUAUUAAAAUAUUUUUCUGACUCAGAUUUGUGGUUCCAAAACUACUAUUUCGAUUAGGGUCAAAAUUGGGCUGUUACACUUUGACUUCUCAGGUAAUUAGCAUACUUAGGACCAAACGACGUGCAGAAGCUCAUAUUGGAUUCUCGAUUAUUUAAUUAUGAUGGUUCAUGUUUUUAAAUUAUUCUGGACUUUCUAGAUUUUUUGGGGGGUUGUAAAUCUGUUUCUGUAUUUUGCUUUACAUUUUGGUUUGCUUAGUUAAAUUUAGUAAUUAUUACUUAAAACUACAAAGUUUUGUGUUUUGCAAAUUAAGUCGCGAUUUUUGAAAUUUAAUACUCUGAAAUUUCCGCUGCAAAAUAAAGUAAUCAUUUAAGUGUUUUUCUAUAAUAAAUUAAAUAGUUUCAACGAGUGUUUUCUUAAAAACUGCAAAGUCAUUUGUCAUAAUUAAUAUUGCCAAAACAUACGAUUUCAAAUUCAAUUUCUAGGUUUUUUAAAUAAGCUAAUGUAAUUCCUCCAAAUUUGACCAUAACAUCUAGGUCGUGUUUGGGAUGUUACAAUUUUAGUCCUUAAUUUUUAUAUUUUUAUCAAAUUGACCCUUAUUUUAUAUAAAAAUUAUAAAAAAAACUCAAAAUCAUUUACAAAAUAGUAAAAUGUAUAUAAAAUUCUAGAAAAAUAAAAUCUUGAAUAUGUUGUUGAAGAACUAAAUUGUAUGAGAAAUAAAGAAAAGUAUCAUUCAAUAGAAUCCAAUAACAAACUUGGCACAUAACAAAAUAAAAAAUUUAGAUCAUUACAUACUUCCUCAAUGUGUCUCGAAACCAAAUUAGUAGAAUUAUCUAGUUGAGUUUCAUGCUCUUGAAGAGCAUUUAGAACCAGUAUUACAGAGGCUUAUGAAAUCGACCCGGAAGUCAUUUUUUUUAGUCAAAAGAUUAAAAAAUAUCCCACAAAAUUUUUUUCAAACUCAAUUCAAGAUUUAAUUAUAUUUAAAUUAUUUUCCAUAACCCAAAUUGUAAAAACAAAUUAUGUUUCUUCUUCCAUGGUCGAGUUGGGCUUGGACAAGGUUUUUAUGUCUUGAGCCGUAACAACUUGACUUCAAUUUAAAUAAUAAAAGUUAUUUUUAAAAUUCAAAUUUAAUUAAUAAUAUAUAUUUUUUUAAUAUUUUAUUAUUUUCUAAACUCACAAAUGAACUUUUUGGAUUGACCAAGCUAAGCUAAAAAUGGGUUAGGCUUGAAAAAAAUUAGAUUAUUUAUAAGAGUAUAUCAAGGAGUCUAAUAAUUACAAUUUUUUUUGGAAGGUCUUAAUAACACUAGAAAUCUUAUCACAUGCGUAUGCAUGUAGAAAUCACAUAUUUAUAACACAGACUGUGUUUAAAAAUAACAUACAAUGAAUACUGAAAAGUAUAAUUUGGAACUAAUUAAUAAUAACACGUGAAAUAUGUAUGAUAUUAAAAUAAAAUUAGAUUAAAUUGAGAGUAAAACAAAAUCUAAACACAAAAACACAUCAUAUUAAUAAUACUAAAUAAAUACAAAUGUUUAUCAUUGUUUUGUCUUCAAUCCCGAGUUGGUGAUGCUAAAUCAAUAACAUUAUUUACAUACACAAAUAUAUUAAAACUUAGAACACAAAUGUUUAUCUGUUAUAAAGCAUGUACGACAUGGACAUUUCUGACAUUUGUUGAUUUUGCAAGUGCAUUAGGAUGAGAUUUGUGUUUACGGAGGAAGUGUGGGAGUUUAAUUCAUUUGCCAUAUUUAGUGGCUCAACCAUACGUAUUUCUGUAUUUGGCGAUGAAUCACCUAAUGAUUUGGCAGUUAGAAUGCGAAUAUUUUGAAAUAAUGUUUCAUACUGGCACUAAGUGGUGUGUAGGGUCUAAUAGGUAUUUAAUACCUUAUAUGGUGUGUAGGAAUGGUCGAAGAUGGUGUGUAACGGAUCGGAUUAGGAUUGUAAUCUACACUUGAUAUUUUCUGAUUCUGUUUCUGUAUAUGAUAUAUGUCUAAUUGACUUCCGAAAGCACGUUUGAAAAUUAUAUCUUAUAUUUUUACUCUUAUAAGUUACACAUUGAGUUUGUAAGCUCACUCUCAAUUUCUCUUAUUCUUAGGUAAUCCUUAGACUUAGGUGGGUCGGUGCAACUGGAGUUCGAUUAAUUAUCUACUUGUUAUAUUUGUUAUUUUAAUAUGGUUUAUUCUGUUUUGGUUUUGGACUAUUUUUAAGUUUAGGUUUAGUUUCGUUUUAUUUAUUUGAACAUUUUUGGUUAGUUUAAAUUUGAUCUACAAAAUGUUAAAUUAUAUAGCAACAAAUCGUGUUUUCAAAAUCGGACUCAACUAAGAAUUUUCGCUGCAAACGUAAGUGUUUUAUGAGUAAAUAAUCGACAAAUUUAUCGAAAUGGUUAAGAACGAUAUUUUCCUCAAAUAAACUCAAAUUUUACUUAAUAAGAGCUAGCAUUGUUUUAUAAGUCGAACAGAUUCUAGGUUUUUAAAUAAAUUGUAGUAAUAUCUCCAGAUCUGGCCAUAAUAUCUAGGCCAGGUUUGGGGUGUUACAGAGCCUAUAAGCUCAGCCAAUGUUUCUAACUUCUCAAUUAAUCAAUAUAUUUAGGACCAGACGACGUGCAAGAGAUCAGAUUGAGUUCUCAAUUAUUUAAGUAUGAUGGUUCAUGUUUUUAAAUUAUUCUGGACAUUCUGAUUUUUGGGGGGGGGUUGUAAAUCGUUUUUCGGAUUUUGCUUUGCUUAGUUGGAUUUAGUAAUUAUUACUUAAAACUACAAUAUUUUGUGUUUUACAAAUUAAGUCAUGGUUUUCAAAUUUUAGUACUCUAAAAUUUCCACUACAAAAUAAAGUAAUCACUUAAAUACUUUUCUAUAACAAAAUAAAUAGUUUUAAUGAUUGUUUUCUUAAAAACUGAAAAGUGAUUUUCUAGAAUUAAUAUUAUCAAAACACACAAUUUCAAAUUUAAUUUCUGGGUUUUUAAACAAGUUAAUCUAAUUUCUCCAGAUUUGACCAUAACGUAUAAACCAAGUUUGUGGCGUUACAAUUUUUUUCCUCAAUUUAUAUAUAUUUUUAUCAAUCUAACCCUGAUUUUAUAAAAAAAUUAAAAUCAUUUAUAAAAUAGAAAAAUGUGUAUAAAAUUCUAGAAAAAUAAAAUCUUGAAUAUGUUGUUGAAGAACUAAAAUGUAUGAGAAAUAAAGAAAAGUAUCAUUCAAUAGAAUCCAAUAACAAAUUAGAAACAAAACGAAAUAAAAAAGUUCAGUUUCAUGCUCUUGAAGAACGUCUAGGACUAAUAUUAUAGAGACUUAUAAAAUCGACCCGACUGUCAUUUUUUUGGUCAAAAGAUUACAAAAUAUACCAAAUUUUUUUUUUCAAACUCAAUUCAAAUUUUAAUUACAUUUAAAUUAUUUUUCAAAACCAAAAUUGUAAAAACAAAAUGUGUUUCUUCUUCCAUGGUUGAGUUGAGCUUAGACAAGGUUUUUAUGUCACGAGCUGUUCGAACUCCAAUUCAAUUUAAAUAAUAAAAAAUAUUUUAAAAUUUUAAAUUUAAUUAAGAGUAUAAAAAUAUUUUUUAACAUUUUAUUAUUUUUUGAACUCUCAAAUGGACUUUUCUAGGUAGACGGAUUUCUUAUUCGUCUUUUUAUACAUGUAAUUAUUAAUUAUUUUCUCUUUCUUCUUCUCCUUCACACACUUUCCCAUUAAUUCCUAUCACAAUUUUGCUUAUUUCUAUUUUCACCUUUUUCUUCACUCUUUUUAAUUUCUUUUCAUCUCCAAGGUCUAUCACUAAUUUUCAAUUAUCCAGUCAAGGUAAUUUCCUUUCAUUUGCUUCAUUCAUGACUAUACAAUGAUUGUUUUUUAUAUCAGCUACUGUUAUAGCAGCUUGCUUUGUAAGAUGGUCAAGAUAAUAAGAUCUGCAGCAAUGGUUUCCUCUAGUGAUUAUCAACAGUUUUAGAUUUUAAGACAGGAUGAUCAGCAGACAUAAUCUACUAUAGAUACAGAUUAAUACGAAAAGAGCUAUGCUUUGUAAGAUAGUCAAGGUAAUAAGAUCUGAAGCAAUGAUUUCCUCUACUGAUUUUCAAUUUUAAGACAGGAUGAUCAGCAGAUAUAGUCUACUAUAGAUACAAUUUAAUACGAAAAGAGCUACCCAGAAGCAAUAUAAUGUUGAAAUCUCAUGCUGUUGAACAUUUUACCUCUUCAUAUUCUGUAAUGAACUCUUGCACACUUGAAUCUAGCAUGUUGUAUAGUUUGAGGGAUUGAUUCUGGAUAUACAAUGGUGACCAGAAUUUCAUCAUGUUUCUGUCUGCCACCCAUCCAUAGCUCCAUCUAAUAGACGCCAUUGCUUGAAACUUGCAUUCAUGAUUUCCUUUUCAUGCUUACACCGACAUAUCAAUACUUCAUAAAAUAUCCAAUUCAUUCACAGAUUUUCAUUCUCUGCUACUGUUAUAUAUGAUUGCAUUACAGGGACAAAGCAAUGGAGUACGUAGAGCCUGUUGUCGGCAUUGCAAAUUGUCUCGGAACUCCUGCUUGUAAGUAUUUUAAAAAAAUACUUAUUGCAUUGAUUGUUGAUUGCAAAUUGUCUCGGAACUCCUGUUUGUUAUAUAUGUUUAAUUCAUAGAUGAUAUGGGUACAAGACAUUAUAAUGAUGCAAUAGUUUAAAAGAAAGUAAAUAGGAGGAGUAAAAUUGUGGAGGGAAAAUAUUUAAAAAAAAAUUGAAGGGGGGAGGGUUUGGGGUAGAUGAGAGGUGGGAUGGGAAGGGAAUAAAAGUUUUAGGGGAAAAGUGGGAGGGAGUAAAAAUUUUGGGAGAAAAUAAAAGGUUUUGAGGGUUUUGGGGAGUAAAAUUUUGAGAAAAAGUAAAUGGGAGAGUAAAAUUUUGGUGGGAAAUGGAUUUUGGGUAGAUUGGGGGGUUGGGAGGGGAGUAAAAGUUUUGGGGGGAAAGUAGGAAGGAGUAAAAGUUUUGAGGGAAAAGUAAAAAGGUUUGGGAGUUGGGGUGAAAAUGUAAAAUAUUAUAGUUUGAUAUUCGAAUUAUUCGAAUUAUUAGAGUUAUUCGAAUUCGAAAACUCAACUCGAUUCGAACUCGAAAUUUGAAAAAAAAAUCGAGUUGAUUCGAAUAACUCGAUUAACUAGAAUAACUCGAUUCGUUUAACUCGAAAUCCGAAUUUUUUUUAAAUUUUUUCGAGUAGAAUCGAGUUUUGCUCACCCCUAAUAUAUAUCCUGAACUUGAGUUGUCAUAUUCUAAUAUUUCUUUGCUCAGUAUUUACUUGAUUGUAUACAUUAGAUUUGCACCCGAAGUAAUAGUUUUAGAAUACUUGCAGUAAUAGUUUGUCUUUCAACUUCAUCAACUAAUCUUUUAAAGUUAUGUGUAUCGAUUGCGGUCGUAAAUCAACUAAAAAUCUAAUUAAGGUAAAUGUACUUAUCAAUUAAUAUUAUAGUUACGAUGAGCAAAGAUAUCGUUCCCACGAGGGCUAAAAGUGCUAGUUAUUAUUGUCUUUCUUUUAUUUAACCGACAAAUUGGAGUGAUUGAUUAAAACUAAAAUUAACUAAAUUAAUUAACUAAAGAACAUGACAAAGAACAAAUUAGAAAAAUAAACGAUUAACAACCAAAAAAAGUGAGACAAUACCUAGGAAAGAACCCACCUAGACUUCAUCUGUCAUUAUCAAUCUAAAUCACGCAAUUUCUUCACUUACUAUCUUGAUCCGUAGAAAUCCCUAAAUUAUGCUAACAUCUCUCUUCAAGACUAACAACAACUAACUCUAGAUUGAUUAAUUGAAUUUUCUUUCUAAUUAAAACCCCUAUUAUCGUAUUAACUUGAUUUAUGGAUCAUUCUAUUAGAUUUGACUCUAAUCCAGUAGAUUUAUGUUGUCCUAUUUUUAGGAUUGCAUGCAACUCCACUCAAUUACGCUAAAUCUACUCUUAAACAGGGUCUAUUCCUCCUCUGAUUUAAGCACAUAAUACAUGAAUCAAUAGUCUAAAAACAUUAUGAAUUAAGCACACAUAAUUGAGAACAAAAUCUAAGUAUUUAUUGCAUAAAAAUUGAAAUCAAAUAAUAUAAUCCAUCCUAAGGUUUAUCUCCCUAGGUAUUUGGAAAAUUAGUACAUAUAGUAAAUAAAAACAUCCCAUAAAUAGCAUAAUUACAAGAUAUAAAGAAACUCAUAAUAAACUUCAAAAAAAUCAAAAGGACAACUUCAAUCUUGAUGGAAAUAUACUUCAAAGUCGGCUUUAAUAGUAUUUUUCGAGUUAUUUUCUUCAAUAUUAUAUGACAACUCACUCUGCUCCUCUUAUCUUUGUCAUAUAUAUAUUAGAAUGCUCGAAAAAUCUAAAAAUUACAAUUUUCUGCAUGUUUAGAGUGCAAUUUGCGAUUUCCACACGAUUUGGCACAUGAUCGUGUGACAGCCUGUGUGGCUCACUCAACUGUGUGUCCAGACCGUGUGCAAUGGCCCAACCCUUGUGGCUCCUGAAACUUGCUCCAGUUUUUCGAUUUUCGCUCCUUUUUGCUUCUAAAUUCUCUCUUAAGUAUAGAAACAUGAAUUCAAAGUAUUAGAAGCAUAAAAUUUACCAUUAACACAUUUUCUCUGUAUAUUUAGCAUAUAUUCAAACUUCGAGGCUCUACUUUGGAGUUUAGGUUCAAAAAUAUGAACCCAUGUUUUCAAAGGUCUAAUUUUUCCAUGAACUGCUGGAAAUGAAAAGAAAAAACAAAUAUUUAAAAAAAUGAAAAAGAAAAAUGAAAAUAUAGUUUAAUGAGACUUACAUAAAUCCCGAGAUUGAGAAAAUGAUUGUCUAAAGAGAAGCAGAAAUUUGGCCGUCCAAGCCAUCUUAUUCAGUUCACCGAUGCAAGUUUCUCCGCUUAGCCGCCGCUGCUCUGAAAAUGAUGAAGGACUAAUUAGUUUAACAACAGUACCAGUACGAUGUCGUAAGGACGUAUCCUACGUGGCAGUCGUGUCAUCUAGCUAAGUCAAACUACGACGCUACAGUUGGACUUCGAUUUCAGUUGGGUUUGGUUUCUUAGCUGGAGUUCUAUUUAAACUUGGGUUUUGUUUUUGGUUAAAUUACCUUAUUAGUUACUAAAUUAUAGGUUGCUUUUGUUUUGUUCACUUAACUAAAAAAAAUUACAAUUUGGUUACUGAAGUAUUCGAAUAUUUUCAUUUAAGUCACUAAAACAAGAUCUUUUUAAAUAAGAAAUAAAUAUUUUUUAUAGAGAAAUUUUAUAUAUAUAAAAAAUGAAAUACUUUAAUUUAAAAGGACAUUUUGUUUAAUCACUUUAAUAGCUUUUGGAGUGAUGAAAAGUCUAAUUUCACUUUGCACCUAAAAUGAUUUUUUUGGUAAUUUUCUUACAGAGCUGGGACUCAAUUGAUGGUUUACGCCAACUCAGUAAAAGGCUUUAACACAGUAUAGAAAAAAAAAGUUUUUAACUAAAAUUUUUAAAAGAAUUUAGGGUAAACUACACCAAUCAUCCAACUAUAAUAUAGAGAAAUUUUGUAGGGUUUAAAAAUAAUUAUCCCUAAUUUUCUCACUUUAUUUAUUUUUAAAAUUUUUAUUUUACUUUUAUUUAUUUUUUAAUUUUAUAAUGUUCUAAAAUUUUAAAAAUAAUUUCAACUUUUUAUCAUUUUAUAUAUUAUCAAAAUGAAAUUCACCGAAAGUAUACAAAUUUAGGACUAAAAUUUUUAUUAAAUCAUUUAAAAAGUUCCACUUAACAGUUGAGUGACAAAAAAAUAAUAAUUUCAAAAAAAAUUAGUGGUGAAAUUGUAACUUUUUUUAAUUGAGUGAUUAAAACAAAAAAUAGCAAUAGUUUAGUGACUAAUAAUGUAACUUUUUUUGGUACAAUGAUAAUUCGAAAUUUGGCUAUUCUUAAAAAGGGUGAACAUCGGAUCAUAUUUAUUCACAUAUUACAAACAUCCAUAAGUAAGCAAUUCUCCCGAAUUAAAAUCAAAUUUUAAUAUUAACAACUUCAACAACUCAUAAAUAGGAAGAUAAUAUGUUUCGGUACACUUGAAACCACAUCCUUCUACAUUAACAACAAUUACUAUGACAAUGAAACUAAGACUCAAUUCACAAUGAAUAUAUAUUUUUGUUAUACCUAAUUAAAGUCAUUUACCAGUAUAUUAAACAUUCUUAUACCCUAGUUUCCCAUACUUUCCCAUUAUUGUCGUGAUGAUGAUGAUGAUGUUACAAUUGAGCACCAAGAUCACUGUAAUACUUGUUUUAAUUGGUAUAAUAAUAAUUUUAAUCUUUUUUUUUAUAUUUUAUAAUUAUAAUUUUAUACGAUACCGUAAAUUAAAUUGAUAAUAAAAAUAAUUAUAAUGCUAUCUGUAAUGGAAGACAGCAAAGAAAAAGGCUAAAAGAAAACGUAAUAAAAAUAGGAUUCCUUGCUAAUAAUUCUGCCUCUGUGGAUCCUACCAGAGACUUCAUAAAUUCCCUGUUUUUAUCUUCACUUUCUUCUUACUUCUUCUUCACUGCUUUUAAUUUGUUUCGAUGUCCAAGGUCUAUCACAAAUUUUCAAGCAUCCAGUCAACGUAAUUUUCUUUCAUUUGCUUAAUUCAUCACUUGCUUUUCUUUGCUUUUGAUUAUCUGCUACUGUUAUAGCAGCUAGCUUUGUAAGAUUGUCAAGGAACUCAACUUCACUGCUUCCUUUUCAGUUCUAAUCUCUCUACACUUUUCAGCCACUAAGUCAGGUAAUAAGAUCUGAAGCAAUGAUUUCCUCUACUAAUUAUCAACAAUUUUAGAUUUUAACAGUGGAUGACCAGCAGACAUAAUCUACUAUAGAUAGAAAUUAAUACAAAACAGCUACCCAGAAGCAAUAUAAUGUUGAAAUCUCAAACUGUCAACAUUUUAACUCUUAAUAUUCUGUAAUGAACUCUUGCACACUUGAAUCUAGCAUUUUAUAUACAUCGAGAGCUUGAUUCUGGUGAUCAGAAUUUCAUCAUGUUUUUGUCUGCCACCCAUCCAUAGCUCCAUCUAAUGGACGCCAUUGCUUGAAACUUGCAUUCAUGUUUUCCUUUUCAUGCUUACACUGACAUAUCAAUACUUCAUACAAUAUCCAAUUCAUUCACAGAUUUUCAUUCUCUGCUACUGUUUUAUGAAGAGAAAGAUAAAAGUGGGGGUGGGAAAGAAGGAGGGGGGAGGAUAGUGCAAAAGAGAGGAGAAAAGGAAUGAUGGAAGGAAGAGGUUAAGAGCAUAAACUGCCCCCAGUUUUUAAACCCCUUUGGAAGGAUGAAAGGUAUGAACCAUUAUAGUUUAGAGAAAGAUGAAAGGGUUGGUGGGAAAGGAGGAGGGGGGAGGAUAGUGCAAAAGAGAGGAGAAAAGGAAUGAUGGAAGGAAGAGGUUAAGAGGCUCCACGUUGUAAACAUUAACCCUCUCUUACAAUUCCUUCUAUUCUCUUUUUAUAAUGUAAAAGCUGAAGAGGUAAAAAAAUAAAUAAAUUUGCUUCAUAUUUUUUCUAUGUUUGUUUUGAAAGAAUGAGUGUUGAAUAUAGAUAAUAUAGAGAAAUUUUGUAGGGUUUAAAAAUAAUUAUCCCUAAUUUUCUCACUUCUUUUUAUUUUUUUAAUUUUAUAAUGUUUUAAAAUUUUAAAAAUUUUCGACGGUGGCCACAUGUAAAUUUCAGACUGUUUUCCGUUAAUGCCUAGAAUUUAUUAGUUAUUUGGGGUUUUUGAUGUAUAUUCUGAACUAUGGAUUGGUUGGCUUUAAAUUUGGGAUUUUAUAUUAUUUUUUAUGAUUUUUUUUUAAAAACUACAACUCCACAAAACACGGUUUUUUCUAAAAACUAAGGAUUUUCGUAAAUAGAAACGAUUUUCCCUAAAUUAAUUGGUUACAAAAGUUUCCCCUAAGAGACAAAUUUUAAAUUAAAUCAAUAAGUUUUUUUUCUGAAUUAAAUAAAAGCUAACUUACUAUAACAAUUUUUAAACUCGACAAUCUUGUCUUCAAAUCCCUUUCCAUGUGACAUCGUCAGAUUCGGCCAUAACGUCUAGGCCGAGUUUGGGAUGUUACAAAAUUAAUCAUACUUGAUUGGAUUAUGAGAGUGAAUUUUAAUGAAAGAUAAUAUGUGAAGAAAGGAGACACCAAAAUAUAAAAAUAGAAAAUCAAUAUAUAAAAAUAGAAAAUCAAUGGCAAAUUGCUUCAAAUGCAAUAGAUGCAAGAAUGUGCUAAAUUGUCUUUUUAAAUUUAAAAACCUUUAUAUACCGAUCUCAGAGAGCGAAUUUCACAUAAUUUUACUCCUAGAAUCAUGCUUAACAAGCAACCACUAAAUCAAAAUUGUCUAAAUAUAGAAUUUGUCAAAGUAAAAAAUCUAAUAUUUUUUAUCAGCCCAAAAAUAAUUUGCAACUUUCAAUUCAACCCCCAACUUGUUUUUUGUUCCAAUUUAGCUCGAUCUGUUUGUUUUUGAACUUCGACACUCCAAUUGUGUCCAUGAUAAAAUUCAGGCAAUAAAUCAUAAGUUUAGUAGAAUUCUAUUAAAAAGUUUACCAAAAUUGUGUAUAUUAAAUAUAUAAAAUUAACCUGCUAUCAAAUUUGGAACUAAUUAAUAAUAACAUAUGAAAUAUGUAUUAUAUUAAAAUAAAAAUUAGAAUAAAUUGUGAAUAAAACGAAAUCUAAACAAAAAAACACAUCAAAUUAAAAAUACUAAAUGAAUACAAUUGUUUAUCAUUGUUUUGUCUUCAAUCCUGAGUUAGUGUUGUGUUUAUUUGUGACACUAAAUCAAUAACAUUUUUUAAUAAAUAAAAAAUUAGAAUACAUAUACUUAUUAAAGUUUAGAGUGAAAAGUAAAAAGUAAAAAUUGCUUUAGUUCAAAAGUAAAUGAAAAAUAUUUACAUGCAUGGUGUCCUUGGUUCAAAUCUUGUAAUGGAUAAAUUUUUAUUGAUUAAUAAAUAUAUGAAAAGAUGAAAAUACCCUCAUAAUCAUAUAUCUUACUUUGCAAAUAAAAUCUUGAAUAUAUUGUUGAAUGGCUAAAUUGUAUGAGAAAUAAACACAAUUAUCAUUCAGUAGAAUCCACUAUCAAUUUAAAAACAAAACAAAACCAAAUUAGUAAUAUUAUCAAGUUGAGUUUCAUGUCUUUGAAGCACAUCUAGAACUGAUAUAACAGAAGCUUAUGAAAUUGAACUUGAUGCCAUUUUUUAGUAUCAAGAAUACAAAAUAUACCACCAAAUUUUCUUUUUCAAACUCAAUUCAAAAUUUUAUUACAUUUAAAUUAUUUUUCAAAACUCAAAUUAUAAAAAUAAAUUAUAUUUAGAAUUUUAUCUUUUCUUAUAAUGUAGAAGUUAUGUUAAGGAACAUAAGAGGUAAAAAAACAGAAAACAAAUGAUUUUGCUUAAUGUUUUUUUUUCUAUAUUUCUUUUGAAGAAUGGAUAUUAGAUAUUUCGAUAUAGAUAAUAAAGAGAAAUUUUAGAGGGUUUAAAAAUAAUUAUCCCUCAUUUUAUUAAUUUUUGAAAUGUUUGUCUACUUUUAUUUAAUUUUUAAUUUUAUAAUAUUCUGAAAUUUUAAAACAGUUUCAAAUUUUGGUACAAUGAUAAUUUGAAUUUCGGCUAUUUCUAAAAACAGUGAACACCCCGUCAAUAAACCACAAUUUGGAUUUAAAAGUGUAACUUAUGAAGGAAUUUAUAUGUACUUGAAUAGAUUGAUUCACAUUAUUCACGUGUUACAAACAUCAUAUGUAAGAACAACUAUAUUUUUUUUGCAGGAUGCCGACUAGUAUAUUUAAUUUCAAGUUGUAACAUGUAAUUAGGCAUUCUUAUACCAUACUUUCCCAUUAUUAUGCUGCUGCUGCUACUGCAGAUGUUGUUGUUACAAUUGAGCACCAAGAUGACUGCAAAACUUGUUAGUAAUGUCCAGAAUGAAGGGAAAGGACAUGGCAGAUUAGUGAAUUAUUACAGAUUUAAAGAAGAAUCAAAUUGUAAAUCAGCUGAUAGAUACAACUGCUGAGAAUCAAAUACCCAAAAUGCCAACUAUAAUGGCAGAAGCAAAGGAAAAGUACAAAAAGAUGGGAUUCCUUACUUAAUACUUCUGCCUUUCUACCCACAACAUUAUUCUUUCUUCUUUCACAAAAUUUCAACCUGCUUUUCUUUCAUUUGCUUCUUUCAUUACAUGUUUUUCUUUGCUUAAUUGUUCUGCCUUUCUACCCACAACAUUCUUUCUUCUUCACUGUUUUUAUUUUGUUUUCAUCUCCAAGGUCUAUCACCAAAUUUCAAGCAUCCCGUCAAAGGUAAUUUUCUUUCAUUUGCUUCAUUCAUGACUAUGCAAUGAUUGUUUUUUAUUAUCUGCUAGCUUUGUAAGAUAGUCAAGGAAGUCAACUUCACUGCUUCAUUUUCAGUUCUAAUCUCUCAACACAUUUCAGCCACUAAGUUAGGUAAUAAGGCAAUGAUUUCCUCUACUGAUUAUCAACAAUUUUAGAUUUUAAGACAGGAUAGGAUGACCGGUAAACAUAAUCUGGCAUAGAUAGGAAUCUCAAACUGUUGAACAUUUAUUCCGUAAUGAACUGUUGCACACUUGAAUCUAGCAUUUUAUAUACAUUGAGAGGUUAACUCUGGUGACCAGAUUUUCUCAUCAUGUUUCUGUCUGCCACCUAUCCAUGGCUCCAUCUAAUAAAGGCCAUUGCAUUUAUGCUUCCUUUUCAUGCUUACACUAACAUAUAAAAAAUUAUUCAAAAAUCCAAUACACUAACAUAUAUGAUUACGUUGCAGGGGCAGAGCAAUGGAAUACGCAGAGCCUGCUGUUGACAUUGCAAAUUGUCUUGGACCUUCUGUUUGUAAAUACUUGAAAUAUCACAAAAAGCUGAAUGAUUAUGUGAGAAACUUGGGGAGGAUCAGAGAUGAAUUGCAUUGUAAAAUGGAAGACGUAGAGAUGCAAUUGAGAGCAGAGCUUCUUUCUCCUGGGGGGAAGAUACCAAAGCAAGGAGUUGAAAAUUGGUUGAAAAAUACGAAAGAGAUGAUUGCGGAAGCACAGGAUGUGGAAAAUAAAGUCAGAAACGGGAGAUAUCUCUGUCGUGCUUGGAACGGAAAGCUGGUUGAUGAAAAGACUCGAGAAAUGAAGGAGUUUCUUGAUAAAGCUCCUAAUGCCUUUGAAGGUCUUGCCAUGGAUGGUCCAAGUGCUGGGUUGCCACUGCCAACAUCAGAAUUAGUUGGGGAGGAAGCUGCCAGAAAAGAUAUUUGGGCAUGUUUGACGCAAAAGGAGGUAAAAAAGAUUGGGGUUUGGGGGAUGGGCGGUAUGGGUAAAACCAAGAUCAUGAAGCACAUCCACAAUGAUUUUUUGAAAGAACAAAGAUUCGAAAGAGUAACCUGGGUUACCAUAUCAAAGGAGUUCAAUGUAAUGAAGGUACAAGAUAAUAUUGCAAGUGCGUUGGAGGCGAAGGAAUAUUUAGACAAAGAAGAGGACAAGCUCAGACGAGCAGCAAUCUUGUCAGAAAUGCUGAAGAAAGCAGGAAAGCAUGUUCUAAUCCUAGACGAUGUGUGGGAUGAAGUCUCUCUAGAAGAAGUUGGGAUCUCUGAGCCGAGUGACAGCAAUGGCUGCAAGUUGGUGUUGACAACCCGUUCGGAGCAUGUCUGUAAGUAUAUGGGUUGCACGGUGAUAAAAGUGAGGCCCCUUUCAGCACAACAGGCAUUGACACUAUUCUUGAGUAAAGUUGGGCCUAACAUAGUGCAAAAUCAAACUAUAACGCCUACUCUAAAGCUUGUUGUCAAGGAAUGUGCGGGUCUACCUCUUACAAUUGUCGUCGUAGCUGGUACAUUGAAGGGAGAAGAGGACCCUCUUAUUUGGAAAAACGCACUCAGGGAAUUGAAAGAGAGAAUAGAAAAAGUGGAAUGAGUGGAAGCUAAAGUGAUAGAGCGUUUGAAAUUUAGCUUCGAUCACUUAAAGGACGAGAAAGUGAAAUUGUUUCUUACAUUGCGCAUUAUAUCCCGAAGAUUUUGAAAUUGAAAAGGAUGAACUAAUUGAGUGCUGGAUUGACGAGGGAUUCAUAGAUGAUAUGGGUACAAGACAAGAAAUGAAUGACAAGGGUCAAGUUAUUUUGAAGAAGUUGGAAGAUAAUUGCUUGUUGGAAAAUGCCUCGUGUGAAAAAAUGAAAAUGCAUCAUGCAGUGAGAGACAUGGCAUUGUCGAUCACAAGAAUGAAUCCUCGAUAUAUGAUACAAGCAGGUUUGCAAUUAGAAGAGUUACCAGAAAAGGAGCAAUGGAGUCCGGAUAUUGAGAAAGUGUCACUUAUGUAUAACUCCAUAUCAGAAAUUUCCAAGGAUGUGCUGCCCACAAAAUGUCAACUGCACACAACCUUGUUAUUGCAGCAUAACCCAAUAAAGAAGAUCCCAUAUUCUUUCUUCAUAAACAUGCCUUGUCUUUGUGUCCUCAAUUUGUCCUAUACGGAGAUCGAGAGUUUACCAAAUUCCAUCUCUGAAUUAAAGAACCUCACAACAUUGUUGCUUCGUGGUUGUUCUACAUUUAGAGAUCUACCAUGUCUUUCGAUGCUUCAAGAAUUGAAGAAGUUGGAUCUUAGUGGGACUAAAAUUGAGGAAGUCCCUGAAGGAAUGGAUAUGCUGAUAAAGCUAAGAUAUCUUGAUCUUGGAGUGCACACUCUGAAAGAGAUACCCGCUGGACUUUUACCAAAACUCGUUCACCUUCAGCACUUGAGUUUUGAAGUGGACAAUGAAAAAACAAGUCUAAAAGCAGAGGAGAUGGAACCAUUGAAGAAGUUGGAGUGCUUUACCGGACGUUUCGAAGACAUCAAUGAAUUGAAUAAGUUCAUCUCCUCAAUGCAACAAAGUAAGAAAAAUCUCACCAAGUACUCUUUACAGGUGGGCUCAGUUAUUCUGGGUGGUGUAAGAGAUAAAAGAGUAACAAUUGGAGGAGUCCAGAAUUGGGAAGGUGAGUUAAUUAUGCACCCAAUUGAAAUUCAAGAGUUGAUUAUUUUUUUGAGAAGCUUAGUCGAUGAUAAUUCUUCCUUCAAAAAAGCGGUUGACUUGAGGGUUUGGAGGAUUUGGGUGUGUGAAGGGAUAGAGUGUGUUGUUUCCCUGUCCUCUUUGCCUCUUCUUCCGCUCAUCCAUUUCAGAGCCUCGAGGAGUUAGAUCUUAGAAAUCUGCCAAAGUUGAGUGCCCUUAUUAUGAAAGAUGAAGGAAUUGGUUCAGCAAUAACAUCAACAUCGGCUCCGUCUGCCACCUUUUCCCAUCUUAAGCGAAUUGAAGUAUGGAGCUGCUCAAGUAUGAAGACGUUGCUUCCACAUUGGUUGCUUCCAAACCUCCAAAACCUAGAAGAAAUACAUGUGGUUACUUGUAGGCAGCUAGUAGAAAUAUUGGGAGCAGUAACAUCAGAAGUUGAAGAAAAAGGGAGUGAUGCAUUAAUCAAAUUCCAUCUUCCCAAAUUGAGAAAGUUGGAAUUGUGGGGAUUACGAAAUUUGAAGAGCAUAUGCAGCAAAAGUGGAGUGAUGGUUUGUGAUUCUCUCGAGUUAAUCGAUGUUACUAGUUGUGAUAAACUGAAGAGAAUUCCUCCAUUUGUUCCCCUUGUUGGCAAUGGGCAGCCAUUUGCAUAUGCUCCACCUUCUCUUACCAUCAGGUCAUGGAAAGAAUGGUGGGAAUCGUUGGAGUGGGAUGACCAUCCAAACUUUAAAAAUGUUCUUCAACCCCUUUGGAAGGAGAAGAGGUAUGAACUUUGAACCAUUUAUGGUUUAGUUUUUUUAUUUUAUUUUCAUAAACCUAAUUUCUCCAUUUUAAUACAAUUUCAGGUAUAUUUUUGAUGUUGGUGAAGAGAAAGAUGAAAGGGUUGGUGGGAAAGGAGGAGGGGGGAGGAUAGUGCAAAAGAGAGGAGAAAAGGAAUGAUGGAAGGAAGAGGUUAAGAGGGUCCACUUUGUGAACAUUGUCCCUCUCUUACCAUUCCUUCUAUUCUCUUUUUCUUAUAAUGUCAAAGCUGAAGAUGUAAAAAACAAAUUAAUUUGCUUCAUAUUUUUUCUAUGUUUGUUUUGAAAGAAAGAGAAAUAUGGUAGGGUUUAUAAAUAAAAUAUAAUUUAAAUAUCAAUUAUUCAAAAUAAUGGUAUUUUAGAUAGCAAAGGUAUUGAAAAUUUAAAGUGAUAAAUUACCUUUUUAUCAUUAUAAAUAAAAAAAAUAUCAUUAUUUCUUCUUUCAACAAUCAUUCUAUUCUAAAAAUAAAUGAAACCAAUAACCCCAAAUAAAGUAUUAAUGAUAUUUUUAAAUAAAAUAACUUCAAAAAGUUUUAAAAAGUAAGACUUGAUGAAACACUAUAUAUAAUUUAAUCAAUUCAAAUAGCUUUGGAGAUUCGAUCAUAACGUAUAAAUCAGGUUUGUGGUGUUACAAUUUUUGUUCUCAAUUUAUAUAUAUUUAUCAAUUUGACCCUGCUUUUAUAUAAAAAAAUUAAAAUCAUUUAUAAAAUACAACAAUGUAUAUAAAAUUAUAGAAAAAUAAAAUCUUGAAUAUGUUGUCGAAGAACUAAAAUGUAUGAGAAACAAAGAAAAAUAUUAUUCAAUAGAAUCCAAUAACAAAUUAGAAACAAAACGAAAUAAAAAAGUUCAGUUUCAUGCUCUUGAAGAACGUCUAGGACUGAUAUUAUAGAGACUUAUAAAUUCGACCCGACUGUCAUUUUUUUGGCCAAAAGAAUACAAAAUAUACCACAAUUUUUUUCAAACUUAGUUCAAAUUUUAAUUACAUUUAACUUAUUUUUCAAAACUCAAAUUGUAAAAACAAAAUGUGUUUCUUCUUCCAUGGUUGAGUUGGCCUUAGACAAGAUUUUUAUGUCACGAGCUGUUCCAACUCUAAUUCAAUUUAAAUAAUAAAAAAUAUUUUUAAAUUUUAAAUUUAAUUAAGAGUAUAAAAAUAUUUUUUAACAUUUUAUUAUUUUUUUGAACUCUUAAAAGGUUGACUGAGCUCGGCUAAAAAUGAGUUUUGCUUGAAAAAAAUUUAGAUUAUUUUUAAGAGUAUAUCAAGGAGUCUAAUAAUUACAAUUUUUUUAAAAGGUUUUAAUAACACUAGAAAUUAGUCACACGCAUAUUUCUUACUUUGCAAAUAAAAUAGUAUUUUUGGUAAUUUUCUUAUUGAGUUGGGACCCGAUUGAUGAGUGACACCAACUCAGUAAAAUGUUUAAUACAUAGUAUAGAUAAAACAAUUCUAAACUAAAAUUUUUAAAAGAAUUUAGGGUAAAAUUCAACUAUGGUUAAGUUUUCAUUUUGGUCACUUAAUUAAGAAAUGUUACAAUUUGAUUACUAAUAUUUUCAAAAUUAUUUUCUUUUUUGUCACCCGACUGUUAAGUGGCACUUGUUUCAGUUGGUACAAUAAUAAUUCUAGUCAUCAGUUUUUAUAUUUUCUAUCAAUUUGACUCUGAUUGUGUAUAAAAAAUUAUUAAAAAUCUCAAAAUAUUUAUAAAAUAGAAAAAUGUAGAUAAAAUUUCUAGAAAAAUAAAAUCUUUAAGUUGUUGAAUAACUAAACAGUAUGAAAAAUAAAGAAAAUUAUGAUUUAAUAAAAUCCAAUAACAAAUUGAAAACAAAACAAAACAAAGUUACAUUUUGCACCUUAAUACAACUCAGUUCAUAAUAGCUAAUAUUCACAUAGUUUUUCAAUUCAGUCCAUUUUAGUGAUGAAUUCACUAAAUUCUAGUUAUAGCUAAACAUAUAGAUGAAAUCAAGUACAAUUUACACAUAUUAAUAUAAAACCAGAUAGUAAGUUUCAUAUUUAAUUUCACACCCUAAUACAACUCAUUCACUUGUAUAUUUAAUUUCAAGUUGUAACAUAUGAUUAUACAUUCUUAUACCCUACUGUCUCAUACUUUUCGAUUAAUUAUUAGAUUUAAUGAUAAAUUUAGUCCUUGAUGUUUAAUUAUUUUAUUAAAAUGGCCCUAAUUGUGUUUUUGAGUUUUUUUUUGCUAUCAACCUUUGUUCUUUUUUUUUUCACCCUUCUUUUUUAAAUAGAUUUAAUGAAAGUACCUUAAAAAAGUUAACCGUGAUAAUGUGGAAUUUCAUAUGUUGAAUAUUUUUAAUGAGAUAUAAUUUAUUAGUUAGAAAAUCCAAUAAGAUAUUUAUAUUCUUGUGAAAAAAAUAAUACAUUAAAGUGAAAAAAAAUUAAUUUAAAGAAAAUAAAUGUAAUUAUUUUAAAAAAUUUAACUCAAUAGAAAAACAUUUUAGUAAACAAACAUAUGAAAGAUUGAAAACUUUUGAAAGAAAAAAUAUAUUGAAACAAAUGCUGAUGGUAAAGAAAAGCUCAAAAAUAGAAUUAGGGCCAUUUUGACAAAACAAACAAAAAUUAGUGACCAAAUUUAUCAUUAAACCUAAUUAUUAUUAUUAUUAUUAUUCAAUGCCAAUUAUAAUGGGCGACAGCAAAGAAAAGAGUCAAAAAAGACGGAUUUCUUAUUCAUAUCCACAACAUUCGUCUUUUAUACAUGUAAUUAUUAAUUAUUUUCUCUUUCUUCUUCUCCUUCACACACUUUCCCAUUAAUUCCUAUCACAAUUUUGCUUAUUUCUAUUUUCACCUUUUUCUUCACUCUUUUUCAUUUCAUUUCAUCUCCAAGGUCUAUCACUAAUUUUCAAGCAUCCAGUCAAGGUAAUUUCCUUUCAUUUGCUUCAUUCAUGACUAUACAAUGAUUGUUUUUUAUUAUCAGCUACUGUUAUAGCAGCUUGCUUUGUAAGAUGGUCAAGAUAAUAAGAUCUGCAGCAAUGGUUUCCUCUAGUGAUUAUCAACAGUUUUACAUUUACGAAAGGAUGCUCAGCAGACAUAAUCUACUAUAGAUACAAAUUAAUACGAAAAGAGCUAUGCUUUGUAAGAUAGUCGUAAUAAGAUCUGAAGCAAUGAUUUCCUCUACUGAUUAUCAAUUUUAAGACAGGAUAAUCAGCAGACAUAGUCUACUAUAGAUACAAUUUAAUACGAAAAGCGCUACCCAGAAGCAAUAUAAUGUUGAAAUCUCAUGCUGUUGAACAUUUUACCUCUUCAUAUUCUGUAAUGAACUCUUGCACACUUGAAUCUAGCAUGUUGUAUAGUUUGAGGGAUUGAUUCUGGAUAUACAAUGGUGACCAGAAUUUCAUCAUCUUUCUGUCUUCCACCCAUCCAUAGAUCCAUCUAAUAGACGCCAUUGCUUGAAACUUGCAUUCAUGUUUUCCUUUUCAUGCUUACACCGACAUAUCAAUACUUCAUAAAAUAUCCAAUUCAUUCACAGAUUUUCAUUCUCUACUACUGUUAUAUAUGAUUGCAUUACAGGGACAAAGCAAUGGAGUACGUAGAGCCUGUUGUCGGCAUUGCAAAUUGUCUCGGAACUCCUGUUUGUAAGUAUUUGCAAUAUCACAGAAAGCUGAACGAUUAUGUGAGAAACUUCAAGAGGAUCAGAGAUGAAUUGAAUUGCAAAAUGGAAGAUAUAGAGCUGCAAUUGAAAGCAGAGCUUCUUCGUCCUCUGGGGAAGAUACCGAAGAAGGGAGUUGAAAAUUGGUUGAAAGCUGUGAAAGAGAUGAUUAGGGAAGCACAAGUUGUUGAAAACAAAGUCAGUAACGGGAAAUAUCUCUGUCGUGCUUGCAACGGGAAGCUGGUUGCUGGUUGAUGAAAACACUCGAGAAAUGAAGGAAUUUCUUGAUAACGCUCCUAAUGCCUCUGAAGGUCUUGCCAUGGAUGGUCCAAGUGCUGGGUUGCCGCUGCCAACAUCAGAACUAGUUGGAGAAGAAGCUGUCAGAAAUGAGAUUUGGGCAUGUUUGAUGCAGGAGGAGGUGAGCAAGAUUGGGGUUUGGGGGAUGGGCGGUGUGGGUUAAACCACUAUCAUGAAGCACAUCCACAAUGAUCUUUUGAAAGAACAAAGAUUCGAAAGGGUAAUCUGGGUUACCAUAUCAAAGGAGUUCAAUGUAAUGAAGGUACAAGAUAAUAUUGCAAGUGCGUUGGAGUCGAAGGAAUAUUUGGACAAAGAAAGGGACAAGCUCAGACGAGCUGCAAUCUUGUCAAAAAUGCUGAAGAACGCGGGAAAGCAUGUUCUAAUCAUAGAUGAUGUGUGGGAUAAAGUCUCUCUAGAGGAAGUUGGGAUCCCUGAGCCGAGUGGCAGCAAUGGCUGCAAGCUGGUGUUGACCACCCGUUCGGAGCAUGUCUGUAAGUAUAUGGGUUGUAUGGUGAUAAAAGUGAAGCCCCUUUCAGAAGAAGAGGCAUUGAUACUAUUCUUGAAUAAAGUUGGACCUAACAUAGUUCAAAGUCCAACUAUAAUGCCUACUUUGAAGCUUGUUGUCAAGGAAUGUGCGGGUCUACCUUUUACAAUUGUCAUGGUAGCCGGUACCAUGAAAGGAGAAGAUAACCCUCUUAUUUGGAAAAAUGCACUCGGGGAAUUAAAAGAGAGAAUAGGGAAAGUUGAAGGAGUGGAAGCUGAGGUAAUCGAGCGCUUGAAAUUUAGCCUCGAUCACUUAAAGGACGAGAAAGUGAAAUAUUGUUUCUUACAUUGCGCAUUAUAUCCCGAAGAUUCUGAAAUUGAAAAGGAUAAACUAAUUGAGUGCUGGAUUGAUGAGGGAUUCAUAGAUGAUAUGGGUACAAGACAAGAAAUGAAAGGCAAGGGUCAUGUUAUUUUGAAGAAGUUGGAAGAUAAUUGCUUGUUGGAAAAUGUCUCGAGUGGAGAAAUGAAGAUGCAUGAUGCAGUGAGAGAUAUGGCAUUGUCGAUCACAAGAAUGAAUCCUCGAUAUAUGAUACAAGCAGGUUUUCAAUUAGAAGAGUUACCAGAAAAGGAGCAAUGGAACCCGGAUAUUGAGAAAGUGUCACUUAUGUAUAACUCCAUAUCAGAAAUUUGCAUAGAUGUGCUGCCCACAAAAUGUCAAUUUCUCACAACCUUGUUAUUGCAGCAUAACCCUAUAAAGAAGAUCUCAAUUUCUUUCUUCACAAACAUGCCUUGUCUUAGUGUUCUCAAUUUGGCUUUUACAAAGAUCGAGAGUUUACCAAAUUCCAUCUCUGAACUAAAGAACCUCACAACAUUGUUGCUUCGUGGCUGUUCGAAAUUAAGAGAUCUGCCAUGUCUUUCGAUGCUUCAAGAAUUGAAGAAGUUGGAUCUAAAUUGGACUAGAAUUGAGGAAGUACCUGAUGGCAUGGAUAUGCUGAUAAAGCUGAGAUAUCUUGAUCUUGGAGUGCACACUCUGAAAGAGAUACCCGCUGGACUUUUACCAAAACUCGUUCACCUUCAGCACUUGGGUUUUGAUGUGGACAAUGAAAGAACAAGUCUAAAAGCAGAGGAGAUGGAACCAUUGAAGAAGUUGGAGUGCUUAACCGGACGUUUCGAAGACAUCAAUGAAUUCAAUAAGUUCAUCUCCUCAAUGCAACAAAGUAAGAAAAAUCUCAUCAAGUACUCUUUACAGGUGGGCUCAUCUUUUAUCCCUCAUAGAAGAGAUAAAAGAGUAACAAUUGCAGGAGUCCAGAAUUGGGAAGGUGAGUUAAUUAUGCACUCAAUUGAAAUUCAAGAGUUGAAUAUUUUAAGUUGCGACUAUUUGAGAAACUUAGACGAUUGUAAUUCUUCCCUCAAAAAUGCGAUUGACUUGAGGAUUCGUGAAUGUGAAGGGAUAGAGUGUGUUGUUUCGUUGUCCUCUUUCGCCUCUUCUUUCGCUCAUCCAUGUCAGUGCCUCGAGAUGUUGUAUCUUCAAGAUCUGCCAAAGUUGAGUGCCCUUAUUAUGAAAGAUGAAGGAAUUGGUUCAGCAACAACAUCAACAUUGGUUCCGUCUGCCACCUUUUCCCAUCUUAAGGAAAUUACGAUAUACAGCUGCUCAAGUAUGAAGACGUUGCUUCCACAUUGGUUGCUUCCAAACCUCCAAAACUUGGAAAAAAUACACGUGGAGUAUUGUAGUCUGCUAGUAGAAAUAUUGGGAGCAGCAACAUCAGAAGUUGAAGAAAAUGGGAGUGAUGCAUUAAUCAAAUUCCAUCUUCCCAAAUUGAGAGAGUUGUCAUUCUUGGAUUUACCAAAUUUGAAGAGCAUAUGCAGCAAAAGUGGAGUGAUGGUUUGUAAUUUUUUCGAGUUAAUCGUUGUUGUUGAGUGUGAUAAAUUGAAGAGAAUUCCUCGAUUUGUUCCCCUUGUUGGCAAUGGGCAGCCAUUUGCAUAUGCUCCACCUUCUCUUACCAUCAGGUCAAGCACAGAAUGGUGGGAAUCGUUGGAGUGGGAUGACCAUCCAAACUUUAAAAAUGUUCUUCGCUUCAAACCCAUAGAAUAAUGAAAGGUAUAAAUCUAAUUGCUCCAUAUUAAUAAAAUUUGAAGUAUAUUUGUGAUGAUGAUGAAGAGAAAGAUAAAAGGGUUGGUGGGAAAGAAGGAUAGUGCAGAAGAGAGGAGAAAAGGAAUGAUGGAAGGAAGAGGUUAAGAGGCUCCACAUUGUAAACAUUGUCCCUCUCUUACCAUUCCUUCUUUUCUCUUUUUCUUAUGAUGUAAAAGCUGAAGAGGUAAAAAACAAAUAAUUUUGCUUCAUAUUUUGUCUAUGUUUGUUUUCCAAGAAUGAGUAUUGAAUAUAGAUAAUAUAGAGAAAUUUUGUAGGGUUUAAAAAUAAUUAUCCCUAAUUUUCUCACUUUUUUGUAUUUUUUUAAUUUUAUAAUGUUCUAAAAUUUUAAAAAUAUUUUUUAACAUUUUACCAUUUUAUAUAUUAUUAAAAUUAAAUUGACCGAAUAAUUAUAUCACUUAUUAUCAUUGAAUAAAACAAAACAUAGCUAAUAACCAUUGUUAAGUACCAGUUUCAGCUUUUAUGAAUUCUCAAUUCCUCCUUUUUUUUUUUUUUUUGAAGAUAAUCGAAUUCCAUUUAUGGUAUAUAUAUAAUUGUUAACAAGAAUAAAAAUGCAUAAUGCAUUUUAGGUUAUUGAGAGAAUUCCAUCUUCCCAAAUUCAGAGAAUUGAGACUAAGUUACCAAAUUUAGGUUAAAGUAUUCGAGAGGUUCAUGUAAUAUAAGGAUUGUAUUAAGUUAGUCUUUUUAUUAUUAAAUAGAUCAAUUUUGUUCUUAUACUAUUAAAAAAAUUAAAUAAGUCCAAAUCAUAAUGAAAUUAACAUUUAAUAAUGUAUAAAAAAUGUCUUGACAAACAAAAAGAUUUCAUUUACUUCAUCAUAAAAACUUUAAAAAUAUUAACUUUAUUAAACAUUAAAUGUUAACUCUAUUUCAAUUUGACCAUAUUUAAUUUUUUACAACAAUAUUAAAUUGAUCCACCUAAUAGUAAAAAAAUAUAAUCAAAUCCCUAUAAUAAAAACACGUCUCGAAUACAUUCACCCUUCAAUUAAACUAUUCAUCAUGAUACCUUAACAUCAUUAUCCGGCUCAAUUGCUUCACCAAAAUUUGUUAAUCCCAACAUUUUAUUUUCACUUAAGUAUCACUAUCCGAGAAGUAUUUGAACAUGAUCAUAAAAAUGCAAUCCUUUAAAUAAAUUUAAAAAAUACUUAUGCUCAACUCGAUAAAAAAAUUUUUAAAUUCUGAUAAUUUAAACGAAUUAAUUUUAAAUGUAAAGAUGCUAGCAAAGGAGAGAGUUCCAUGAGAUAGAUAGCUUAUAAUUUUGUUUAUAGUCGAUUGAGUCUUAAUUCAAUUGGCAUGAGUAUUAUUACCAGUACAAGAGAAUGUGGGUUCGAGUUCGCUGAAGAGCAGGUUUGAGUUCGCUGAAGAGCAUCAUCUUCCUAUUUAUGGGUUAUAAGUAAUUCUAAAUAUUGUCUCAAAAAGAGCAUAUAUAAUCAAAAUCUAUAAUAAAAUUAUUAAAAAACAAAAACUAUGUCUAUUAGAUAUUUAUAUUCAAAAUCGAAUAACACGGGUAACAUAAAGUUUUAUAUAUAGCAAGAAGAAGCUUUUUUUUUUUAAAUCAAGUCAUGGAUUCUGGGAUUGUUUGGCUUCAAGAGAUUUCUCAUAUUCUUCAAUGGAUUUGAAGAGCUCAGAAAAGUUGCCUUUCCCAAAACCACCACAUCCACCUUUUUGGUAUUGCUUUCCUUCUUCAUCCUUCACCAUGCACCCAAUUCCUUGUAUUAUCUCUAUGAAGAUGGUUGGACUCAAAAUAAAAGGUUCCCACUUUAGUUAACCAAACAAGAAAUAAUAUACAUAUAUGCCGAAGAGAAGUUUGAUUGAAUGACAAGGUUGAAGCUUUGAAAACUUUACAACAUAUGUAAAUGUAUGCGUGGUCAUCUAGAUUUAUUGUUGAUUGGUUAGUUUGUUAAGUUAAAUUAGUAGUCAAUUCUCAUUCCAUUAUAUGAAAUAUUGUUGAUAGGUUAGUUUGUUAAAUAUAUAGUGCAUGCUUGUAGUAAGCUAGUAGAAAUAUUGGGAGCAGCAACAAAAAUAAAUUUUGUGAUGUUGGUGAAGAGAAAGAUAAAAGUGUGGGUGGGAAAGAAGUAGGGGCCGGGGGAGGAUAGUGCAGAAGAGAGGAGAAAAGGAAUGAUGGAAGGAAGAGGUUAAGAGGCUCCACAUUGUAAACAUUGUCCCACUCUUACCAUUCCUUCUACUCUCUUUUUCUUAUAAUGUAAAAGCUGAAGAGGUAAAAAACAAAUAAAUUUGCUUCAUAAUUUUUCUAUGUUUGUUUUGAAAGAAUGAGUAUUGAAUAUAGAUAAUAUAGAGAAAUUUGGUAGGGUUUAAAAAUAUAAUAUAAUUUAAAUAUCAAUUAUUCAAAAUAAUGGUAUUUUAGAUAGCAAAGGUAUUGAAAAUUUAAAGUGAUAAAUUACCUUUUUAUCAUUAUAAAUAAAUACCAUAAUUUCUUUUUAAAUAAAAUAAAUAAAUAUCAUUAUUUCUUCUUUCAACAAUCAUUCUAUUCUAAAAUAAAUAAAAAUAAAAAUGAAACCAGUAACCCCAAAUAAAGUAUUAAUGAUAGUUUUAAAUAAAAUAACUUGAAAAAAUUUUAAAAAGUAAGACUUGAUGAAACACUAAAUAUAAAUUCCUUAGUCAUUUAAAAAGUAAGCUUUGGAGGUCUUAAAAAAAGGGCAAAUUACCAAAAAAGCCCUUUUUUAAAAUUUACUGAAAUGGGCCCGAUAUUUUAUUAUUUAUCGGAAUGGGCCAUUUUCCCCGAAUUCGGGUCCACGUCAGCGCGAUGUCAAGGGACGUGUCAGAACAUCGCGUCCACAUCAGCACGCUUUACUUACGUGGACACAAAUCGUGCCUACGAGGACGCGAUUUGCUGACGUGGAUGAACAGUUUAUGUUUUUUAGCUUGGAAAACUUUGAAAGGCCAUAAUUUUUCGCUCGGUUGUCCGAUUGAGACGAUUUUUUUAUUUCGAAUAACUUUUCGAGAUCUACGCGCUGACAAACAGCCGAAGGUGGUUUGCCGCAUUUUUCGUCAAAAAAGAUCCUUUUUUGCCCCUAAAUUUUGAUUUUUUUGGUUUAAAAUUAAAUUUUGAAACAUUCAAAUCAUUAUUUUCCUUAUUUAUUUGAAGUAACACCGGAUUUUUUUAUAGAAUUGUUGUAGUAUUUUUUCUGAUUUGACACGUGUAUGGAAUAGGUUCGAUAAAUCGUUAGAACGUAAGUAAUAUAAUUAAGAUAAUAACAGUUUUUCUAUAAUAUGUCAAUUAAUUAGUUUAGUUUAGUUGGUUAAGAUGCUUGCUCUUUUCCCUUAGUACCUUGGUUCAAAUCUUGUUACCAAAAAAGAUUCAAAAUUGUUACCAAAAAAAUCCAGUAUUUACUAAAACAAAAUUAAUCGGGGAAUAAUGUAAAUAAAACAAAAUAAGGGCCAAUGUGCAAUGCGCGAAUGACAUGGAGGGUUAAUUUGGAAAUAUUCCCAACCCUCCAGAACGCUGUGUUGCAACAUGGACUAAAAUAAAACGAAAAACGAAUUAAAGGGCGAAAUUUAAAAAAAGAAAAGAACUUAUUUGAACACGCCACUAAAGAGAGAGGACCACUUGCGCAAAUUUACCCCUGGGACAAAACACGUGGAUCCUCCCCUCGGGUUGGGUCACACGGGUCACUGAUUGGUGUGGCAGUAUAUGACGUUGUUUUGGGGCUACUGAAGUAGGCCCUAAACGACGUCGUUUUUAUUACCUUAUAAAAUCCCCCAAAUUAAACCCUAAUCAGAAUUUUCGCCACGUUUACAGAAAAUAAAACCAAAAAAAAAAAAUAAAACCCUAGGUUUUUUUCUCUCUGCCGCUUUGGAAAUUCAGGCCGUUUUGAGGCUUCUCGAACCUCGCAAGGGCUCCGAUCGUGACGGAGUAGGCAGAGAUUCAACACUUCAGGUAAUUUCUAUUUUCUAAUUGAUUUUAUUUUACACACAACGAAUAAACAAUAAUAAUAAAAAGAAACAGAGAAAUUGAAAGAGAAAAGAAAAUCACCUUAAAAACUCACUGCUAUAAUUUUUUAUUGAUUUUUAAUCGAUUUUCGUAUCCCCCUUUACAAAUCCAUGUUUGGCUUUAUAUAGCCAAAAAGAAAAAUCAAAAUCCCUCUUUUUCUAUUUUUUUAUGUUUUUAUCUCCCCUUACAAUUUUCGCUGUAAAUCUGUUAUUUUCUUUGUUGUAAGUUCGUUUCUUCUUUUUGCUGCUUUGGUUUAUCGUUUGUUGCAGGGAGAAUGUGCAUAGUGUGAAGGCGACGUGCUGCGAUGUGCGGGAAGGCGUGCGAGGGAGCCUUGCUGAAUUACGGUGCUCCCUAGGGUUUCUGCCUCCUUUGUUGCUGAAAACAUGUUGUGGGCGUAUUGGGCUAGGGUUUUUUGUAAUUUGGGAUGUUUGGAUUUGUAAUUAGGGCUGGACGCUUAUAGUUUUAAUUUAUUUUAAUUUGGUGUUGGGCCUGGGCUUAAAAUUGGGUAUUACAGUAUUAAUUUUAAAAUAUUGAAUUAAUUAUCACUAUAGUUUAGGGUAUAUGGUUUAGAGUUUAAGGCUUAUGAGUUAUUAUUUUAAGGUUUAUGGAUUAUGGGUUUAAGGGUUAUGGUUUAUGGUUUAAAGGUUGGGAUUUAAAGUUUAGAGGAUAUGUGUUAAGGGUCUAGGAUUUUAUGGUUUAGGUUUAGGGUUUAGGUUUAAGGUUUAGAUUAACUAGUGUUUUCUAAUUUAUAUAUUAAUUAAUUUAUUAUAUAAUUGUAAAAGAGACAAUAUUAAUUUGGUUCUUCAAAAUCUUGUGAAGAUUUGGUUCUCCAAAAUCGUUUCAGUGUAUUUAAAACUGUUAAAGCUGCAUUAUUUUUGUUGAGGGAAUAAGAAAACAGAAAUACUAUUAUUGAGUUUUUAAAUAUUUUCAAAGAAUUUGAUAUUAAAUAGUUUCACAAUAUUUUAAUAAGUACAGGGUUAAUUUUCAUUUUUAUUCUGCUCUAGGGAUAUUGUUGUUAUUUAAAUUGUUGUUGUAUGAACUUAUCGGUUUGCAUCAUCUACACCAAUUUAAAUUUUGACUUUUUACUAGUAUAUUUUUUUUCUCUAAAUUGUUAAUGGUUGCUUUUAGUUUUUUUACUAGUAUUUUUUUCUCUUGCGUCAAUGCUAGUUGGUAGUUGUUACUUUGUAUUAAGAAGAAAGUAUUCUCACAUUGAAUUUGAAAAUGCAGUCGAGCCUUUUUUGACAAGAGGAUCUCACAGGAAGUCAAUGGUGAUGCCUUCGAUGAGGUAUGUUUCCAAGUUACCUUUAGCUUUUCGUUCACUGCCUCAAGUUUCUGCUGGUGCAUCUGGACUUCAUAACUGCAAUUUGCUCACCCCUUAAUUAUCCUUCAACAGGAGUUUAAGGGCUAUGUAUUCAAGAUCAUAGGAGGCUGUGAUAAAUAAGGUUUUCCAAUGAAGCAAGGAGUUCUCACUCCUGGAUGUGUUCGUCUUUUGCUUCACAGAGGUCUGUGGACUCUGAAAUAUUUUUCCUUGUUCUUAUUUGUGUAGAAAUGUUUUUUUUUUGUUAAUUAAAUGUCUUCUUUUCUAAUCUUUGAAUAGGUACUCCCUGCUUCCGUGGAUAUGGUAGAAGAAACGGAGAGCGUAGGAGGAAGUCAGUUCGUGGAUGCAUUGUUAGUCAGGAUCUUUUAGUUUUGAACUUGGUUAUUGUGAAAAAGGGUGAAAAUGAUCUUCCUGGACUGACUGACACUGAGAAACUAUUGGAAAUUGGCCAACCAUGUUGCUGUUACAUUUUGUGGUUGAAGUGCAUGCAGCUUGAUGACAUGCUGCAGCACAUAUGCUUGCUGUAACAGCAAGGUUUCUCUUUAGUUUCAUUCUAAUUAAUCUAGUUUAAAAUGGACAAGUUGAUGACAACUUGAUGCAUUAGGUGUUGAAUGACUAGUUUAGGUGGCUUGUUUAUGUGUACAAGCAAUGUUUUAAUAGUCCCAAUGCUGAUUAGUGGGGUUAGUUGACUAUUUGGUGAUGUAUUUGACUAUAAAUGUAUGUUUCUUCUAGUUGAAUGAAUGAGCUGAAUGAGCUAUCAGCCAUUAGCUCCCUUGCUGUACAUUUGUGAGCAAGUAAAAAUGCUUCUUGCACCUUGUUUCAUGUUCUGUGCUCUUGUUCUCUCUUUUGUUGCUGCCUCUUGCACCAACAAUUGGUAUCGAGAGCUCUUGUCUUAGUGGACCUGUUGCUUCAAAACAAAGAACUUGAUGGCUUCUUCAGGAUUUUCACCAGCAGCCCCACCAGUCUUCAAUGGAGAAGGCUUUCACAUAUGGCUGGUCAAGAUGAAGACUUACCUACAGGCCUUCGAUCUGUGGGAAGUUGUCAACACAGAUACUGAGCCAGCACCACUGAGGGCUAAUCCCACAGUAGCUCAGAUUAGGCAACAUGCUGAUGAGAGGACCAAAAGGCACAAAGCCAUGUCCUGCAUCCAGAACUGUGUGUCAGAUGUCAUCUUCACCAGAAUUAUGGCCUGUGAGACUCCAAAACAGGCCUGGGAUAAGCUCAAGGAGGAGUUUCAAGGCACUGAGAGAACAAGGCAACAGCAACUGCUAAACUUGAGAAGGGAUUUCGAGAAUUUGAAGAUGAAGGAAGAAGAAACAGUGAAGCAGUACUCAGAUAGAAUUAUGGCAGUGGUUAACAGCAUAAGGCUCCUAGGUGAGCACUUUGAUGAGGCAAGAAUUGUGGAGAAAGUCCUCUCCACUUUGCCUGAGAGAUAUGAGGCCAAGAUAUCCUCUCUAGAGGACUCAAGAGACCUUGCUAGCAUCUCUUUGACUGAGCUAAUCAACACCUUUUAUGCUCAGGAACAAAGAAGAGCUAGCAGAGCUGAAGAUCACCAAGAAGGUGCAUUUCAAGCCAAGGCCAGAGAAACCUCGAGCACAAAUGCUCAAAGAGGCAAAAGGCCUUGGAAAAACAGGCCUAAGCUUGAUGCUGCAAGGAGCAAUGACCAGCCCUGUAGAUAUUGCAAGAAACCUGGCCAUCCAGAAGACAGAUGCUGGUUUAGGCCAGAUGCAGUAUGCCAACACUGCAAGAAGAAGGGCCAUGUUGAAAGAGUCUGCAAAAACAGAAGUAAGCCAAGGCAGAAUCAAUUUCAGCAGUCAAAGGUUGAAGCUCGAGUAGCUGAGGACAGUAGUGACCAAGAAGAACAGGUCUUUGCUGUUUCCUGUGUAGCUUCUGAGAAGAAAUGGUCUAAAGGCUGGUUGCUGGACAGUGGUUGCACUAACCACAUGUCACCAGAUGCCUCCUUGUUUAAAACCUUGGACAAAAGUUAUAAAACCAAGGUCAAGGUUGGAAAUGGUCAGUUUAUAAGGGCUGAAGGAAGAGGAGAAGUGUUGAUAUGUACUCCCACAGGCAACAAGAUCAUUCCAAAUGUGCUGUUGGUACCACAGAUUGACAGAAACCUUCUCAGCAUAGCUCAACUGCUCGAGAAAGGUUAUUCUGUUGUGUUCAAGGAUAAACAAUGCCAUAUUACUGAUCCAAGUGGAUCAAGCCUUAUGACAGUCACAAUGACUGAUAAAUGCUUUGAGGUUCACUGGGCAAAUGACUCAAACUCAGCAUACACAGCCUCUGUUGAAGACUCCAAGCUUUGGCAUCAAAGGCUUGGACAUGCCAACUUCAGAUCAAUGGCUCGAUUGGCCAAAGAGGGCUUGGCAGAGAACUUCAUCAGCUCAGUGGAGCAUGAUGAUGUGUGUGAAGUUUGCCAAAUGGGGAAACAGGCAAGACUACCAUUUCCUACAAAUUCAACCUGGAGAGCUACUGAAAGACUGCAGCUGGUGCACUCUGAUGUAUGUGGCCCGAUGAGGACUGAAUCACUCAGCAAAAACAGGUAUUUCAUCCUCUUUAUUGAUGACCUUACAAGGUUUUGCUGGAUUUUCUUUUUAAAACACAAGUCUGAGGUAGCUCAAGUGUUUGUGAAGUUUAAAAAUGCUGUAGAAACAGAAACAGGUUGCAAGCUGAAAUCGAUAAGGACUGAUAAUGGCACUGAGUACACUUCAGCUCAGUUUCAAGCCAUUUGCAAUGAUGCUGGUAUCAAACAUCAGCUUACAAAUGUCUACACACCUCAGCAGAAUGGGGUAGCUGAAAGAAAGAAUAGAAGUCUGAUGGAUAUGGCCAGAUGUCUGCUGUUUGAGAAGAAACUGCCCAAGACCAUGUGGGCUGAGGCAGUAAACACUGCUGUUUACCUUCAGAACAGGCUUCCUACUAAAGCUCUUGCAUCCGAGACACCUUUCGAGGCUUGGUCUGGUUUCAAACCUUCCUUGGCACAUCUGAAGGUGUUUGGUUGCCUGUGUUAUGCACAAAUACCAGCAGCAAAGAGAGACAAGCUCUCUAAAAGGGCUCAACCAGGUGUUCUAGUAGGCUACAGCUCAGUCAAGAAGGGCUACAGGGUCCUGGAUCCCUUGAUAAACAAAGUCCAAGUGAGCAGAGAUGUCAUCUUUGAUGAAAAAGCCUGCUGGAAUUGGGAGAAAAAUGAGCCAGAAGCAGUUUCAGAAGACCUAGUGCCUAAUCAAGCUGAACUUGAGCAGCUAGAACCUGAAAUGGAUGUUGAUGAUGUGCCUGUGAGAGGCACAAGGCCCCUAGAUGAUAUUUAUGAAAGGGCACAGGUUGCAAUAGCAGAACCUAGCAGUUUUGAAGAGGCUGAGGCAGAUGAAGGCUGGAAACUAGCUAUGGUCAAUGAAAUCAACAUGAUUGAAAAGAACCAGACAUGGGAGCUUGUUGAUAAACCUGCUGGAAAGAAGACCAUAGGAGUAAAAUGGGUCUAUCGAGUAAAACAGAAUGCAGAUGACAGUCUGAACAGGCUAAAAGCCAGGCUUGUUGUGAAAGGAUUUAGCCAAAGGUAUGGUCUGGACUACCUGGAGACAUUUGCACCAGUAGCCAGGCUUGACACAGUUAGAAUGAUAGUUGCCUUGGCUGCUCAACAUCAGUGGACCAUUUAUCAGCUUGAUGUUAAGUCUGCAUUUCUCAAUGGCUUCCUGGAAGAAGAGAUCUACAUCGAGCAGCCUCAAGGAUUUGUGAUCACUGGCAAAGAACACAUGGUGUACAGACUGAAAAAGGCUUUAUAUGGCCUGAAACAGGCUCCUCGAGCCUGGUAUGCUCGAAUUGACUCUUACUUGCUCAGUUUGGAAUUUGAGAGAAGUCCCAGUGAACCAACACUGUAUGUGAAGAAGAACCAAGCUCAAACUCAGCUUAUUCUGUCACUCUAUGUUGAUGAUCUACUGAUAACUGGAGGAGAUGGAAGAAUGCUGGAAGAUUUCAAAAGAAAAAUGAUGGAAAUGUUUGAAAUGUCUGAUUUAGGCAGAAUGAACUACUUCCUUGGAAUGGAAGUGAAUCAAACAGAAAAGGGAAUCUUUCUUUGUCAGAGUUCUUUUACUAUGAAGAUCCUGGACAAGUUCUCUAUGAAGAACUGCAAGCCAACAAGCACACCAAUGGCUGUUGGAGUGAAGCUUUCGAGGCAAGGGAGUGGUGAACCAAUUUGUGAGACCAUGUACAAGAGUCUCAUUGGUAGACUGUUGUAUUUGACUGCCACAAGGCCCGAUAUCAUGUUUGCUGUUAGUAUGCUAUCAAGAUACAUGAAUUGCUGCAAUGAUUAGCACUUUCGAGCAGCUAAAAGAGUGCUGAGAUACAUCAAAGGCACCAUUGGUCAUGGUGUAUUGUUCAAAAGGGCUGAAAACAUGAAGCUAAUAGGCUAUGUUGAUAGUGACUGGGCUGGAUCAAGUGAUGACAUGAGAAGCACAUCCGGAUAUGCAUUCAGUCUUGGCUCAGGCAUGUUUUGCUGGAGUUCUAAGAAACAAAGUCUGGUGGCACAAUCAACAGCAGAAGCUGAAUAUGUUGCUGCUGCAUCUGCUGUGAACCAAGCCAUAUGGCUUAGAAAAAUCUUGACUGAUUUAAACCAAAACCAAAAGGAGGCAACAGAGAUUUAUUGUGACAACAAAUCUGCUGUUGCAAUUGCAAAAAAUCCCAUUUUUCAUGGCAGAACCAAGCACUUCAAUAUUAAGUUGCAUGUUAUAAGGGAGAUGGAACAAGCUCAUGAAAUCGAGCUGAUUCACUGCAACUCAGAAGUGCAAAUUGCUGAUAUCUUCACAAAGGCACUCAAUGUGUCUAAAUUUGUUAAAUUCAAAAGGGAAUUAGGUGUUACUAGCAUGGAAACUAAGGAGGAGUGUUAAGUUUAGUUCCCAUGUAAAGGUGGCCAUGCACGACAUGCAAAGGUGGUCAUGCUUCUGGAUUCGCAGCAAGCAGUGGUGCCAUGGUGUGCAGCAACUGAAGUUUGAAGCUGCCAAUCUAUUUGCUGUUUUUAGUUCCAUUUUGAUUGUUUUUGUAAUCUAGUUCAUGUUGAACUAAGUAGGUAAAUGUUUUGAUUUUGAUUGACUGAAAAGUCAGCAAUGCAAGUUGUACAAGCUAAUCUUGUAAGUUUCAAUGCAAAUUAGUGGAGUUAGGUAGUUGAUUAGGUGAUUACUUGUUUGAUUUACUAGUUGACUGAUAUAUGUAAUGGCUUAAUGCCUUGUUGACAAUGUUAAUGAAAGUUAUCAGCUCAUUUUCAUUCAAUCUUUUUCUCUCUUUCUAUGUUUUCACUUGCUAGCUUCAUCUUUCUGUUUUUCUGCUUCCGAGUUUGCUUCUUCACCAAGCCUCGAGGCUUACUACUCAAGCAAGACUUGAAACAGCUUGCUGCUGCCUCUUGCACCAACAAUUGGUAUCAUGAGCCUAUGUCUUACGGGACCAUUGAUUUUGCUUCCCCUACUUGUUGAAAAGAAAGAAGCUGUCAAAGCACAAGCAAGUCAUUAAGGACUGCUUGUAGAGAAGAUAAUAUCGGCUCAAACUUAUAAGAUCCCCAAACUAGCUUGAAUAAGCUGAAGGAGGAGUUUAAAGGAAAGGUGUGAGCUUUCCAAAUGUGCAAGCUUAGCAAGAUGUCAAAGCUGCAAGCUUAGCAAAGUGCGAGCCUGAUGAAGACACCUGUUGAAGACAAUAUGCAAAGAUGUGAGUCUGUCAAAGGUGUGAGCUCAGCAACAUGUGGAAGCUCAAUGCGUGUUGUAUAGUUGCAAGCCUCUUGAAGACAGUAAGCAAAGUGUGAGCCUGUCGAAUUGCAAGCCAAAAUGGCAGAAUGAAGGCAAGCAACUAUACUCACGAACUGUUUGUGCAAGAAGAAAAUGAAUUGGUCAGCUUGAAUCAAAGCAUCUAAGAGCUGCCAAGUUCAAAAAACUUGAUGAAUGACUGGUAUUUGCAGCAUGGAGUCCAAGGAGGAGUAUUGGAAAUUGGCCAACCAUGCUGCUGUUACAUUUUGUGGUUGAAGUGCAUGCAGCUUGAUGACAUGCUGCAGCACAUAUGCUUGCUGUAACAACAAGGUUUCUCUUUAGUUUCAUUCUAAUUAAUCUAGUUUAAAAUGGACAAGUUGAUGACAACUUGAUGCAUUAGGUGUUGAAUGACUAGUUUAGGUGGCUUGUUUAUGUGUACAAGCAAUGUUUUAAUAGUCCCAAUGCUGAUUAGUGGGGUUAGUUGACUAUUUGGUGAUGUAUUUGACUAUAAAUGUAUGUUUCUUCUAGUUGAAUGAAUGAGCUGAAUGAGCUAUCAGCCAUUAGCUCCCUUGCUGCACAUUUGUGAGCAAGUAAAAAUGCUUCUUGCACCUUGCUUCAUGUUCUGUGCUCUUGUUCUCUCUUUUGUUGCUGCCUCUUGCACCAACAGAAACCAAGAAUAAGGGGUCCGAAGAGAGCAUCAAAAAUCAGGAAGUUGUUCAACCUGUCUAAGGAGGAUGGUGUUCGGAAGUAUGUUUAUUAAGCUGUGAGUUUAUUAAGCUGCUUUUAUGAUAAAAUUCAAUGCAUUUUCUGAGAGCCAUUUGUUCUUUCUUUGGUACAAAGUUUGCAACAAUUCUAAGCUACAAUUUUUGUUAAGCUUAUCAUGGAUUUCGUUAUUUGCAUUUCAUGGUAGCUCUUUUCUUCUUUGUUUGAUGCUUCACAUCUGUUUUGAACAUUUUCAGGAUGCAGUUGAUAACAGGAAUGCUGCAGUAAAUUCUAGGAAGCCAGAAGUUAAAAAUGAUGUAGAAAAAGAGAUGUCUGUGAAGCAUCUGACAAGGAAGAAAAGAGUCAUUUGUGAAUUGCAAAUUCAACAGGUUAACCCCAAACUUGUUGGCCAUUCAAAGAAGAAAUCCAAUCACUUUCGUGCUCGUAGCUGUAAAGCAGCAAUUGAGGGGUAUAGCCAGCUUUCUCUGCCAAAGAAGUUUGUACCCUUCAAUCUAAUAAUUGCUCAUUUAGUAACCAUGUGAUUUGUAUUUAUAUAUGCAAAGCUACAUGACUUGUUUUUAUCGAGUGAUAAGUUCAGUGGGACUAAUAAGCACCAGUUACUUUAAAUUUUCAUGAACCCAUGGUAUCAUAAUAAAGCGUACAUUCUGGAAAUGCUUAAAUGUGUACUAUUGAGUAUAUAUUCAGCGGCUUUGAUCACUGAACCUUAACAAAUUCAAUAUCUGAGACUUGUUAUGUAGCAUAGAAGAAUUGGAUGAUAGAAUUUGCGGUAGUCUAGUCUGGUCUGUUAUAAGAUCAAAAUCUGCAAUUAGAAUGAAACUCAAGGAAAAUUUUAUCAUAGAAUCUAACCUAUGAUUAAGAAGAAAAAUCAAGGUAAAAGCUUGUGGUUUUUUUGUCUUUCCGUUCCUUCUCUAUCCACUGUACGGGUUUCAGAAAAAGAGCUUCGCUCGCUCUUGCUAUUAAAGUCGGGUUAGUUUCAUCUUUGAUCUUCUAAUUUUCCUUCUUUGAUUCGUGUUUUUUUGUGUUAAAGUGCCUACAAUUUUGUUUGUUUUUGGAGAAAUCUGGGAUUAUUGUUGUAUUUUCUGAAACUGAUCUAUUAUUGAUGGAAGUCAACCCCUACAGUUGUUGGUGAUAAACACAUAAAUUUGAAUGUUGAUAAAUUAUUGAAUUAUUAAUUUCUGUUAAUUUAUUGCAUAUAAUCAUUGAAUUGUUUAUUUUUACUAAUUAAUUAUAUAUAAAUAAUUAGAUAGUUGAUUUUCGAGCAAUAUUCUUUGAUUGGCUCAUUUUUUGUAUGACAAUGUAAAGAGAUUAAUAAUUGUACUUUUUUUUUUAAAAAUGUCCCCUGACCAACUAUAAAAUUAAAGUUAAUCAAUUGAAAUAGAUGUAGAUCAUAAGCUAUUCAAGCUGCUGCAAUGAGUAGUAUGUUUAGUUUACUAGAGUUUCUUUGGACUUUGGUUUGAUUCAAUUAUCAAAUUUUUCGCUCAGCAUUUGAUUGGUCAGGACUCGAGUUUUCAAAGUUCCCCAAUCAUUUUCUUCCUUUUUUUUCAGAAUCAGAUUUGCUUUUUUGCUUGAAUCUUGACUUUAUAGUCAAUUUGGUGGGUCGGGUUUCUUGAAGCUUUAAGGUUGUAUGGUCGUGGCUAGCGCCAAAUAGAAGGUAAGUGCACAAUGAGUUGAACUGAUUUACUUAUCUUUGCCAUGUUCACUAUGGUUUGAACAAUUUAAGUUACUCUUAUUUUCAUGCAGAGCAUGUAGGCACUAAAUCUGCAGUUCAAAUUCGAAGCCAUGCUCAAAAGUUUUUCUCUAAGGCUCAUUGCUUUGAGUUCAUUACAAGAUUUCCUUGAUUAAGUAAAUGUAUUAUAUCUUUUAUUACCAAGAUUUACUUGAUUAAGAAAAUGCAUUGUAUGUUUUAUUACCUUGCAUAUGUAUUAUUUAUUUUAGUUUUGAUUCUAAAUUUUUAUUUUUACUUUAAUAUUUACGCUAACUUAGAGUUCUAACUUUUGAAUUUUAAUUGUGUUAUUAAUUUAUUAUUUUAAAUUCUAAAUUUAAAUUCAUUCUUUUUUAUAUUUAGUUUUAAAGUCAGAAUAUUUGUAGUAAAUUUAAUUUAAAUAAUAUUUUUUAUUUAUCCUUAAAACAUAAUAUAAUAUUUAUCAUAGAAAUAAAUAUUAUUUGAUAAAAAUGAUUUUUUUUAAAGAUAUGUUUUUAGCGGCGUUUGUGUGAAAAGCGUCGCUAAAGGUCUAUCCAUGUUCUUUAGCAGUGAUUGUGGUAAAGCACCACUAAAAGUCAUGAUCUAUAGUGGCACUUAUAAUAAAAACGUCGCUAAAGGUCAUGUUCUUUAGUGGCGUUUGUGGUAAAAUGCCGCUAAAGGUCAUGCUCUUUAGCGGCGUUUUUGUCAAAAGUCCCGCUAAAGGUCAUGUUCUUUAGCAGCAUUUUUUCAUAUAAACGCCACUAAAACUAGCGACGUUACAAGCACCGCUAAAAGUCUGUUUUGCUGUAGUGGUCUCGAUUCCUUCUUAAUGCUACAUCGGUUUGAAGAUCUACGUUAAUAGUCGAUCAACAAUAAUGAAUGUCACUAACCAAGCUAAGAGGGUUCGAUCAAGGGGUGAGAAAUAAUGAUGACAAGAUGAGACUUAGAUGGGGCAGCAAUGCAGAAAUUAUGAAGGCAACAAAAACUUCAAUGUGCAACAACAGGAGAAGGAGAAAUGGACAUCAAUGGAAAAUCAAAAAUGGCAGAAACUUCUAAACAAAAUAUUGAUAUUAAAAAGGCAAUGAUUCAGCCAAAUAAAUUGGAGAAGUGAUAGGCAAAGGGGCAGCACAAAUAGAAAAUAAAACUUGUGUUUUAGGUUGCAAUAAUGGUGGGUUAUGAGAGAAAAUUGAAGAAUAAUGGAGAGGAAAAAUGAAGGGGACGACAAUAGCUUGAGAAAAAUAAAUAAAAUAGGCUAAACAUAAAAUAAAAUGCAAUUUAUACCUAGGUUAAAAAGGGCUUGGAAGGCAACAAGAUUUUAAGGAGCAGAAACGUUGAAAAAAUAAAAAUUUACAAGGGAAAGGAAUCAAACUCAAGUCUUAAGGUCAAUUUCACUAACUCUUUACCACUAGGCCAAUUAAUCAUUCUAGGCCAAUUAAUCAUUCUUUUCAUAAACGCUCAAACAAAACCUUAAAAAUUAGGGCAAGACAACUCUCAGUUCACUAAAUCGAUUUCUUCUGACACAAUUUUUGGGACAUGACAAAACUAUUAGUAAGUUUAUGUUUAGUUUUAGUUACUUAACUUCAAAAGGUUACAAAAUGGUCAAUAAACUAUUCAAAAGUUUUCAUUUAAGUCAUUGGUUUGUUAAGGUUUUUUUUUAAGUUUGACUAAUGAGCUCCAAGCGAUGAUUCGACAAUUGAUGUAGUGAAUCUAUACCCAUUAAUGAGUGGAACAUAUCUUAGAUCCAAGUUAACAUUCCAUUUAGUGUAGGAGAUUGGAGAAAAAAAGUUGUUCGAAUUUUGGUUCACAGAUUUGUGACGUUCAAAACUGUUUCAUGAAUAUAAAUUAUGUUGUAAAAGAGAAUGGAUAUGUGAGCUUUCAGUUGAUACAAACGGUGCAAACAAAGGUCAUAUAGUAACAAUUUUAAAAGUCUGAUGACUUAAAUGAAAAUUUUUGUAUAGUUCAGUGAUCAUUUUAUAAUUUUAAUAAGCAUACUUACAUUUGUCUUUAGAAUUUGCAAAACAAAUAGAAAAUUCACUUUAAAUGUAUAAAAAUGAAUAAAGAAAACUCACCUUCAUUUCUGAUAGCAAAUAAUAAAUAUGAAAAAAAAAACUCUACCACUUUAAUAUUAACUCUACCACUUUUCCCUUAGAUAUGCAAUUGCAAUGGGUGAUUUUGGGAAACUAAACCAAAGGCCUAUCUUAAGGCUUGCUAAACUUCAUCAGAUACUAUAAAUCAACUGUACAAGGAAAGAUUUCUUAUGUGGAAUUAAUUAAUCAUCUAUAAGAAUUAACUCAACAUCUGUAGAAAAGAAAAUUAAAAUAUCUAAAUUUUUUUUCCCAAGAAACAAAUAGAAAAAAAUAAAUGGAAUAUAAGGGUUUUAAAGUUGAGGAAGGGAAAGAGUGGUGAAAAAAAUUGUUUACUGUUAGUGUCAAACAACAAAAAGAAAAUUGGGUUGAAGGAAGAAGAAGAAAAAGAAAGAAGGAAAAGAUAAGGAACAUCAAAAAAAUGUCGUAAAUUUAAAUGGGUUAAACUUAGGGAUCGGUUUAGUUGAUGGAAAAAAAAAAGUUCGAGACAAAAAAACAUAAAUAUCAAUUUGAGAGAAGUGGAUAAGUUCAGAUACUAAUUUAAUAUUUAAUUGUUAUAAAUAUUAUAGAUUAAGUUACUGGACCAGCAGUGGGCCUGACUUGCGAUUGGUAUGGAGGUGACCCACUUUGUUUGUCGAAAACCUACAUUUUCAGCUAUAGCAAGUCUCAACGGCACAACCAAGUCCAAACGUAUUAAAAUUAAAAUUUAAUAAUUUAAUAAUAUUUUUUCUCCCAAUAAAAUAAUAAAAUAAUAAAUACAUGUAUUAUCAUUCAAAAUGGAAGUAGGUAAUUGGAAAAAAAUAAGAGUGGGAACAUAUUUAUGAGAAAUGGGCAACCGCGUUUUGGGUUGGGUCCUAGACUUUUUCUUAAUUUGUUUGAACACUCCUAACAGGUAACAGCUCUUGAGGGGCCAAGCCAAUAGGCAUCGUGUUUGACCCAAUUCAAUUUCUGGCUUACAAAACUCAACCAAUUUUACUGAUUUAUGUAAAUUUACAAUCACUCAACUAAAUGAAGUUUUUUGGUUUAAUCAAUUUUUUAUAUGAUGAUCCAAGGCAUCGAAUUAGAGCCUUUGGUAAAAGUAAAGAAAAUUUCAAAGUAAAAAAUAAUUUUCAAGAAAUGGGGCCUUAAGAUGUGGACUGCAAAGCUGCGUAGGGGAUGGGAUAAUAAGGCAAAUUAGAGAGCAAAAGUUGGAAGCCCCUCAUUUUGGGCAUAUGUUUCAGCACUUAUCCAUUUUCAGACAAGGAAAUUAUUUAAUAAAGAAAAAGAAAAAUGCCCACCUUUGAGUUAUGAAAGACUGGGGUAGAUGGAAGUAAUUAUGAAAGAUUGGCUGGAAGGACGCGGAUUGGCAAGGACCACUUCACCCAUAUCUUCAUACUUGCUUGGUUAAUCAAUGGUUAAUAAUUAUUCCACCAUUUUAUUUUCGAGAUAUCUCAAUUAACUUUGUUAAAAGAAUAUCUACUUUGCUUGGUCGUUACAUUUCUUUAAGCGCGUUCUAUCUUCGUCCUUAAUAGCUCUUAUUUAUUCACAGUUUAAACCCCAGAUUCUGGUUCGAUUUUAGUAUCAUCCUUAGUCCAUUUAAUUUAUUUUUUUAUUAUUAUUUAUUUUAAAAACUCUUUUAUUAUUAUUUGUUUUAAGUUUUUUUAUUUAUCAUUUAUUGUAAACUGUUUUACAUGCUAUUUAUUUAAUUCUUUUAAUAUGUUAUUCAUUUUAAACCAUUAUAUUUAUAUAAUCUUUUAAAUUCCUAUAUAUGUAUUUUUUUUUAAAAAAAUGUUGUAUGUCUUUUAUUUAUUUGUUUUAAACUAUUAUUAUUCACUUUAAGUUUUUAUAUAAUGUUUAUUUGAAGCCUUUUAUUAUUUAUUUUUGAAUUGUUCUUGUAAAUUAUUUAUUUUAAAUUAUUAUUUGCUUUAAACUGUUUUGCAUAAUAUUUUGUUUUGUUUUCUUCGAUUGUUAAUGUUAGUAUUAAAAAUGAUAUACAUUGUGCGAUUAUUGCCGUCAUGUGUACUAUAAUUAGCUUCUUGGUGUUUUCAUAUUAUUGUCUUUCAUCAAUGUAACAUUUUAUUCAUAAAUCGUUAUUUCAUGUUAUACAUUAUCAUUCCAUUUCAUUUCAUCACUUCGAAAGUUGCAUUCAAUUUUUAUAUACCCAUAAUAAACCGUUCUAUUUUAUCACAAAUAAAACAAAUGCACCUCGUUCUAGUAUUGUACUCGCUAUGAUUCAAAAAAAGGGAAAAGUUUUUUAAUAAGGCAAUAUUUCACGCUUUGGAGAUUCAAGAAAUUGUACCCUAACUUACGGGGUUUCAAUUUUCUCGUUAAAUCUAAAUAGCAAAAUAUCUUUUUAAAUUUCAAGAUAUACGAGAUUUCAAUAAAAAUUAAAGGCAAGCUUUCUCUAAGGUUCCAAAUAUCGUGUCCUAACUUACGGGACAUGACAUUUCGUUACCUCGAGACAAGUGGGUCUUUAACUCUCUUUGCGAUUUAUUCAAGCGUUUUUUUAUUAACAUUAAUAAAAAAGGGAUCAUAUUUUAAAAUAUUUUUAAAAUUUUAACUUUCGACAUUAAGACAUUAAUUAAUCAACUAGGUACCAAUUUUGGGCAUAUCGAGGGUGCUAAUCAUUUCUCGUGCGUAACCGACUCCCGAACCCAUUUUCUGGAUUUUGUAGACUAAAAAUUACCGUUUUAGUAAAUUUAAACUUUUAUUAAAAUUAUUAAAUUAUAAGGUGAUCCGAUCACACCUAAAUAAAAAGGAUUGGUGGCGACUCCAUUUUUAUUUUUAAAUAAAAAGGUUACCCUUUUUUCAAAAAAAUGGUUUCGACUACCCUUAUGUCCGUUUUCGGAUCACAAGAAUUCUAUAAAUUAAAAAAAUAAUCUUACAUGAAGAUGAUAGUCCAUGGUCUAUUUCCUAAGAACCACAACAUUGACAAAGCAAACAAUUAGAUAACAAAUACAUAAUAUUGCAUUCAUUCCCAUAUAUACCACAAAAAUAUGUAUAAGAUCUAAAGAAUGUUACUUUCUAUGUAAUCAAAUCAUUCAAGAAGUGAAUUUUAUUUUGAUUAUCUGUUUAUACUUAUUGAUAGAGCAAAACUUGGUUAUGAUACUAAUUGUUCAAAAAUGAGUUUUUGAAAAUGCAGCAAAAAUCAAUAUAGGGAAAAGCCUAAGUUUAAAAAAAUUAUAAAAUAAGAAUUUAGUUAUAAUAUCUAGAGUAAUAAACACUUAAUAAAAAUUGUACCUUUUUGAUUCGUCUAUGAUGAAUGUUUCAUUGAGUAGUCUUUUCUAUUAUCCUCAAGCUCACGUUUGCCGAGUCACAAUAACAUUAAACAAGUGCAACAACUAAACCAAUGUUGAUAGCACUUAAAGGCAAUGGCUGAAGCAAACAACAAUUGAAAAAAAAAUGAAAGAAUCGAUGUUGCAAAUUUUUAAGAUUAGCACAAUGGCCACAAGGUAAUUGACGGCUAUAAUAAAGGGCUGAUCGACAAGUGCACAGCAGGCUAAAACAACAAGAAAUUGAAGCUAAUCAGCACCCAAAUAGCAGGUAGCACAUUUAGAUGGCAAACAGUACGAGGUUAAGCAACAAAAUUGAAGCAAAUUAAAUAGCAAGUCAGUAACAAAAGGAACCAGUAGCAGCUAAUUGGAAGUUGAUCGAUAAGUAUUUGGUAAAACAAUGUUAUUCGGCCAACAUGCAAAAUAGUACACAUGCAUACACCACUCACAAUUGAUUUGAAUCCCACACCUCAAUUACAAUCCAUAGAACAUUAACAAUUGACCUGAGCACCACUACAACUCGGAUUCGUCUGGAUUCCUUUUUAACGCUACACCGGUUUGAAGAUCUGCGUUAAUAGUCGAUCAACAUCAAUGAAUGUUCACUAACCAAGCUAAGAGGGUUCGGUCAAGGAGUGAGAAAUAAUGAUGACAAGAUGAGACUUAGAUGGGGCAGCAAUGCAAAAAUUAUGAGGGCAACAAAAACUUCAAUGUGUGACAACAGGAGAAGGAGAAAUGGACAUCAAUGGAGAAUAAAAAAUGACAGAAAAUUCUAAACAAAAUAUUGAUAUUAAAAAGGCAAGGAUUCAGCCAAAUAAAUUGGAGAAGUGAUAGGCAAAAGGGCAGCACAAACAGAAAAUAAAACUUGUGUUUUAGGUUGCAAUAAUGGUGGAUUAUGAGAGAAAAUUGGAGAAUAAUGAGAGGAAAAAUGAAGGGGAUGACAAUAGCUUGAGAAAAAUAAAUAAAAUAGGCUAAACAUAAAAUAAAAUGCAAUUUAUACCUAGGUUAAAAAGGGCUUGGAAGGCAACAAUAUUUUAGGGAGCAUAAACAUUGAAAAAAUAAAAAUUAGCAAGGGAAGGGAAUCAAACUCAAGUCUUAAGGUCAAUUUCACUAACUCUUUACCAGUAUGCCAAUUACUCAUUCUUUUCAUAAAUGCUCAAACAAAACCUUAAAAAUUAGGGCAAGACAACUCUCAGUUCACUAACCCGAUUUCUUCCGACUCAAUUCCUUCUGACCCAAUUUUUGGGACAUGACAAAACUAUUAGUAAGUUUAUGUUUCGUUUUAGUCACUUAACUUCAAAAUGUUACAAAAUGGUCAAUAAACUAUUUAAUUCAUUUAAGUCAUUGGUUUGUUAAAUUUUUUUUUAAGUUUGACUAAUGAGCUCUAAGCGAUGAUUUGACGAUUGAUGUAGUGAAUCUAUACCCAUUGACGAGUGAAACAUAUCUUAGAUCCAAGUUAACCUGCCAUUUAGUGUAGGAGAUUGGAGAAAAAAGUUGUUUGAAUUUUGGUUCACAGAUUUGUGACGUUCAAAACUGUUUCAUGAAUAUAAAUUAUGUUGUAAAAGAGAAGAGAAAUGUGAGCUUUCAAUUGAUACAAACGGUGCAAACAAAGGUCAUAUAGUAACAAUUUUAAAAGCCUGAUGACUUAAAUGAAAAUUUUUGUAUAAUUCAAUAAUCAUUUUAUAAUUUUUUGAAAUUAACUAAAAUGUAAACUUAUUAAUAACUCAAUAACCUUAAUUGCCAUUUACCCGUAAACUAUUGAGACCAUUCUAAAAAGUGAUGCAUUAAUUAUAUCUUUUAUCUUUUAUAUAUUGUUUCGAUUAAUACCUAAAUUAUUUGUACGAAAAAAAAAUCAAAAUGAAAUGCAACAUGUUCUGAACUUUUAUUAAAGCUCAUCUUUUUGUUGAAGAUACCCCAAUCCAUGAUUUCAACAUUGGAAUUUUUGAAAGUCCCAAGUAAUAGUAUGAAUUAUGAAAUUUCAAAAAAGCAUAUUCUUAUUUAUUGUUAAUUUCAAGCUAAUUUUAAUAGCUAUACUUACAUUUGUCUUUAGAAAAUAGAAAAUUCACUUUAAAUGUAUAAAAAUGAAUAAAGAAAACUCAUCUUCAUUUCUGACAGAAAAUAAGAAAUAUGAAAAAAAAAACUAAAAAAGAAAGACAUAUUUUCUUGAAAGACGCUUCAAAUGAAACAAAUAUGAAAAACAUAGUUGUAGGAGUGUUCAAUUACUUUAUUGAUCGUUAACCAAAUCAAAUUAGUAUUAACUAAAUCGAAAUUAUCAUGAAAAAGUGAAAAAGUCAUAAUUUAGGGGUGGUUGAUGCAAUUAACUCAUUUCUAAUGGUGCUAAUAAUUAAGUCUGCUAUAGGGAAAGCGAAGUUAAAAUAUGACCCAAAGACUCACCUUUUUCUAAGUCGUCUCCUAUCAAAAUUGCAAAAUAAAUGGAUAGCAGUAAACCAAAUACUUUGCUACUAAACCAAGAAAACCUUAAGAGUUCAUAUUUGUGAAGGUUUCUUAACAUUUUAGUGCAACCUUGAUUUUUAUUUUUAUUUAUUUCCUUUCCCUUAUAAAGAAGAAAAGACCUUCAACUUUUUUUCUUUUUUCUUCUUCAGUUUUGCUUACUUUCUUUUGCUCCCAAAAACCAAAAACAUAUCCCUUCAAAUCCCAUUUGAUCGUCUUGAAGUAGCAAGGAUCUUCUCAGCACCUAGUCUAGUUUGAUUUUGAAGUUCCCAAGUGAGGUCAAUGUAUUUAUGUAUCCUUAAUUUCUUUAUUUUUGAUUUUUUUAUAUAUAAAUUUGUUAUAUAUUUCUUCAUCUAAUAUUAUAUUUUUAUGUUUUGCUUGAACUAAAUCAGAGCAAAAUAGACUGUUUGGAUUUGCUCUUUUUUUUCACACUCAAAUUCUUGGAAUCAUUGCUUCAUUUUGAAGGGGUAAGUGGGUAUGUUUAUUAUGUUUUCCAUCAUUAUAUGCAUAAUAUUAAAUGGAUGGGGCCAUUACCAACAUCAAUAAUUUAGAUCCCGAUUUUGUAUAAAAUUAUUAAAAAAAACUCACAAUUAUUUAUAAAUAGAAAAAUGUAUAUAAAAAUUCUAGAAAAAUAAAAUCUUGAAUAUGUUGUUUCAUAACUAAAUUGUAUGAAAAAUAAAGAAAAUCAUCAUACAAUAACAUCCGAUAACAAAUUAAAAUAAAAACAAAACGAUUAUUAUAUGUUUCCUGAAUAUUUCUCGAAACCAAAUUAGUAGUAUUAUCAAGUUGAGUUUCAUGCCCUUGAAGAACAUCUAGAACUGAUAUUACAAAAACUUAUGAAAUUGACCUUGAUGCCAUAUUUUUAGUCAAAAUAAUACAAAAUAUACCAUAAAUUUUCUUUUCCAAACUCAAUUCGAAAUUUCAUUACAUUAGAAAUUAUAUUCAGAAUUUUAUCUUUUCUUAUAAAGUAAAAGCUAUGUCAAGUAACUGAAGAUGUAAAAAACAAAUGAAUUUGCUUAAUAUUUUUUCUAUGUUUGUUUUUAAAGAAUGAGUAUUGAAGUAAUAGAUAAUAUAGAGAAAUUUUCUUCCUUUUUUUCUGUGUCAGGACUCGGGUCUUUAAAGUUCCUCAAUCAUUUUCUUCUUUCUUUUCAGAAUCAGAUUUGCUUUUUUUGCUUGAAUCUUGACUUUAUAGUCAAUUUGGUGGGUAAGGUUUCUUGAAGCUUUAAGGUUGUAUGGUCGUGGCUAGCGCCAAAUAAAAGGUAAGUGCACAAUAAGUUUUUAUAAUUUUCUUUUUCAAACUCAAUUCAAAAUUCCAUUACAUUUUAUUUUUUUUUCAAAACCCAAAUUGUAAAAUGAAAAUAUAUUCAGAAUUUUAUCUUUUCUUAUAAUGUAAAAGCUUUGUCAAGUAAUUGAUGAGGUAAAAAAGCAUAGAGCAAAUAAAUUUGCUUCAUAGUUUUUUCUAUCUGUUUGUUUUAAAAUAAUGAGUGUUGAAUAUUUCAAUAUAGAUAAUAUAGAGAAAUUUUGCAGGGUUUAAAAAUAAUUAUCCCUAAUUUUCUCACUUUAUUUAUUUUUAAAAUUUUUAUUUUACUUUUAUUUAUUUUUUAAUUUUAUAAUGUUCCAAAAUUUUAAAAAUAAUUUCAACUUUUUAUCAUUUUAUAUAUUAUCAAAAUGAAAAUUCACCGAAAGUAUAAAAAUUUAGGACUAAAAUUUUUAUUAAAUCAUUUAAAAAGUUCCACUUAACAGUUGAGUGACAAAAAAAAAAUAAUUUCAACAGCAUUAGUGGUGAAAUUGUAACUUUUUUAAUUGAGUGAUUAAAAAAAUAUUAGCAAUAGUUUAGUGACUAAUAAUGUAACUUUUUUUUUGGUACAAUGAUAAUUCGAAAUUUGGCUAUUCCUAAAAAGGGUGAACAUCCGAUCAUAUUUAUUCACAUAUUACAAACAUCCAUAUGUAAGCAAUUCUCCCAAAUUGAAAUCAAAUUUUAAUAUCAACAACUUCAACAACUCAUAAAUAGGAAGAUAAUAUGUUUCGGUACACUUGAAACAAUAUCCUUCUACAUUGACAACAAUUACUAUGACAAUGAAGCUAAGACUCAAUUCACAAUACCUAUAUAUUUUUGUUAUACCUAAUACAAGUCAUUUACCAGUAUAUUAGACAUUCUUAUACCCUACUUUCCUAUACUUUCCCAUUAUUAUCUUGAUGAUGAUGAUGAUGGUCUUACAAUUCAGCACUAAGAUCACUGUAAUACUUGUUUUAAUUAGUAUAAUAAUAAUUUUAGUCUUUUUUUAUAUUUUCUAUCAAUUUGACUCUGAUUUUGUAUAAAAUUAUUUAAAAAAAACUCAAAAUUUUAAAAAUAGAAAAAUGUUUAUAAAAUUUCUAGAAAAAUAAAAUCCUGAAUAUGUUGUUGAAUAACUAAAUUGUACGAGAAAUAAAGCAAAUCACCAUUCAAUAAAAUCUGAUAACAAAUUGAAAACAGAACAAAACCAAAAAAAGCUUCAUCAAUGUUUCUUGAAACCAAAUUAGUAAUAUUAUCAAGUUGAGUUUCAUCCCCUUGAAGAACAACUAGAACUCAUAUUACCAAGGCUUAUGAAAUUGACGCUAAUGCUAUUUUUUAGUCAAGAUAUAUAACAAAAUUUCCUUUUUCAAACUUAAUUCAAUUUUUCAUUACAUUUAAAUUAUUUUUCAAAACUCAAAUUAUAAAAAUAAAUUAUAUUUAGAAAAAAAAUUUAUAACAUAAAAGCUAUGUCAAGGAACAGAGAACAAAUAAUUUUACUUAAUGUUUUUUCUACGUUUUUUACUAAAGAAUGUGUAUUGGAUACUUCGAUACAAAUAACAUAGAGAAAUUUUGUAGGGCCCAAAAAUAAUUAUCUCUCAUUUUCUCACUUUAUUUAUUUUUGAAAUUUUUAUCUAAUUUUAUUUAAUUUUUUAUUUUAUAAUGUUCUAAAAUUUUAAAAAUAAUUUUAAUUUUUUUACAUUUUAUAUAUUUUCAAGAUCAGAUUGACUGAAAGUAUAAAAUUUGAGGAUUAAAAUUGUUAUUAUAUCGAUUAAAAAAGUAUCACUUAACAUUUGAGUGACAAAAAAAAAACAAUUUCAAAAGCAUUAGUGAUGAAAUUGUAACUUUUUUAAUUAAGUGACCAAAACAAAAAUACCCAUAGUUUAGUGACUAAUAGUGUAGUCUUUUUUUGGUAAAAUGAAAAUUUGACCCUGAUUUUGUAUAAAAAAAACUCAAAAUUAUUUAUAAAAUAGAAAAAUGUAUAUUAUUCAACAUAGUGAUUUUUUACCCAAAUCAUAUAAAAAAUAAUUAAUUAUGAAAAUGGUAUGGAAAAUAAAUUAAUUACAAAAAUAAGGCAUUUGGUACAAUGUUUUGCUGGUGUUGCCUGACAUAUUGGUAGCACUAAAUUAAAAUGUGAUGACCUAAAAAUAUUCAAGGACUUAAUGUAACGCCCAAAAUUUUAAUUUUGGGUAUUGUGAUUGUGUAACAUAAAUAUCUAUCAACUUUAGUGGUUAUGUGUUCUGAAAGUCUUUGAGAGGUCCUAAGUUUAAGUCAAGAUUUGGGCAAAUUUUAAUAUGUAAAUUUCAAAAAUAUUCAAAGACUUGAUAUGUAAAUCUCUCAUUUUGAUUGGCUGUUGAAAAUAAACUCUAAAGAUGUUGUGUGACAGUGUGGUGGCACAAAAUCUUAAAUAGGCUCUAAAGAUUGUUUAUUAUUAUUUUUUAUCCCCUUCAACACCAAAAUUACAAAGGUUUCCUACCUAUUAAUCAAGUUCAAAUUAUGUAUAGCAUAACCGUUAACAUUGUUGAUAGUAAUUUUCUUUGGCUCAUAUAUAUAUAUAUAAUAAAAUUUUUCUAAAAUUUUUAUAAUUAUAAUUUAUACAAUACCGUAAAUUAAAUUGAUAAUAAGAAUAAUUAUAAUGCUAUCUGUAAUGGCAGACAGCAAAGAAAAAGGCUAAAAGAAACAGUAAUAAAAAUAGGAUUCCUUACUAAUAAUUCUGCCUCUGUGGAUCCUACCAGAGACUUCAUAAUUUCCCUGUUUUUAUCUUCACUUUCUUCUUACUUCUUCUUCACUGCUUUUAAUUUGUUUCGAUGUCCAAGGUCUAUCACCAAUUUUCAAGCAUCCAGUCAACGUAAUUUUCUUUCAUUUGCUUAAUUCAUCACAUGCUUUUCUUUGCUUUUGAUUAUCUGCUACUGUUAUGGCAGCUAGCUUUGUAAGAUUGUCAAGGAACUCAACUUCACUGCUUCCUUCUCAGUUCUAAUCUCUCAACACUUUUCAGCCACUAAGUCAGGUAAUAUGAUCUGAAGCAAUGAUUUCCUCUACUAAUUAUCAACAGUUUUAGAUUUUAAGAGUGGAUGACCAGCAGACAUAAUCUACUAUAGAUAGAAAUUAAUACAAAAACAGCUACCCAGAAGCAAUAUAAUGUUGAAAUCUCAAACUGUCAACAUUUUAACUCUUAAUAUUCUGUAAUGAACUCUUGCACACUUGAAUCUAGCAUUUUAUAUACAUCGAGAGCUUGAUUCUGGUGACCAGAACUUCAUCAUGUUUCUGUCUGCCACCCAUCCAUAGCUCCAUCUAAUAGACGCCAUUGCUUGAAACUUGCAUUCAUGUUUUCCUUUUCAUGCUUACACUGACAUAUCAAUACUUCAUAAAAUAUCCAAUUCAUUCACAGAUUUUCAUUCUCUGCUACUGUUAUAUAUGAUUGCAUUGCAGGGACAUAGCAAUGGAGUACGUAGAGCCUGUUGUCAGCAUUGCAAAUUGUCUCGGAAUUCCUGUUUGUGAAUAUUUACAAUAUCACAGAAAGCUGAACGAUUAUGUGAGAAAAUUCAAGACGAUCAGAGAUGAAUUGAAUUGCAAAAUGUUAGAUAUAGAGCUGCAAUUGAAUGCAGAGCUUCUUCGUCCUCUGGGGAAGAUACCGAAGAAGGGAGUUGAAAAUUGGUUGAAAGCUGUGAAAGAGAUGAUUAGGGAAGCACAAGUUGUUGAAAACAAAGUCAGUAACGGGAGAUAUUUCUGUCGUGCUUGCAACGGGAAGCUUGUUGAUGAAAAGACUCGAGAAAUGAAGGAAUUUCUUGAUAACGCUCCUAAUGCCUCUGAAGGUCUUGCCAUGGAUGGCCCAAGUGCUAGGUUGCUACUGCCAACAUCAGAACUAGUUGGAGAAGAUAUUGGUGUAAGACGCAGUAGCAAGCUGCUUUGCACUUGCUUGGACAACAAGUGUCGAGCCUUGCUGAAGAAACUAUCGAAGAAGAAGAAGAAGAAAGUUUUGCAAUGGAAAAACAGAAAAGAAAGAGAUCAUUUUGAAUGAAAAUGAGCUGAAUUUUUUCAUUAACAUUACAAAAGGCAUAAAAGCCAUUACAUAUAGGAGUUAACAAUCUUAAAACAAACAAGUUACUACCUAAACUCAUACCUAACACCACUAGUUUACCUGGUAACUUGAUAAACUUGCUUGAGUAUCAUAACAAGCUACCUAAACUUGUUUUAUUUUAUAAAUUUUUAUUAGUUACUGAUUGAUUGAAAUAUUGUGUGAAAAUAUGGAUAAAAAAAUUUUAAUGCUUUAGUGCUUAAUUGAAUUUUUAGGACUAAAUUGAGAAAAAUGCAAAGUGUGUCUAAUUAGUGAUUAAAUGACUUAAUUGAAUUAUUGCAUGAAAUUGGAAGUUUUUAUGUGGCAAUUAGACCAUGAAUUAGUGUUAUGGACACAAAAGGGUAUUUCUAGAAAAAUAUCUAAGUAAUGGGUCAAGGGCAUUUUUGUCCAAAUUGAAUAAAAGACAAAAUAAAGAUGAAAACAAGUGUUCAUCUUCUUAAAAUCAGACGUUUGCUGCCAAAAAAAUUCAUGUCACCAUAGCUAGGGUUCUUGAACUUUCUAAGCUCAAUUGUAAGUGAUUUCUUGCCCCGUUUUUAAUUAUUUUCGUAUUUUUAUGCUUAUUGAAGCUUGAAUUUCAUGUUUCUACCAUUUAAUUUAAAUGAAAUUAAAGUUUAAAAAUUGAUCCAUUCAUGAUAUAAUUGUAAAUUGAUUAGUGAUGUUAGAUAAUGAAUGUUUGAAGUGUUAAUUACAAGUUUUACUAGAUGAAUUUUGAUGAAAAUGUUGAAAAAGGGCUAAAUUGUGAAAGAUGGUAAAGUAUGCAUAAAGUUGUGAUUUUGUGAAAUUGAGGGCUGUUAUGAGCAUGAAAUAUGAUUUAGUGAAGUUUGAAAUUUAAAAAUUUAGUGAAUUUUAUUUUUACGAGCUUAGGGACAAAAGUGGAAUUUUUGAAAAGUUUCGGGGAAAAAUGUAAAUUUGCCAAAAUGUUGUGUAUGAAUUGUAUUUGAAUGAAAUGUUGAUAAAAUGUAUUAAAUUGUGUUAAUAUAGAUCAAGAAAGAAGAAAUAGUGGAAAUGAUCGGGGAAAAGAGAAAGUUAUCGACUAAAUUACAAAAAUAGUCGUUUUGCAUCCGAGGUAAGUUACGUGUAAAUAAUAGUUAUAUUUUUAUAAAUUAUGAAUUAUAUUUGAUAUGUGAAUUAAUAUUCAACGUGGAACGAAAAUUAUUCAUGAAUUAUUCAAGUGUUAAAGUGUUAAAAAUAAAGUGUUAAGUGUAAAUUCCCGGUUGAACUUAGGAAUAGAAGUGGAUACAAGUGACAUGUCACUAGAGAUCAGUGUUACAGUGUUACAGUGAGUCCCGGGUGCUGGGUGAUCUAGCAUGUGUUGCAGACACCUGACAGCUUGUGUGAGCAGGCCCGUGGACAUUUCCAGUGUUAUUGAUCAGUGGUAGCUUCGGCUACGUUUCAGUGGUAGCUUCGGCUACAUAACAGUGGUAGCUUCGGCUACAUAUCAGUGUUGCACUUAUGUGCUAAAUCUCUACGUAUCUGUGUAUAUUCCGAGUGUUCAACGGGAUUAAUAAUGAGUUAAAGUGAAUAUGAAAUGAAGUGUGUAUGCAGGUACAUUUGAAAAGAAUGAGCAUAAGUGAUAAAGGUUAAGUGUGAAAAUGUAUAUGCAAGUGAAUUUGGUAAGAUUGUGCAUGUGUAAGUGAUUGAAAUUGCUAAGAAAUGUUUUGAUUAGUUAUAUGUUAAAAGUGUUAAUUAUUAAAUGAGUAAUUAUUGUUUACAUGUAACUUACUAAGCUAUUAGUAGCUUACACCUUCCUUCUUUUCCUUUGUUUUAUAGUGAUUUGAACUUGAUCGAAUUGGGGAUCGUCGGAGCUCGUAUCACACUAUCAUAAUCAUCUCGGUAUUGUGUGAUUUUCAAAAUAUUUAAAACUAUGGCAUGUAUAGAGUCUUAAUCAUUUUGAGUAUGUUCAUAUGAUAUGGCUAAGAUUAGCUAUUGAAAUGGUUAGUAAAGAUUAUGUUUUGGUAUUAUGUAUGUGUAAAUGGUAACUAAUUCAAAGAAGCAGUUUCUUUGACAGCAGUAGUGACGUGAAUGUAAAAAUUCACCAUAAAUAGUAGAAAUGGAAUUAGAGAGUGAAUUAUAUAUGGAAUUAAAGCUUAUCAAGUCUAUUUUUAUAUGAAAGAAACGGUGUAGGCAAAGGAAUUCUGUAUUUUGAGAUAUUUUAAUUUUAGUGAGACAGGGUCAGAAUGGUUUUUGAAGUCCCCUGUUUUGACUUUAGAAAAUCACUAUAAAUUGUACAGAAAUAAUUAUAGGUCAUAAUUUAUAUGUGUAGAUUCCUUAGUGAGUCUAUUUUCAAAAUAAAUAAACAGUAACCUUAUAUGAAUUCUGUCCAAUGAUAUAAUUGAUUUCUAGUGCCAAGAGGUCAGACCUGUCGAGCAGUGAAACAGGGGAUACUUUAAUGAAUAAACUGUACUAAUUGGCUAAGUCAAAAAUUCUUAAAAUUUUAUGGUAAGUAUUAAUAUGAGUCUAGUUUCAUGGAAAAUUUACAGAUUUAAAUUUCGAGUCUCGUAACUCGAGUUAUAAUUAAAUUAGUGACAGUUGCGCAGGUAGACAGUUUUGCUGUGAGUAGUGAAUUUAAUUUUAAAAGCAAAUUUUUAUGCUCCGAAUUGGUAAGUUAAAUUGGAUGACAUCUCGUACUCGAUUCCGGCAACGGUCUCGGGUAAGGGGUGUUACAAGUUUGGCGUUGUGUACAAGGGUAAACUACAAAAAUAGUCACUUUUUGUUUACAUCAGGUUACAUUUUAGUCAUUUAUGUUUAAAAUAUUACAUUUUAGUCACUUAUGUUAUUAUUUUGUUACGAAGUGAUCACUCUUCCGUUAAGUUCUGUUAUCUCACUAACGAUAAUCUUACGUGGCAGUCCAACUAGAUUUUAAGUGCCAACUUAAAUUUUCUAAUGGAAUGAGAAUAAAUUUUUUAAUUAAAUAAAUUUAAUUAAUUAAAAAUUUUAAACUCUAAAUCUUAGUUAAAAAAAAUUCAUCUCCCCCUUUUUUUAGUUUUCUUUUUCAGUAUACCCUUCCUCGGAACUAUUGUGACUGUGUUCCUCCUCAUGCCCGGUUGUUUCAGAUGUUAAAAAAAUCAGAACUUAAACUACUUUCCCUACCCUUGUCUUCAAGCAACUCGGCAAAUAUUCCCAUUUGAACCCCAUUCUCACUAAAGCUUUCAUUUUUCUCUUUAAUGAGUCCUCCUUUCUCAACCAAACCCUCCAUUUCAAUUUGCUGUUCUUCAAAAGGACCAGGUGAAGGACAAAACACAGAGUGAUUUACUAUCAUACCACUAUACUCUAACCUCUGUGAGCAACACACAUUGGACUCCAUAGCUUUGUAACACAAGCUUCUAAAAGAUUUUGAAACCCAAAAGCUCUUAGCUUUUAGCUUUGGCGCAGGCAUUCAAAGCUUCAACUGGUGAUAUUGUUGUUGUUGCUGCUGUUUGGUAGAGCUAUUUACUCUUGGUUGGUGAAAGCUCCUCCAUCCAUAAGGUCGCCAACAUGUCUACUUCAAUGGGUUAAAGUGGAAGCAAAAAAAAAAAAAAAAAUGCAGAGAAAUUUGGUGUGGGGUUUUCCUUCUUUUUCCUUUUAUCUUUUUUAUGUUACAGAAAAAAGGCAGAAGCUUUAUGUUCUUAAAUAUAUGGAGUCAAGCUAUUGAUGAUUACUGAGGCCUGCUCAAAGACAUGACUGCUUUCUUAGUCAACCGAAAAAUAAAACUUAAAAAAAAAAGAGAUGAACUGUUUUUUAAUUAAGAUUUAGGGUUUAAAAUUUUUAAUUAAUUAAAUUUAUUUAAUUAAAAAUCUAUUCUUAUCCUAUUAGGAAAUUUAAGUUGACACUUAAAAUCUAGUUGGACUGCCACGUAGGAUUACCGUUAAGGAGAUAACAGAACUUAACGGAAGAGUGAUCACUUCGUAACAAAAUAAUAACAUAAAUGACUAAAACGUAACAUUUCAAACAUAGGUGACUAAAAUGUAACCUGAGGCAAACAAAAGUGACUAUUUUUAUAGUUUACCUUUGUGUACAAUGGUACGGCUCUGGUAAAAGUGAGAAUUCUGAAAUUUUGAGAAAGAAAGUAAUUAAAACGAUUCGUUAGUAACAUCAUGCACAGAAAUAUUGGAAGUAGACAUAAUAUGUAUCAUUUAAUAUCUUAAGUGACACUAGUUAUUCAUGCAUAAAUGAAAAUGUUCCGACAUGGUCAAGUAUAUAUACGAAACAGAUAUCUUAAGAGUUGAAGCAAAGAAAAGGCGAUACCCCCUGAUCACUUUGUUUCCUCAGCUCCCGAAUGUUUUCAAAAGCUUUGUCCCUCUUCAGGGUCACAGCUUUCAGCUCAUUUUGUAAAGACUCGAUUUUAGUUUCAGUUUCAUCCAAUUUAUCUUUAAUUUGCUUUUUUUUGGACCAGACUGCAUGCUGCUCCUUCCUUACUCCAUUCAAAUCGACACCCAUAAGCUACAAUAAACAAAUAUAGCUCUUUUUUUUUUUUUAGUGUAACACAAUGGUGCUCUAUAUUCACAGAUAAGAAGAGGAGCAAACUCCAAUGGAUAAAGGCAGAAAAUAGAAUCAUCUUACUUUAACUUGAUCUUGAAUGUCUUCUUUCUGGCCUAAUGAAUCUUGAAUCUUUGUUCUCAUUGCAGCAUUAGCAAUAACUUUCUCACGGGUUCCCUCCAGGUGUUUGAUUUCUUUAAGGAUUCGCUUCUCCUCACUCAACGAGAUGCUUUCGUGCUGAAUGCGAUAUUGCAAGCUGUGAAUCUGCAAUUCAUAAAUUCCAUUGAAGUGACUAAAGGAGAAAAAGAAAAGCAUUAACUGCGGCAGAAAACAAUGAAUAAAUCUAAAUGCAGUCAAAGUUUAUAGAAGUAUCAUACAAUAAAAUCGAGCUCUUCCUCAGAUGCACAUAAACUAUGUCGAUUAUAAACAUCUUUAUUAUUGUGAAGCUUGCCUAAAGCCUGCUGCAGUGGUUCUAUUUCCUUUUUUUUCUCAUCUAAAAUCGUCUUAAAUUGCUCAAAAUCAACAUUCAGCGCUCUCACUUGCGAAAGCAUCUCUGAUCGUUCUGCCUGCAUUAGCAUAAAGAUAAUCACUAUUUAGCCAACUGACAGCGCCAUUAUUCUUUACUUCUUUCACAUUUUUUCUCAAAUUCUGAAGGCAAACAUAACAUUAAUGAAUCAUUAUACCAAUAGCAUAUCUGUAAGUGUCAUUACAUUUCAAGGACAUAAAUUUCGAACAUUCAAAUAAAUGCUUCCGGGUUUAAUUCCCCUACAUUCAUCAUAUUACAAUAAGCACACCAUAAUGACAUAAUGAUAGGGCUAAUAAUUAUCUUAAAAGUAUGACAAUUAAUGGCUAUCAUGCUAUACAUCUAAUUGAAAUUAAUAACUUUUCACUCACCCUUUUUGCUUUUAAUUCAUCGGUAAGCUUAAACCUGGCUUUAUUCCACUUUUGCAUCUCUUUAUCAGCCUGAUCAAGUUUGGCUUUUAUAGCCUGAUCUUCGUAGAAGCGAUACCUAAUAAAAUGAAAAGAGUGGAUCUGCUUAGGUGCAGGCCACUCGACGACCGCAUCCUUCGGAAAGUCGGGAUCGGAUGCACCAUUCUGUUCUUCCUUAUCAGGUUCCUCACUAUGUGAAUCAACUUCAAUGGGGUUAUUAUAAACUGGAUCCUUUUCCAGUUUCCCAUUUUCAUGAAGAAAUGAUUUGUCUACUUCAGUCACUUUAUCAAUAGACAAUUGUGCCAGGUCUAAAUCAACAACCUCAACACCCACUAAACAUAAAAUUGAGCUACCUGAAAACAUCCAAAAACAAAGAUUAUGAUACCAUAUAACAACAAAUAUAAAUAUAAAAUAUUAUUUCAUUCAUAAAAUAAAAAUUUUAAAACCAGACACCUGAUAGACAUGUAUAAAACAAUAUAUAUUAAAUAAAUAAAUUUUAAAGAACAGUAUAGCCAAUACAAUUUGAAAUGGUGCAAUCUAAAGCCAUUCCUUUAGCUAGUUUUCUCAUUAAUCAGAUCAAAAGAGUGAACAAACAGUAGAAUUGCAAAAUUAUAUGUAUAUAUUCUAAAUAAAUGAUAAACUAUAAUGGAGAAAAACAAUAAUCAGAUAAAAUCUAGAUCAAAAACUAAAUUAUAAGUACAUUAGCUCAUGCUAUAACAAAAGAUCAAGCCUUUAUCCGUCAAGAAAAUUAACAUGCAAAAUCAUAUGACACUAAUGGAAAAGACUCGGAAAUUUACAAACAUGAGAUAAAUGAAAAACAAAAAAACCCCAGAAAUAAAAACAUGAGAAAUAAUUAUGUAGUUUGCAAGGCUAGAAAGUUUACAUUUUUAAAAAGAAAAAGUCAAAAUAAGAUGUUAUUGUUGUCGAGAGAGGCAUAGAUACAGAGAUUCUGGAUAAAAAAAAACUUUCUAACUUUUUUAUUUUAUAUUCGCGUAAUGCCCCAAAUUUUAUAAAUUUUAGGUGUUAAACAUGUCAAGUAAUUUGAUUUGGUGUGGUGAUUAAGUGUAUUGAAUGUUUGCUUUGGGUCUUGAGUUCAAUUUUUUUGUUAAAUUUGUCUUAUUUAUUAUGGUAUUUGUUAAAUUUUUCCUAUUUAUUAUGGUAUUAUGUUCAACUUGAGCCUUAAGUCUUAUCCCUUAUUUUCAACGAUGAAUCUACUGAUUCAAUGGUAAGACUUUAGCUUAUCACCAAUUUAAAUUUUAUAAAAUCUGAUAAGUGAGAUUUAAAUUAACUUAAAUCUUUUUAUUUAUUUAUUUUUAUUUAAUUUUACUAAAUCUCUAUUUUCACUUAUUGUUUCAACCGUCCACACUCUCACCCCACUCUGUACGCUACUUUCUUUUGUUUCCCUAUUCUACGGUUUUAUCUUCUUUUCUCUUCCUUCUUUCUCCUCUUUUGAUUAUUCCUGAAUACUACCAUUUAUUUUGUGAGUUUUGUCACUUGGAUCGUAUUCUGUUUGCAGUGUAAGUUUCAUUUGGUUACUUUUGUUCUCUUCCCAUUAAUAGUUUAGUUUUAUUUCGUUUCUUGAACAAGUUAAGUUUAUGUUGGUAUUUUCUGUUCAUUAUCAUGAUUAGUAUUUUUGUGGUUCUCGAUUAGGCAAAAGGUGUGAGAAUCCUAACCCUCUAGCAAAGUAGUCACAAUUUUCGACGUUGUUUUGGAGAACUAAGUAUUCGUAUUCUAUUUUAGGGGUUGAAAUUUUGAUUCAACGAUGUUAUUUUGGAUAAGUAUUGUUAGUUCAUCCGUGUGGUUUGACGAACGUUUAUAGGAUUCGUGAGUUCCAAUUGAGCGGUUGAUCAAAUCAGCAAUAGGUGUAUGAAAUUAACCUAAAAACUCAAUCGAAACUCGAGAAAAUUAAGGGCCACACGACUAUGUGGGUAUUUUGGCCAAUUUUAAGCCCCAAUUAGGGGCCGAUUAAAGGACUGAAAUAUUGGGUCCAUAGCCAUCAUAUAAGCCCAAAAAAUGUAAGUUUUAGUACGUAUAUAUACAUGGCUAAGCUUAGAGGUAUGUUAAGUAGGUUGUAUAUAAAUCAUAUGCAAUGUUAUGUUCCUUAUAAAAAUAUGUGUAUGCUUGUCAUACGACUUAUGAUAUAAGUAUUUAUGAUAUUAUAAUUAUGAUUAUGCAUGUCAUAUAUGAUUGUUGUCAUGAUAUACAAGCAUUUAAUUAAUAUUUUAAAGUUUUAAAAAAAUAAUAAAUGUUUUUAAAUAAUUUUAAAAUUUUAAAAAUAAGUUAUAUAUAUUUUUAAAACCUUAAAAAUUAUUUAAAAACUAAUGUAUCAUCCAUAAUAAAUCAUACAUCAUUAACACAUACUGGGGCAUGGGAAAGCUUUUAAAAACUGAACUCAAAAAGUGGUCUACAUGGUUCAUCAAGGCAUGGCAAGUAAGUGAGUUGAAGCAAUUUGUGUCAUGAUUGCCUGUAUUUCUCUCAUAAUUUCUUUGCCACUCUGCACCCGUGAGACACUGCAAAAUGUCCUACAUUUCAAAUAAACUGAUGUCAGGUAAAACAUUAAAGCAGAAGAGGAUCAACUAUUACCCUCACUAUCUAUUUCAAUGCUAAAUUUCCACCUCUCCUCUCCAACACCUCAUUGGUAGCCUUACUCAUCUUAACCAACACAACCCUUUCUUUUUCCAAUACAUUUCCAGAAUGUACACUUUUAUUAGAAGAAAAUAUCCAAAAACAUUUUACCAGAAAGCUGGGCUGUGGGGUUGGAAAUGAAGGAUUUUACACCUUCAUCUUGGGGAAGCCCAUAUUUCUUCACUUUGGCAAAACUCUCUUCUGGGUCGAUUCUACAAAAUAUUUAUUAGCUCAUUUUGUGAAAGAGGUAAUUGUGAGAUGAUUGAUCAUUUUGUUUCUACAUUAUAAGAAAAAACUGUAAUAUAUAUCAUGAACUUGAGUUGUCAUAUUCUAAUAUUUCUUUGCUCAAUAUUUACUUGAUUGUAUACAUUAGAUUUGCACCCGAAGCAAUAGUUUUAGAACACUUACAGUAAUAGUUUUAGUCUUUCAACUUCAUCAACUAAUUUUUCAAAGUUAUGUGUAUUGAUUGCGGUCGUAAACCAACUAAAAAUCUGAUUAAGGUAAAUGUACUUAUCAAUUAAUAGUAUAGUUACGAUGAACAAAGAUAUCAUUCCCACAAGGGCUAAAAGUAUUAGUAAUUAUUGUCUUUCUAUUAUUUAACCGACAAAUUGGAAUGAUUGAUUAAAACUAAAAUUAACUAAAUAAAUUAACUAAAGAACACGGCAAAGAACAAAUCAGAAAAAUAAAUGAUUAACAACCAAAAAGCGAGACAAUACUCGGGAAAGAAUCCACCUAGACUUCAUCUGUCAUUAUCAAUCUAAAUCACACAAUUUCUUCACUUACUAUCUUGAUCCGUAGAAAUCCCUAAAUUAUUGUAAUAUCUCUCUUCAAGACUAAGAGUAACUGACUCUAGAUUGAUUAAUUGAAAUUUCUUUCUAAUUAAAACCUCUAUUAUCACAUUAACUUGAUUUAUGGAUUAUUCUAUUAGAUUUGACUCUAAUCCGGUAGAAUUAUGUAAUCCUAUUUUUAGGAUUGCAUGCAACUCCACUCAAUUACGCUAGAUCUACUCUUAAACAGGGUCUACUCCUCCUCUGAUUUAAGCACAUAAAACAUGAAUCAAUAGUCUAAAAAAAUUAAACUAUGAAUUAAGCACACAUAAAUGAGAACAAGAUCUAAGUAUUUAUUCCGUAAAAAUAGAAAUCAAAUAAUAGAAUUCAUCCUAAGGUUUAUCUCCCUAGGUAUUUGGAAAAUUAGUACAUAUAGUAAAUAAAAACAUCCCAAAAAUAGUAUAACCAUAAGAAAUAAAGAAACUCAUAAUAAACUUCAAAAAAAUCAAAAGGAGAACUUCAAUAUUGAUGGAAAUCUACUUCAAAGUCGGCUUUAAUAGUAUUUUCUGAGUUGCUUUCUUCAAUAUAUGACAACUCACUGAUCCCCUCCUCUUAUCUUUGUCAUAUAUAUUUUAGAAUGCUCAAAAAACUUAAAAAUUACGCUUUUUGCGUGUUUAGAGUGCAAUUUACGAUUUCCACAUGGUCUAGCACAUGGUCGUUUUGUAAUGACCCAAAAUUCACGGGCAUCGGAAAAGUAUAAUAUCAGGUCUCUGUCUUAGUAAAUUGAGUUUGAAAAUAAUUAUUAGAAAUAUUUACUAGACUAGUUGUGUGUUUAAUUAGGAUUUAGAUAGGUGAAUUUAGCUUAAUUAAGAGUAAUUAGCAAAAAAGAUUAAAUUACAAUAGAAGUGAAAGUUUAAUUAUAGAUUAAAAUAAAAUAAAGGGGAUUAAACAGGAAAUUAUGCCAAUUGCCAAAUUUGAGGCGGCAUUGUUAAAAUAUGUUAUUAAAUUAUUAUUAUUAUUAUUAUUAUAUUAUGAAAUAAAUAAGAUGGUGACAAAUGUAUGGCAAUAAAAUUAGUACAUGUGUAAAACAUGUAUUUAAACACUUGUAUUAUAAUGAUAUAUUUUCUUAAAUUUUAAGUAAAGGUAUUGUCGAAACCAUUUUUUUUUGAAAACAAAAAUUUAGUUGUAGACUUUAAAAACAAAAAUUAGAGUCCCCACCGAUCUUUUAUUAAGGUGCGAUCGGCUCACCGUAAAAUUUUAGUCUACGAAGUCUUAGAAAAACAGGUUCGGGAGUCAAUUACGCACGAGGAAGGGUUAGUGCCCUCGUAACGCCUAAAAUCGGUACCAAAUUAAUUAUUUUAUGUCUUGGUGUCGAAAAUUUGAAAAGAUUUUAAAAGAAAACUUUUUUACUCGAGAAUGAAUUAAAAUAAUACAAACAUUCCUAUUUUAAAGAAACAAAAUAUCACACCCAGUUAGUUAGGGCACAAUAUUUUUAAAUUUUCAAAAUUAAGUUUGUCUUUUGAUUUUAAAACUCACACGGUUAAAUCUAAGAAGGGUAUUCGAUUAUUUAGAUCAAAUAAAGAAAAAUCGAAACCUAGUAAGCUAGGGCACAAUUUCUCAAAAUUUCAAAUACAGAAUAGCACCUUUUGUUUUAAAAAAUCUUAUUUCGAGAAGUCAAAAUAUCAGGACCAGUAAGUUAGGACCCGUAAUUUUAGAUUCCCGGGAACAAGCCUUUAUUUGAAAUUUGUGUGAAUUUAUUGCAAAAUAAAUACUCGACUUUCUAAAUUCGUCGAAAAAUAAUCGCGAUCCAGUAAGUUAGGACACGAUCUUUCUCGAGAAUCAUGAAUGCCAAAUAUUUUGAAAAUUUAUAAAUUAUGAUGAUUUUUAAUGCUUUGAUAAAGCCAAAAUAUAUUUUUCUUUAAAAGUAUGAUAAAAUGUUAAUGCAUAACAUGAAAUCAUUACUUUAAUUUAAAAUAUACCUAUAUAUGUAUACAAAAAUUAUAAAAAGAACAUAAUCAUAAAAUAUAUAAAGUUGACAUAAAAAUAAAAAUGUAAGCAUAAUAUAUUAAUAAUUACGAAAAUAUGGGUAUAUAUGUAUAUAUAAAAAUAUAUGAAAAAUGUAUUUAUAAAAGUUUUGAAUAGUAUAUGAAUAUAUUAUAAAAAAAACAUGUAUAAACAUAUAUAGAUUAUAAAAUAUGGAAAGCAUAAAUAUAAAAUAAAAAUGUAUAUACGAAUAAAUAUAUGUAUAUAUAUAUAAAAUAAUAAUAAAGUAUAUAAAAUGUAUAUGAAUUUAAAAAUGUUUAAAAUAUAAAUAUUAAUAUUAUCAUACAUAUCCGCAUAUAAUGUAGGUAUAAUAAUAAUUAUAUAAUAUAAUAAUAAUAAAUACUAAUAAUAAUACAGUAAUAAUAACAAUUUAACAGUAUAUAAAAAAAUUAAAAAUAACAAAUUAAGGAUUAAAUAGAAUUUAAAGGCUAAAUUUGAAAAUUGAAAACGUGAAAAAGAGCAAAUUAAAACGCGCAUAACAGGAGGAGGAUCUAAGAAGAAAUUUACCCAAACCUCCUGAAACGCUGCGCAGCAUUGGAUUAAAUUGUAGCAAAAGUAAUGUUUCAGGGAAAAAUUUAAAAAUAGCAGAACAGUAAUUUUGAAAUGAUGAAAACAUGAAGGGACUAAAUAAUAAAUAACCCAUCAAUACUUAAAACACGCGGAUCUGAUCAGGUUUUGGGUCGGGUCACGCUGGCAUUCGGGUUAUACCAAUACGCUGCCGUUUUGGGCCCUAUAAAAUCCCAUUUUAAAAACCCUAAAAUCGUUUUCCUUCUGCCCUUUGAAGUUGUGUCGUAGCCUCCCCUCCUCUCAGCCAUUCAAGCCCCAUUUCCGACCAUCAACGGCGAUGUGAGGGCACUCCGACGACAGCCCAACGAUAAGUCCUCUUUCCCUUACCCCUUUUGUUUAUUUUGUCUUUUAUAAAAUACCAGAAUGAAGGGAAAAAAACAAAUAGUAAAAUAAAAAUAGCAAAAAUAAACCCAAAGAACAAACCUUCAAAAUUGUUUUUGUUAUUUCUUGUUCCUGUCUUUUUUAAUCUCUGAUUGUGUGUGUAGUCUCUUUUACAAAAUAUAUUUGGCCUUUAUAUCCAAAUCCUUACAGGAAAAACCAAAAUAAACUUUUACAAUUUUUUCCUUUUCUUUUCGGUCCCUCUCACUGUUAAUGGUUUAUUGCAGGCGAGGAGAACGUGGAAACGAGUGUUGUGCUGGGUUGCUGAACGUGCGAGCAACGACGUUGGUAGUGGGACGAUUGCUGCGGCGCUCUGCUUAGGGUUUCUGUUACCUUAGGCCAAUUGGGCCUUGUAAUUGGGUCAAGAUUGACCCAAGUUUUAAUGGGUUUGGUUGUAUUUAAUUUGGGCCCCGAGCAACAAUUGGGUAUUACAGGUAUUUAUAUAUAUUAUAUGUGAAAUUAUUAUAUUAUUAUAUUAUAUUAAUAAAAAUAUCUAUAUUAGUUAAAUGUUAAAAUAAUAAAAAGUAAAUAAUAAAAGGAAAUAAAAACAAAAGAAAAGAAAAAAGAGAGAAGGAAGAAACAGAGGCAUUCGAAACAGAGCAGGAAAAAGAAAGAAAGAAAAGAAAAAGGAAAAAUUCAAGGUUUAAGGUUUAAAGCUUUGAUUGGUAAGUCAAUUGAGCCUUUUUUAUUUAGUUUUGAUGAUUUAGAAGCUUUAAAACAAAGUUUUGAUGAAAUUAAGUUGAUAUUUUGUAAGUUCAUAGGUUUUUAAGCACGGUUCAUGUUGAAUAAAUUGUUAAAUUAGGGAUUUAAUUGAAUGAAUUUUAAGUUAGAAUUGAUAAAAGAAUUAAAUUGUAAAAGAAACUAUAAGUUUUAUGUUUUAGGGACUACAUUGAGGGAAAUUAGAAAUUAGGAAAAGAUGCUGAAAUUUUAAUAGUUACAUUUGAGUUUGGAUGAAAUUUGAAUAGAAAUAGAGUGUGAAUUGAAUUAGGAAAGUAAGUGAACUUAGUUAGGAUUAAAUUGAGAAUAAGGAAGAAAUUGAAUAGAAAUUCAAUUAUUUAUCAUAAUUAGUGCUGAAAUUAAUAGUAUAAAUUAUUAUUAUUAUUUUCGUAGCUAGCAAAGAACCAGAAGCACCGGCACAGAAGGGAAAAGAGAAGAUUUUCGAGAAGUAAACUCGAGAAAAUUGCAGUUUGUAUUACUAUAAUUCAAGUUAUUUAUUAUUAAAUGUUAAAUUUUAAUUUAUGUGUUUGGUAAAUGAAAUGUGAGGUAAGUAUUAGUAUUAUUAUUGUCAUUAUUAUUAUUAUUAUUAUUAUUAUUAUUAUUAUUAUUAUUAAGAUGAGUGAGAAUUAAAUUGAAUAGUUGAUAUGAAUUAAUAUUUGAAUUGUUUGUUGAUUGAAAGUGGGAAGUGAAUUUGAAUCGAAUUGUGAUUGAUAUUAAAUUGAAUGGAAAUGUAUUGAGUUGUGAAAAUGUGUGAAUUUGUGGAUUAAUUAUUGAUUGAAAGGUGGAAAAAUGAUUGAAUUGAAAAUGUGAGAAAUUGUGAUUGAAUUGGGGUUAUAUGUGAUUUAAAUGCCCUAUUAACUAGUUGGGCUGAGUCAGAUAUAGUUGGCAUACCAUAGGAUUGGAAGAGUUCACGGAUGCUUCGACCUCGAGUCGAUGAGACACUGGGUGUCACUAUAUUUCUUCGGAUAGAUUCGAUGAGGUACUGGGUAACAACUUUCUUCGGCUUUGCCGAUGAGACACUGGGUGUCAACUAUUGCUUCGAACUAUCCGAUGAGGCACUGGGUGCCAAUCUGGUGUGUUUGGUUGGAUCCGUGUAUCUGACAAAGUCCGAGUUUUGUUAAUAGGGGUAAAUAAUGAAAUGAUAAACCGAAUGAGUUUGGUUAAUCGAGCUACUGAAAUGAGAUGAAAAAGUUGAAUUGUGAAUUGAAAUGUGAUACGAGAUUGAAGAAUGAACCUAAGGUUCAUGAUGUGUUCAAAGCUCAAAUUGUGGAUACAUGAUAUUAAUUGAUAAUUUUUUAUUGUUGUAUUAUGAAAUUUGAGUUUAAACUUGUAUGUAUGAUUUGUGCAUGAUAUGUUUGAUGAUUAUGUUUUAUUUUUAUUAUUAUAAUUUGAAUUAUGGUAAUACCACUGAGUUCGGAUACUCAGCGUAUGGUUGUUUCCGUGUGCAGGUCGAUAGAAGUCGAAGGUUUUCUGAUUUUCGCUCCUUUUGCUUCCAAAUGCUCUUCAAAGUAUAGAAACAUGAAUUUAAAGUAUUAGGAGCAAAAAAUUCACCGUUAACACAUUUUCUCUGUAUAUUUAGCAUAUAUUCGAACUUUGAAUUUCUGCUUUGCAGUUUAUAUAGGUUCAAAAAUAUGAACCCAUGUUUUCAAAGGUCUAAUUUUUCCAUGAACUGCCAGAAAUGAAAAGAAAAAAAAUAUUUAAAAAAAUGAAAGAAAAUAAAAAUGAAAAUAUAGUUUAAUGAGACUUACAUAAAUGUCGGGAUUGAGAAAAUGAUUGUCUAAAAAGAAGCAGAAAUUUGGCUGUCCAAGCCAUCUUAUUCAGUUCACCGAUGCAAGUUUCUCCGCUUAGCCGUCGCUGCUCUGAAAAUGACGAAGGCCUAACUAGUUUAACAACAGUACCAGUACGAUGUCAUAAGAAUGUAUCCUACGUGGCAUUCGUGUCAUCUAGCUAAGUCAAACUACGAAGCUACGGUUGGACUUCGAUUUCGGUUGGGUUUGGUUUCUUAGCUGGAGUUCUAUUUAAACUUGGGUUUUGUUUUCGGUUAAAUUACCCUAUUAGUUACUAAAUUAUAUGUUGCUUUUGUUUUGUUCACUUAACUAAAAAAAAAGUUAAAAUUUUGUUAUUGAAGUAUUCGAAUACUUUCAUUUAAGUCACUAAAACAAGAUCUUUUUAAAUAAGAAAUAAAUAUUUUUUAUACAGAAAUUUUAUAUAUAAAAAAUAAAAUACUUCAAUUUAAAAGGACAUUUUGUUUAAUCACUUUAAUAGCUUUUGGAGUGAUGAAAAGUCUAAUUUCACUUUGCACCAAAAAUGAUUUUUUUGUUAAUUUUCUUACCGAGCUGGGACUCAAUUGAUGGUUGACGACAACUAAAUAAAAGGCUUUAACACAGUAUAGAUAAAAAAAGUUUUAAACUAAAAUUUUUAAAAGAAUUUAGGGCAAACUACACCAGUCAUUCAACUAUAGGUAAGUUUACGUUUUAAUCACUUAACUAAAAAAAUUACAAUUUGAUUACUAAUGCUUUCGAAAUUAUUUUUCUUUUUUGUCACCCAAUUGUUAAGUCAUACUUGUUUUAGUUGGUAUAAUAAUAAUUUUAGUCCUCGGUUUUUAUAUUUUCUGUCUAUUUGACUCUGAUUUUGUAUAAAAAUAUAAAAAAAAUCACAAUUAUUUAUAAAAUAGAAAAAUGUGUAUAAAAAUUCUAGAAAAAUAAAAUCUUGAAUAUAUUGUUUCAUAACUAAAUUGUAUGAGAAAUAAAGAAAAUCAUCAUUCAAUAACAUCCGAUAACAAAUGAAAAUCAAAACAAAACAAAAAAAAAGUUAGAUUAUUAUAUGUUUCUUAUAUUUCUCGAAACCAAAUUAGUAGUAUUAUCAAACACAUUAAGAAUGAGAUUAAAAUAUGUUACUUUUAUAGCUUAUCAUACCCCUAAACCACAACUAAAAAGUUUAAUCUGAUAUGGUGGCAUCCACCAUUAGUAAUUGACUCUCAAUUUUGGUUCUUUUUGUCUUGUUUUCUCUUUGCACUCGUUGUUUUAGAUCAUCAGAGUCUUCAUGGUGGACCCUAGAGCUUAAAGGAGGCUAAAGAUGGUGGAAUCCAAGGUAGUGUGAAACAACAUGGUCUUGACUAGAGGUGUCUAUGGGCCGGGCCCAAAAAAAAAUUUCAACUCGCUUCCUAGGCCCGGGCCCGGCCCAGCCCGAAAUAUGGGCCUGAGAUUUUGUCCAAGCCCGGCCCGGGGAAAAAUAUGGAACCUGAGCCCGGCCCGGCCCGGCCCGUCCCAUGGACACCUCUAGUCUUGACCUACAACACUAAAAUUGCUUUAGCUUAAAUGAAAAUGAAAAUAUUUUGUAUGCAUGAUAUCUCUAGUUUAAAUCUUAUUAUCAACAAAUUUUUAUUGAUUUAUGAAAAGAUGAAAAUACCUUUGUAAUUAUAUAUCUUACUUUACAAAUAAAAUGUUUUUUUUAGUAAUUUUCUUACUGCGUUCGGACUAAUUGAUGGUUGACACUAUGGCAGUAAAAGGCCUAAUACAUAAUAUAGAUUAAAAAAAAAGUUUUAAACUAAAAUUUUUCAAACAAUUUAAUGUAAAUUAAACCAUUAGUCAUUCAACCAUGAGUAAGUUUUCGUCUUGAUCAUUUAACUAAAAGAAGUUACAAUUUAGUCACUAAUAUUUUUGAAAUUGUUUUUUUAUCACCUAACUGUUAAGUGGCACUUGUUUUAAUUGGUAUAAUAAUAAUUUUAGUCCUUUUUUAUAUUUUCUAUCAAUUUGACUCUAAUUUUGUAUAAAAUUAUAAAAAAAACUCAAAAUUUUAAAAAUAGAAAAAUGUUUAUAAAAAUUCUAAAAAAAAUCUUGAAUAUGUUGUUUCAUAACUAAAUUGUAUGAGAAAUAAAGCAAAUUACUAUUCAAUAAAAUCUGAUAACAAAUUAAAAACAGAACAAAACCAAAAAAAAUCUUCCUCAACGUUUCUCGAAACAAAAAAAAAAUAAUAUUAUUAAGUUGAGUUUCAUGCCAUUGAAGAACAUCUAGAACUCAUAUUACUAAGGCUUAUGAAAUCGACCCUAAUGCCAUUUUUUUAGUCAAAAGAAUACAAUAUAUAUAACAAAAUUUCCUUUUUCAAACUUAAUUCAAUUUUUCAUUACAUUUAAAUUAUGUUUCAAAACUCAAAUUAUAAAAAUAAAUUAUAUUUAGAAAAAAAAUUAUAACAUAAAAGCUAUGUCAAGAAACAGAGAACAAAUAAUUUUACUUAAUGUUUUUCUAUUUUUUACUAAAGAAUGUGUAUUGGAUAUUUCGAUAUAGAUAAUAUAGAGAAAAUUUGUACGGCUUAAAAACAAUUAUCUCUCAUUUUCACUCACUUUAUUUAUUUUUGAAAUUUGUAUCUACUUUUAUUUAAUUUUUAUUUUAUAAUGUUCUAAAAUUUUAAAAAUAAUUUUAAUUUUUUACCAUUUUAUAUAUUAUCAAGAUCAAAUUGACUGAAAGUAUAAAAUUUGAGGAUUAAAAUUGUUAUUAUAUCAAUUAAAAAAGUGUCACUUAACAUUUGAGUGACAAAAAAAAACAAUUUUAAAAACAUUAGUGAUGAAAUUGUAACUUUUUUAAUUAAGUGACCAAAACAAAAAUAGCCAUAGUUUAGUGACUAAUAGUGUAACCUUUUUUUGGUAAAAUGAAAAUUUGACCCUGAUUUUGUAUAAAAAAAAUUAAAAUUAUUUAUAAAAUAAAAAAAUGUAUAUUAUUCAACAUAGGGAUUUUUUACCGAAAUCAUAUAAAAAUAAUUAAUUAUAAAAAUGGUAUAGAAAAUAAAUUAAUUACAAAAAUAAGGCAUUUGGUACAAUGUUCUGUUGGUGUCGCCAGACAUAUUGGUAGCACCAGAUUAAAAUGUGAUGACAAAAAAUAUUCAAGGACUUAAUAUGGAAAUUUCUCAUUUUGAUUGGUUGUUGAAAAUAAGAUAUAAGAGUGUUGUGUGACAUUGUAAGCGGCACAAAAUCUUAAAUAGGGUUAAUUUCUUUGUAAACCGUUAUUAUUUAUUAUUUUGUUUUUAUUCUCCUUCAACACCAAAAUCAGAAAGGCUUCUUACGAAUUAAUUCAAGUCAAAUAAUGUCUAGCAUAACAGUUAAUACUAUUGACAGAAAUUUUUUUUGGCUCAUAUUAUAUCUAAGAAACUAUAGAUUUAACUAAUAAUUAUAAUUUAUAUAUAGUAAAUAUUUUUUAAAGUUUUUCUAAUUAUAAUUUUAUAUGUGCCCGUAAAUUAAAUUGAUAAUAAGAAUAUCUGUAAUGGCAGACAGCAAAGAAAAACCUAAAAGCAAAAGUAAUAAAAAUAGGAUUUCUUGCUAAUAAUUCUACCUUUGUGGAUCCUACCAGAGACUUCAUAAUUUGCCUGUUUUUAUCUUCACUUUCUUCUUAUUUCUUCUUCACUGCUUUUAAUUUGUUUCGAUGUCACAAAUUUUGAAGCAUCCAGUCAAGGUAAUUUUCUUUCAUUUGCUUUUGAUUAAUUCAUGACAUGCUUUUCUUUGCUUUUGAUUAUCUGCUACUGUUAUAGCAGCUAGCUUUGUACGAUAGUCAAGGAAGUCAACUUCAGUACUUCACUGCUUCAUUUUCAGUUCUAAUCUCUCAACACUUUUCAGCCACUAAGUCAGGUAAUAAGACCUGAAGCAAUGAUUUCCUCUACUGAUUACCAACAGUUUUAGAUUUUAAGAGUGGAUGACCAGCAGACAUAAUCCACUAUAGAUAGAAAUUAAUACAAAAACAGCUACCCAGAAGCAAUAUAAUGUUGAAAUCUCAAACUGUCAACAUUUUAACUCUUAAUAUUCUGUAUUGAACUCUUGCACACUUGAAUCUAGCAUUUUAUAUACAUCUAGAGCUUGAUUCUGGUGACCAGAAUUUCAUCAUGUUUCUGUCUGCCACCCAUCCAUAGCUCCAUCUAAUAGACGCCAUUGCUUGAAACUUGCAUUCAUGUUUUCCUUUUCGUGCUUACACUGACAUAUCAAUACUUCAUAAAAUAUCCAAUUCAUUCACAGAUUUUCAUUCUCUGCUACUGUUAUAUAUGAUUGCAUUGCAGGGACAUAGCAAUGGAGUACGUAGAGCCUGUUGUCGGCAUUGCAAAUUGUCUUGGAACUCCUGUUUGUAAAUAUUUGCAAUAUCACAGAAAGCUGAACGAUUAUGUGAGAAACUUCAAGAGGAUCAGAUAUGAAUUGAAUUGCAAAAUGGAAGAUAUAGAGCUGCAAUAGAAAGCAGAGCUUCUUCGUCCUCUGGGAAGAUAUCGAAGAAGGGAGUUGAAAUUUGGUUGAAAGCUGUGAAAGAGAUGAUUAGGGAAGCACAAGCUGUUGAAAACAAAGUCAGUAACGGGAGAUAUCUCUGUCGUGCUUGCAACGGGAAGCUGGUUGAUGAAAAGACUCGAGAAAUGAAGGAAUUUCUUGAUAACGCUCCUAAAGCCUCUGAACGUCUUGCCAUGGAUGGUCCAAGUGCUGGGUUGCCACUGGAAACAUCAGAACUAGUUGGAGAGGAAGCUGUCAGAAAAGAGAUUUGGGCAUGUUUGAUGCAGGAGGAGGUAAGCAAGAUUGGGGCUUGGGGGAUGGGCGGCGUGGGUAAAUCGACCAUAAUGAAGCACAUCCACAAUGAUCUUUUGAAAGAACAACGAUUUGAAAGGGUGGUUUGGGUUGCUAUAUCAAAGGAGUUCAAUAUUGUGAAGUUACAAAAUGAUAUUGCAAGUGCAUUGAAUGGAAAGAUGCCCGAAGAAGCAAACAAGGUCAGACGAGCAGCAAUCUUGUCCGAAAAGCUGAAGAGAGCAGGAAAACAUGUUCUAAUCCUAGAUGAUGUGUGGAGUGAAGUCUCGUUGGAAGAAAUUGGGAUCCCUAAGCCAAGUAGCAGCAAUGGGUACAAGUUGGUGUUGACAACCCGUGUGGAGCAAGUUUGUAAGUCUAUGGGCUGUAAGGUGAUAAAAGUGAAGCCCCUUUCAAAAGAAGAGGCAUUGAUACUAUUCUUGAGUGAAGUUGGACCUAACAUAGUGCAAAAUCAAACUUUAAUGCCAACUUUGAAGCUUGUUGUCAAGGAAUGUGCAGGUCUGCCUCUUACAAAUUGUUGUCAUAGCUGGUACAUUGAGAGGAGAAGAUGACCCUCUUAUUUGGAAAAACACACUCAGGGAAUUGAAAGAGAGAAUAGGGAAAGUGAAAGAAGGGGAAGAUAAAGUGAUCGAGAGUUUGAAAGUUAGCUUCAAUCACUUAAAAGACGAGAAAAUGAAGCAUUGUUUCAUACAUUGCGCAUUAUAUCCUGAAGAUUUUCAAAUUGGGAAGGAUGGGCUAAUUGAGUGCUGGAUUGAAGAGGGAUUCAUAGAUGAUAUGAGUACAAGACAAGAAAUGAAAGAUAAGGGCCAUGUUAUUUUGAAGAAAUUAGAAGAUAAUUGCUUGCUGGAAAAUGUCUCGAGUGAAACAGUAAAAAUGCAUGAUGCAGUGAGAGACAUGGCAUUGUCGAUCACAAGAAUGAAUCCUCGAUAUAUGAUACAAGCAGGUUCGCAAUUAGAAGAGUUACCAGAAAAGGAGCAAUGGAGUCCGGAUAUUGAGAAAGUGUCACUUAUGUAUAACUCCAUAUCAGAAAUUUCCAUAGAUGUGUUGCCCACAAAAUGUCAACUGCUCACAACCUUGUUAUUGCAGCAUAACCCUAUAAAGAAGAUCCCAUAUUCUUUCUUCACAAACAUGCCCUGUCUUAGUGUUCUCAAUUUGUCCUCUACGAAGAUCAAAAGUUUACCAAAUUCCAUCUCUGAACUAAAGAACCUCACAACAUUGUUGCUUUGUUGCUGUGUAGAAUUAAGAGAUCUGCCAUGUCUUUCGAUGCUUCAAGAAUUGAAUAAGUUGGAUCUUUAUGGGACUAACAUUGAGGAAGUCCCUGAAGGAAUGGAUAUGCUGAUAAAGCUAAGCUAUCUUGAUCUUACAGUGUUCACUCUGAAAGAGAUACCCGCUGGACUUUUACCAAAACUCGUUCACCUUCAGCACUUGAGUUUUGCUGGGAACAAUGAAAAAACAAGUCUAAAAGCAGAGGAGAUGGAACCAUUGAAGAAGUUGGAGCGCUUUACUGGGUGUUUCGAAGACACAAGUGAAUUCAAUAAGUUCAUCUCUUCAAUGCAACAAAGUAAGAAAAGUCUCAUCAAGUACCAUUUACGGGUGGGCUCAUAUUUUAUUCCUAUGUGGAGGACUCCUAAAAGAGAUAAAACAAUAGUAAUUGGAGGAGUGGACAAUUGGGAAGGUGAGUUAAUUAUGCACCCAAUUGAAAUUCAAGAGUUGCAUAUUAUUGAGUGCGACUAUGUGAGAAGCCUAGUCGAUGACAAUUCUUCCUUCAAAAAUGCGAUUGACUUGAGGGUUUGUAGGAUUUGGGGGUGUGAAGGGAUAGAGUGUGUUGUUUCCCUGUCCUUUUUUGCCUCUUCUUCCGCUCAUCCAUUUCAGAGCCUCGAGAUGUUGGAUCUUGAACAUCUGCCAAAGUUUAGUGCCCUUAUUAUGAAUGAUACAGGAAUUGGUUCAGCAACAUCAACAGUGGCUCCGUCUGCCAGCUUUUCCCAUCUUAAGGAAAUUAAGAUAAUGAACUGCUCAAGUAUGAAGACGUUGCUUCCACAUUGGUUGCUUCCAAACCUCCAAAACCUGGAAGAAAUUUGGGUGUCACACUGUGAUGAGUUAGAAGAAAUAUUGGGAGCAGCAACAUCAGAAGUUGAAGAAAAAGGGAGUGAUGCAUUAAUCAAAUUCCAUCAUCCCAAAUUGAGAAAGUUGGACUUGUGGGUAUUACCAAAUUUGAAGAGCAUUUGCAGCAAAAGUGGAGUGAUGGUUUGCGAUUCUCUCCAACUUAUCCAAGUUCUAGACUAUUAUAAACUGAAGAGAAUUUCUCUAUUUGUUCCCCUUGUUGGCAAUGGGCAGCCAUUUGCAUAUGCUCCACCUUCUCUUAUCAUCAGGUCAAUCACAGAAUGGUGGGAAUCGUUGGAGUGGGAUGACCAUCCAAACUUUAAAAAUGUUCUUCAACCCCUUUGGAAGGAUAAGAGGUGUGAACUAUUUAUGGUUUAGUUUAUUUUUUUAGUUUGAUAAAUCUAAUUUCUCCAACUCGAAUUUACUUUAAAUUAUAGAACUUGUAGUAAAAUUAUAUUUUAGUUUAUAAAAUAGGGUAUGUAAUCAAUAAAUUAUUUUUAUGCUAUCAGUCAUUACUAUUAUAUCAUAUUUACAUACAGUUAUCUAUUUUAUAUAUUUGAAUUUGAUGACCCAAAUAUUAAAAUUAUAUAUUUAGACAUCAAUACUAAUGAUUAGCCACCCAAUAGUUACUAAGAUGACAUGGCAUUGCUAAUCACUUGUCAAUAACUUGUGAAAUUGCCAUGUCAUCUUAUACGUUACAUAGCAUUUUAUUAUUUUUAAAUUAAAAAAAAGAUAAACUAUAAUUUUAACCAUUAAUUUUUCAAGAAGUUAUAUUUUAGUUAUCAAACUUUGAAAUUCAAAUUUUAGCUUAGCAGUUUUUUAGGUUUCUCAACUUUUCAUAUUCAAGUACCUUUGAGGCCCUCGGUGAACCAUUCAAUGGUUCUUCUUGGAGGUAAAACAUAUCUCCAAAAAUUGAUAGUUGGGUCUUUCCGUUAACCGUUCUACGACUUUCCACGAAUGUGAGACAUAUCUCUAAAAAUUAAUAGUCGAGGCCCUUCAUGAACCAUCCAGCGGCUCUCCAUAAAGGUGAUGCAUAACACCAAAAAUCGACAAUCAAGCCUCCCAUAAACUGUUUAGUCACUCUCCAUGAAGAUGAGGCAUAUCUCCAAAAAACGACAGUGAGAUGUAUAUAUCUCUAAAAAUAUAACUCUAGACCGUUCAAUCAACAAUUAUACAACUCGUGAUAAUAUGCAUUAUAAAUUCCUCGAUUUUUGGGCUAAUAGAUACACUACUCACCAAAUCACAAAGUGAAAUUUAUACAAGUCAGCUACGAAUAAAAACACUAUCGCUAACACAUUGUUAAAAUAGAUAAAAGGCAUGAAUUUCAAUAAUCUCAUAAGUCAUUGUACAUUCUCAAGUCAAUGACUACCAUCCAUCAAACUACAAAGUGAAUUUCAUAUAAGCCAGACGAAAGCACUAUCCAUCAAUAUACCAAUAAAAAAAAUUAAGUCAAGACUUGGAUUCAGUUCAGUAGUGCAAUCCACGGUGUGAUUCAUAAAGGUAUUUAUCCACAGUAAAGGCACCCUUCCAGCAAUGGUUCAUUUUCAUUUCACUAAAGAUCAUUUAUCGAAUGGUAGCUCGCUUUAUUACAAUUCUAAAUAUUUGUAAAUUACCACAAUUUUUAUAAGAAAAAAAAAAGCAAAUAGUUCUCGUCCAGGACGCAUGUAAGAUCAUUUAUCGAACGGUAGCUCGCUUUAUUAUAUUAGCAUAGUCUUAAAUAGUUUCUAUUGCCUCCGAAAUUAGUUUGAUUUCAAACGAUUGCUUUACCUUCAACGUUAGCAUAAUUUAAAUGCUAAUGAACAAUUACAAUACGCCAACACAAUUCUAAAUAUUUGUAAAUUAUCACAAUUUUUAUAUGAAAAAUACAAGCAAAUUGACCUCGUCCACAACACAUGUAAGAUCUGAUUUUACCUCAGAUUUUUGAAAAACAGAGAAUGAUUUAAACUAAAUGAAAAAAAAAACCUGGAGAUAAUGAUUUUUUGUAUUUAAGAUGAGAGGAAGUAAUUAGCCGAUAACUUAAAAACACUAAUAGUUAAUUAAGAAUUUAGGUAUAGGUAUAGGUAGUUGACUGUUAGGAUUUGUUAAAUUAAUGUUCUCUUACAUCUGUUUCUUUUUGGAUUAAAUCCUGAACUGCAUAAAGCAAAAACGUGAGACAAAUUAAUGUUAGCUUGUGCUCCUUCAACUUUUUCGACUUCCAUCUUACUCUGAUUUCAACAUUUCAUUACCACUCUCCAUUAUUUAUAUCUCCUUCUCCUGCAAUGGAAGCUGCAGGUUUCAGAGCUGCCAUAAAUAAGGAUUUCAUAGCUCAAGAACUAGACAAUGACAGGGAAGAUGACCAAGAAGAAGAAGGGGUUGCUAUGAGAAGGUAGGGUUCAGUGAUGGCUUGUCACAGCUUAUGCUACCAAUCUUAAGAACCAAAACAUCAACUUACUAUACUAUGAUGAAGGAUUUUAUAAAAACGUCAGGUAUCAGAAUUAAAAUUCAAUUAUCCAAGGGAACCUAAGGGAUAACAUCUGAAGGAAAUUCAGAUUGUUCAAGAACAAAUUUGAAAUUUAAUGGCAGAUUAGGUAUCCAAUCAGCUGAACCGCUAAAGCGAUUGAAAGCUUGGUAGAAUAUUAUGUUCCAAUGCUACAAAUUCAACUUUAGUUUCCUUCAUUAUAGUUUUCCUAUGUAUAGAAAGCUUAGGAUACCACACAAAAUAUGCAUAACAUUCUAUCCAACAUAAGAAAGGUACAAAAAAGAGUUCGUUAUCAUACGGAAACAGGUGAAGUUGCCACACUUACAGAUCACUAAAAUUUUACAACAAUGAUGGAAAUGUCAUCCUUGCUCUUUCUCUUUACAGCUUCCUCAGUUAGGUGCUUUGCAGCAGAUCGAGCAUCCUUAAUGCCUUUGAUAGCAUCGACAGCUUCUUGGUUUGACAUUACCUGGAAUUUAAGGAACGGACCAUUAAAUCUCAGGUUAAUGUGAUUGGAUAGGGCUUACCUUCCAUAAACCAUCACUAGCCAAUAUUAUGAGGUCAGUAUCAUCGUCGAUUGUUUCAAUGCUCACAUCUGGCUCCGAAGUAAGAUGUUUCCUUAAACUCUUGUCACCAAAUGCUCUCGCCACCACAAGCUGGCCGUCAACACGUGCGACAUCCCCUGAAACAAAAACAAUAUAUAUCAGGAAAAGCUGGUGUAACCUUGAGCGUCAUCCCCAAAAGAUCAGGCACCCAUUACCUGGAAAGUUCGAAACAAAACCACCUCUAUUUUCAAUGCUCUCCUUUCAGAAGCGGGCUCAUGAUCAACUGAAAGCUGCUUAGGCACACCGUUCUUAGAAAUCACAGCCCGGGAAUCGCCAACAUUUGCUAUUACCAGCUUCUGGCAGUUGAUCAAUAUUGCUGUCACUGCCCCAAAUCAAUGGCUUGUUCCAAUAUAUUUGUAUCCGUUAAACGAUACGCUUUCCUAAUCGCAUUCUCUGGUUCCGACCAAAAGUCGGGCUGCUCGCAUAAAAAGAAACAGAGGCGCUUAGUUAAAACUACAAGCAAAACACAGUCAAUGCAUAGGAAAAAGAUACCGUAAGAUCCAGCUUAUUAUAGUUUACCUCAUUCAAGAUAUAGUUAAACAAGUUCGCCUUCAAAUAACCGGGAAUUACAUGGCUCAAAUGGCCAUCGAAUAUGGCAAAUAAACCGAGCUCACUGCCAUUGACUUGCUUAAACUCCGGGAAAACAUAGUCCCCCAUUGGAUGAUUCGCUUUCCCCUUCACUAAAUGAUAACCAUGCGUUAUAUUCUUCGACAUCUUACUCUUCCCUUUUCCAGAUUCAGCAUUAUUAGAAGGGUUUAAGCCAACUUUUUCUUGAACUUUCUCCUGCAGUGAAUCAAUAUAAACAGCUCAAUAAGCAGUAAAUUUACACGUUUCCUAGAAAUCGCCAUUGAUGAAGAAAAACAUGCCAUCACCCGUAAAGCAUUGUGGUGGAAAUGGGUUAAUUCCUUUCCAAAAUGCAGUUAAUUGAUUCAAAACUUUUUAACAAUUUCAUUUUCUUGGGAAAUUAUUGAGGUCAAAUCAUCCAAAAACAUCCAAUUCUUCCCACAAACUAGUUCUUGGAAACAAUUUACUCCAAUUUCCAAAUUUCCAAGAAAAAACAAUCAUAAUCAAACCCCAUAUAUAAUAAAUCCAAAAUCAAUCACUUUAAGAUGCUGCAAAUGGGUGCAAAUGGGUUAUUUCAAAGAAAAAUCAUAACCCAUUUUUUCAGGAUUUUGCUUUGCUCAGUUGGAUUUAGUAAUUAUUACUUAAAACUACAAGAUUUUGGGUUUUACAAAUUAAGUAAUGGUUUUCAAAUUUUAGUACUCUAAAAUUUUCACUCCAAAAUAAAGUAAUCACUUAAAGUGUUUUUUUAUAACAAAAUAAAUAGUUUUAAUGAUUGUUUUCUUAAAAAUUGAAAAGUGAUUUGUCAGAAUUAAUAUUAUCAAAACACACAAUUUCAAUUUUAUUUUUUAGGUUUUUAAACAAGUCAAUAUAAUUCUUCUAGAUUCAACCAUAAUAAACCAGGUUUGUGGCGUUACAAUUUUUUUCCUUAAUUUAUAAAUAUAUUAUCAAUUUUUCUUUGAUUUUAUAUAAAAAAUUAAAAUCAUUUAUAUAAUAGAAAAAUGUAUAUAAAAAUCUAGAAAAAUAAAAUCUUGAAUAUGUUGUUGAAGAACUAAAAUGUAUGAGCAAUAAAGAAAAGUAUCAUUCAAUAGAAUCCAAUAACAAAUUAGAAACAAAACAAAAUAAAGAAAGUUUAGUUUCAUGCUCUUGAAGAACAUCUAGGACUGGUAUUACAUAGUGCAAAAUCAAACUUUAAUGCCAAUUUUGAGGCUCGUUGUUGAAGAAUGUGCGGGUCUACCUCUUACAGUUGUCGUCAUAGCUGGUACAUUGAGAGGAGAAGAUGACCCUCUUAUUUGGAAAAAUACACUAAGGGAAUUGAAAGAGAGAAUAGGGAAAGUGCAAGAAGGGGAAGAUAAAGUGAUCGAGAGUUUGAAAGUUAGCUUCAAUCACUUAAAAGACGAGAAAAUGAAGCAUUGUUUCUUACAUUGCGCAUUAUAUCCCGAAGAUUUUGGAAUUGAAAAGCAUGGGCUAAUUUGUUGGAACAAUGGCAGCAGCAAACAUCAAAACAAAGUUGCAACUCAGUGUUUGCAAGACUGAAGCAAGAAGAAUCGAGGCAAAGCAAAGCAAAAAUUUGGUAAAAAAAAAUCAAAAUACUCAGCAAUGUUGUGACUGAACAUACAUCAUUUUUCAUUCAACUUGAAAUAUAUAAAAGAGUUACAUUGUACAUUGACAGUUACCUAAUGUAUUUAACUGCCCCAACUAAUACAAACCUAAUCACUAGCCAAAAAAAUAAUCAAACAUAGCUGACCAAUCAGCCAUUACAUCAAAAGAUCUUGUCACUAACUUAAGUUUAACUAGUAUUACAAACAAACUAAAGUUGAACUGAACCAAAUUACAUCAAAACAAAGCAGCAAAGUUGGUUGCUUCAUUCGGUUCAAAAACCAUUCGUGCGCACCAAGCAAAAUGAGCUGAGCUCGAUAGCUGCUGGUCUCGACAGUAGCAAGCUUUUGGCUCCAUGUUGCAUUGCAGUCCAGCUUUCAACACUCCUCCUUGGACUGUAUGCAACACAUUCCAAUUGCACUUCUCAAAGAUUCAAAUCGAGCAGCCCCUAAGGGCUUGGUCAUUAUGUUAGCCAAUUGUGCUCCUGAGCUGCAAUGCACAAGGCUGACUUCCUUUGCUUGUUCAGCCUCUCUAACAAAAUGCAAUUUGAUCUUAAAAUGCUUAGUCUUGCAAUGGAACACAGGGUUCUUGGCUAUUGCAACUGCAGACUGAUUGUCCACCCAGAUUUCAGUUGCUUCAUCUUGAGUUUCAUUAAGGUCAUAAAGCAGCUUUCUUAGCCAAAUGGCCUGAUUAACUGCUCCUGCUGCAGCAAUGUACUCUACUUCAGCUGUGGACUGAGCAACAGUUUGUUGCUUCUUAGAACUCCAGCAAAACAUGCCCGAUCCAAUUGUGAAGAAGUAUCCAGAGGUACUCUUCAUGUCAUCGAGAGAUCCUGCCCAGUCGCUGUCAGAGUAGCCUUCUAGUUUCAGUUGGUUCUGACUUUCAAACAUUACACCAAAACUAGCAGUGCCCUUGAUGUAUCUAAGGAUCCUCUUUGCUGCCUUCAAAUGUGCCUCAUUGCAACAAUGCAUAAAUCUCGAUAACAGGCUGACACCAAACAUGAUAUCUGGCCUGGUUGCUGUUAGAUACAACAGACAACCAACUAGGCUUCGAUAGUGCCUCUCAUCAACCCUCUGCUGAUCACCACUGCUAGUCAGCUUUUCUCCUUGAGCCACAGGUGUGCUGACUGCUUUACAGUUAUGCAUGCAAAAUUUGUCUAGGAUCUUCAAAGCAAAUGAGUGUUGGCUGAUGAAGAUACCUCGAUCAGAUUGGUGCACUUCCAUGCCAAGGAAGUAAGUCAUGAUCCCCAAAUCUGUCAUCUCAAACACUUGCUGCAUUUGGACCUUGAACUGAUCAAUGAGCUCGAUUUUGCUCCCUGUCACAAGCAAAUCAUCCACAUACAAGGAGACUAUCAGCAAGGUUUCAUGUUCUGACUUUUUAACAUAUAGAGUAGGCUCACUAAGACUCUUUACAAAUCCAAGUUUGGUCAGGUAGGCAUCAACUCUGUCAUACCAGGCCCUUGGUGCCUGUUUCAGGCCAUAGAGGGCCUUUCUCAACUUAUACACUUUGUCUUCAUGUCCAACAACUUCAAAACCUUCAAGUUGCUCGAUGAAGAUCUCCUCCUUGAGAAAACCAUUCAGGAAUGCUGAUUUGACAUCCAAUUGGUGAACUCUCCACUGCUUCUGAGCUGCUAAAGCAAACAGCAGCUUAAUUGUAUCCAGUCUUGCCACUGGAGCAAAAGUUUCUAGGUAGUCAACACCAUACUGCUGACUGUAGCCCUUCACCACAAGCCUGGCCUUGUGCUUGUUCAGUGAGCCAUCAGCAUUGUACUUGGCCCGAUACACCCAUUUAACUCCUAUGACCCUCUUGUGUUCUGGUCUGCUCACCAACUCCCAAGUCUGAUUUUUGUUGAUCAUUUCCAACUCAGCUUCCAUAGCUUUCAUCCAGCUUCUGUUUUUAGCAGCCUCUUCAAAGUCUGAGGGCUCAAUCACAGCAACAUUGCACCUCUGAUAAACAUCAACCAAAGUUCUGGUGCCCCUCACUGGUAUAUCAUCGACAGCAUCAUUACUUGGUCCUUCUUCUGCAGGUUCAGCAACCAAGUUUAACUGGUCCAAUUCAGACAAGUCAGCCACAACACCAUUCCAAUUCCACACCUUUUCCUCAUCAAACUUUACAUCCCUGCUGACUAAAACCUUCUUUGCUGUAGGAUCAUACACUCUAUAGCCCUUCUUGUUGCUGCUGUAGCCAACAAAGAUUCCUGGAGUUGCUCUGCUCUCAAGCUUGGUCCUUUUCUCUACUGGAAUAAGUGCAUAACAUACACAGCCAAACACUUUUAAGUGUGUUACCACAGGUUUGACUCCAUGCCAAGCCUCAAAAGGAGUCUUAUCCUUGACUGCUCUAGUUGGCAGUCUGUUGAGCAGAUACACUGAGGUGUUGACUGCCUCAGCCCAAAACUGACUUGGAAGCUUGCCUUGAAACAAGAGGCACCUGGCCAUGUUCAGUACAGUCCUAUUCUUUCUCUCACAGACUCCAUUCUGUUGAGGAGUAUAGACUGUUGUGAGCUGAUGGUGAAUCCCAGCACUGUCACAAAGCUUCUGAAAUCUCUCAGACACAUAUUCAGAUCCAUUAUCAGUCCUCAAGGCUCUAAUUUUGCAGCCUGACUGAUUUUCAGCAUAAGCCUUGAAUUUGCAGAAGGCUUCAAACACUUCUGACUUUUGCUUCAAGAAGUAGACCCAGCACAACCUUGUUAAAUCAUCUAUAAACAAGGCAAAGUACCUGUUCUCACUGAUUGAAGGUGUUCUCAUAGGGCCACAAACAUCAGAGUGCACCAAUUCGAGCUUGUCUUGAGCUCUCCAAGCACUGUCAGCAGGAAAAGGUAGUCUAGCCUGCUUACCAAGCUGACAAACCUCACAAACAUUCCCACUAGCUUCAAUUUUUGAAAUGUCAUCAACCAGAUUCAGCCUAUGUAACAGAUCGAUGGAUCUAAAAUUUGCAUGGCCUAGUCUCCUAUGCCACAAGUCAGUGCUUUCAACAAGGCUGGUGUAUGCCUUUCUUUCUAUUUGGCUAACAUCCAGCAUGAAGCACCUAUCAGUCAUAGAGACUGUGACUAACUCCAGACCAUUCAUGUCUUGAACAAUACAGCAACCAUCCUUAAAAACCAAUGUAUAGCCCUUUUCAACUAAUUGGCCUACACUAAGCAAAUUCUGGUCUAAGUCAGGUACAAAAAACACAUCUGAGAUCAGCUUGUACCUGAACCAGUGCUAAUCAACACACUGCCCUUGCCUUUAGCCUCAAUCAGCCUACCAUCUCCAAUUUUAAUCCUCGAGUGGAAGCUUCUGUCUAGGCUUUUGAACAGCUUCUCAUCUGCUGCCAUAUGGUGUGAGCAGCCACUGUCUAGUAGCCAAUCAUUGCUGGCCUUGGUUGUGCCAACAAAACAAGUUGCUGUGAACACUUGCUCCUCCUGAGCUUGAAUGUCCUCAGCAGGUCUAGCUUGUUGCAGAGUAGCCUCCCUUGGUUUGCCCUUGCACACCUUCUCCACAUGGCCAAACUGUUUGCAUUUUCUACACUGAAUAUCUGGCCUAAACCAGCAAUACUUUUCUGAAUGUGUUGUCUUCUUGCAAUGAACACAUGGUGGGAACACCCUUUUUGCUUCAUCUCUUCCUGACUUGACCCUUCUAUUGUGCCAAGGCUUCUUGCCUUUUGCACUCACACUCGAGCCUUCACUGGCUUUAGCCUGGAAAGCAGCUUCAGGAUUCUCCUCCUGCCUAUUUGCCCUCCUUUGCUCAAGUGCAUAUAGGGAAUUUAUCAGCUCAGACAAUGAAAUGGCUGAUAAGUCCCUCGAGUCCUCAAGUGAAGAGAUUUUAGACUCAAAUUUCUCAGGGAGAGUUGUAAUAACCUUUUCAACAACUCUGCUCUCUGUGAAGUCCACUCCCAGGAGCCUAAUGCUGUUGACAAUGGCCAUUAUCCUGUCUGAGUACUGCUUGAUGGUCUCAGACUCCUUCAUCCUCAAAUUUUCAAAGUCUCUCCUGAGGUUGAUUACUUGCUGUUGCCUUGUCUUAUCAGUCCCCAUGAACUCCUCCUUCAGCUUCUCCCAAGCCUGCUUAGGUGAGCCACAGGCCAUGAUGCGAGUAAAUAUCACAUCAGAGACUCCAUUUUGCAAGCAGGCCAUAGCCUUAUGCUUCUUGGCUCGCUCCUCAGUAUGUUGCCUCAUCUGUGCAAUGGUGGGAUAGGCUCUCAAUGGAGGUGGUUCAGCAUCAUUCUCGAUCACACUCCAAAGAUCAUGUGCCUGGAGAUAAGUCUUCAUUUUAACUAUCCAAAUGUGAUAGUUUUCUCCAGUGAACACUGGUGGAGGUGGUGGAGUGAAACUCAUUCUGCUAAACUGAUUUUAAAUGCUUCAAUCUUACCAAAUUUUGAACUUGUUGUUGGUUUUGAUUCGAACACAACAGAUUGCAUACAAAAGCCCCUUAAAGACUCGGGCUCAUGAUACCAUUUGUUGGAACAAUGGCAGCAGCAAACAUCAAAACAAAGUUGCAACUCAGUGUUUGCAAGACUGAAGCAAGAAGAAUCGAGGCCAAGCAAAGCAAAAAUUUGGUAAAAAAAAAAUCAAAAUACUCAGCAAUGUUGUGACUGAACAUACAUCAUUUUUCAUUCAACUUGAAAUAUAUAAAAGAGUUACAUUGUACAUUGACAGUUACCUAAUGUAUUUAACUGCCCCAACUAAUACAAACCUAAUCACUAGCCAAAAAAAUAAUCAAACAUAGCUGACCAAUCAGCCAUUACAUCAAAAGAUCUUGUCACUAACUUAAGUUUAACUAGUAUUACAAACAAACUAAAGUUGAACUGAACCAAAUUACAUCAAAACAAAGCAGCAAAGUUGGUUGCUUCAUUCGGUUCAAAAACCAUUUGUGCGCACCAAGCAAAAUGAGCUGAGCUCGAUAGCUGCUGGUCUCGACAGUAGCAAGCUUUUGGCUCCAUGUUGCAUUGCAGUCCAGCUUUCAACAUAAUUGAUAGCUGGAUUAAAGAGGGAUUCAUAGAUGACAUGAGUACAAGACAAGAAACGAAAGAUAAGGGCCAUCUUGAGUGUAACAGUGAAAAUUCAUGAUGCAGUGAGAGACAUGGCAUUGUCGAUAACAAGAAUGAAUCCUCGAUAUAUGAUACAAGUAGGUUCGCAAUUAGAAGAGUUACCAGAAAAGGAGCAAUGGAGUCCGGAUAUUGAGAAAGUGUCACUUAUGUAUAACUCCAUAUCAGAAAUUUCCAUAGAUGUGCUGCCCACAAAAUGUCAACUGCUCACAACCUUGUUAUUGCAGGAGAACCCUAUAAAGAAGAUCUCAAGUUCUUUCUUCACAAACAUGCCUUGUCUUAGUGUUCUCAAUUUGUCCUCUACGAAGAUCAAAAGUUUACCAAAUUCCAUCUCUGAACUAAAGAACCUCACAACAUUGUUGCUUUGUGGUUGUGAAGAAUUAAGAGAUCUGCCAUGUCUUUCGAUGCUUCAAGAAUUGAAGAAGUUGGACCUUUCUGGGACUAAAAUUGAGGAAGUCCCUGAAGGAAUGGAUAUGCUGAUAAAGCUAAGAUAUCUUGAUCUUAGAGUGCGCACUCUGAAAGAGAUACCCGCUGGAGUUUUACCAAAACUCGUUCACCUUCAGCACUAGGGUUUUCAUGAGAACAAUGAAAAAACAAGUCUAAAAGCAGAGGAGAUGGAACCAUUGAAGAAGUUGGAGUACUUAACCAGACAUUUCGAAGACAUCAGUGGAUUCAAUAAGUUCAUCUCCUCAAUGCAACAAAGUAAGAAAAAUCUCAUCAAGUACUUUUUACAGGUGGGCUCAUAUAAUGUGUGUAUUGGAAGGGAGAAAACAGUAACAAUUGGAGGAGUCCAGAAUUGGGAAGGUGAGUUAAUUAUGCACCCAAUUGAAAUUCGAGAUUUGACUAUUACAAGGUGCGACUAUUUCAGAAACUUAGUCGAUGAUGAUUCUUCCUUCAAAAAUGCGAUUGACUUGAGGGUUUGUAGGAUUUGGGGGUGUGAAGGGAUAGAGUGUGUUGUUUCCCUGUCCUCUUUUGCCUCUUCUUCCGCUCAUCUAUUUCAGAGCCUCGAGGUGUUGUAUCUUCGUGAUCUGCCAAAGCUGAGUGCCCUUAUUAUGAAUGAUGCAGGAAUUGGUUCAGGAACAACAUCAACAUUGGCUCCGUCUGCCACCUUUUCCCAUCUCAAGGAAAUUAUGAUAGUGAACUGCUCAAGUAUGAAGACGCUGCUUCCACAUUAGUUGCUUCCAAACCUCCAAAACCUGGAAGAAAUAGAUGUGGAUGCUUGUAGUCAGCUAGUAGAAAUAUUGGGAGCAGCAACAUCAGAAGUUGAAGAAAAAGGGAGUGAUGCAUUAAUCAAAUUCCAUCUUCCUAAACUGAGAGUGCUGUCAUUCUGGGAAUUACCAAAUUUGAAGAGCAUAUGCAGCAAAAGUGGAGUGAUGGUUUGUGAUUCUUUCCAACUUAUCCAAGUUGCUGGAGACUGUUAUAAACUGAAGAGAAUUCCUCCAUUUGUUCCUCUUGUUGGCAAUGGGCAGCCAUUUGCAUAUGCUCCACCUUCUCUUACCAUCUUCUCAAGCACAGCAUGGUGGGAAUCGUUGGAGUGGGAUGACCAUCCAAACUAUAAAAAUGUUCUUUGCUUCAACCCCCGUUGAGGAUAAGAGGUAUGAACCAUUUAUGGUUUAGUUUAUUUUUUUUUAUUUUGAUAAAUCUAAUUUCUCCAUAUUAAUAAAAUUUGAAGUAUAUUUGUGAAGAUGUUGAAGAGAAAGAUAAAAGGGUUGGUGGGAAAGAAGUAGGGGAGAGGAUAGUGCAAAAGAGAGGAGAAAAGGAAUAAUGGAAGGAAGAGGUUAAGAGCAUGGAGACUGAGAGGCAAAGGUAAAUAAGAAAUCAAACUGCCUCCACUUUUUAAGCAUUUUCCCUCUCUUGCCAUUCCUUCUAUUCUCUUAUAUAUUCUUCUCUAGUAUAUAAUAUAUAUACUUCCCAAAAUAACCUUCUAAAUAUUUAUUAUUAAAAUAUUUAUAUUAAUCAAAAUGACUUAAGGUGAGACAAAACUAUGAUCAUAGUUUUAUUUCCAAUAAAAGUUAGGAAAGUAUUGUAAAAAGACAUAAUAUUUUUUAAUUUCCAUGUAAAAUUUCUGGAAACAUUAAGAUUUAAAAAAUAAUAAUAUAGUUAGAAAUUAAUACCAAGAUAGCUACCCAGAAGCAAUAUAAUGUUGAAAUCCCAAACUGUUGAACAUUUUACCUCUUAAUAUUCUAUUGCACACUUGAAUCCAGCAUUUUCUAUACAUUGAGAGGUUAAUUCUGGAUAUACAAAUUUCAUCAUGUUUCUGUCUGCCACCCAUCCAUGGCUCCAUCUAAUAAACGCCAUUGCUUCAAACUUGCAUUCAUGCUUACACUGACAUAUCAAAAAGCCAAUACAUUCACAGAUUUUCAUUAUCUGCUACUAUUAUAUAUGAUUGCGUUGCAUGGACAUAGCAAUGGAGUACGUAGAGCCUGUUCUUGGCAUUGCAAAUUGUCUCGGAACCCCGGCUUAUAAAUACUUGCUGUAUCACAGAAAGCUCAAUGAUUAUGUGAGAAACUUCAAGAGGACGAGAGAUGAGUUGAAUUGCAAAAUGGAAGAUAUAGAGUUGCAAUUGAAAGCAGAGCUUCUUCGUCCUCUGGGGAAGAUACCGAAGAAGGGAGUUGAAAAUUGGUUGAAAGCUGUGAAAGAGAUGAUUAGGGAAGCACAAGUUGUUGAAAACAAAGUCGGUAACGGGAGAUAUCUCUGUCGUGCUUGCAACGGGAAGCUGGUUGAUGAAAAGACUCGAGAAAUGAAGGAAUUUCUUGAUAACGCUCCUAAUGCCUCUGAAGGUCUUACCAUGGAUGGUCCAAGUGCUGGGUUGCUACUGCCAACAUCAGAACUAGAUGGAGAAGAAGCUGUCAGAAAUGAGAUUUGGGCAUGUUUGAUGCAGGAGGAGGUGAGGAAGAUUGGGGUUUGGGGGAUGGGCAUAAAAAAUUAUUAAAAUAGAUCAUUGCUAAUUCUCUCUUUUCUUAAUCGGUAAGUUUCUCUCUUCAAAUCCUUUUAUUUCUUUAUUGAAUCCAUCGCAUAUCAUUUGCAAACCCAUUUCUGUACAGUUUGUUUGUUCAAUUUUUCUUUUUCCAGUUUUUUUCUUGAUUUAGAUGGAAGAUUCUUUUUGUAGCAUUUGAAGAGUUUCUAAAAAUUUUAGGGUUUUCCUAAAUCUAACUUUCUUGACACCACGUGCACGUAUAAAUUCCUUUCGUGGAGAUUAUUUAUCAUGUUUGUGUGUUUCGUCUUUUGAGGUUGAGCUAUUUUUAUUUUCAAAAAUAAAUAUUUAUUUUCUUUUGCAUUUAUUUCUAAGAUCACCAUAAAUUGUUUAGGGUUGUCGAUUUUGGGGAUUUUAUGGAUAAAUUUUUUUUCAUAUCAGAUGCUCCAACUUUGUGCUUAUGAGUGAUCUUCAAACCUAGGUUAAUGCUGCUCUGACGAAUGAAGAUACUUGCAUGGAUGGAUUCUUAAGCAGGGCUAUGAAUGGGUAUGCAAAGAUGAUGGUGAGGAAACGAAUUAUUAAGAUUACACAAUUGACGAGCAAUGUUUUGGCUCUCACCAAUGACUAUUCUUCAUCUCAGAUCCUUCAUUGAUUUUCUUGAGAAAAUUUUGAUGGCAAGGAAAGCAUUGUGUUUCAUGGAUUUAUGUUCAGUAUGGGAUUUUACGAUUUUCGAACAGGACUUAAGUUUUUAAGGUAUUGUAGAUUGUGUUCUCAAUUCUAUGUUUGUGGUUCUUGAGUUUUGCAAUUGUAUCAGUUUGAAUAUGAAAUUUGUGUUAGUGUAUGUUUAGGGUUUUUUUAUUGUUCUUUUAAUAAUUUUAAAACCAUUUACUAACGUGGUAAAUAAGAGAAAAUAAUGUUAUGUUAGUAUCUAAAUUUAUUUGGACCGUCAUGUCAGAGGUUAAUGUUGACCGUUAAACAACUAACGGUCACAUCAGCCUCUAUGUUAAAAACGAACCAAUUUGUUAGAAAUUUAAAUUUUACACUAUAAAAUUAAUUUUUAAAAUUAACUAUUCAAUUUGUAAUUGAUUUUAUUAAAUUAAAAUAUUCACUAAUGUUUAAAAAUAUUCUCCAUGUUAAUUAAAAAAAUAUUUAAGAAUUCAGUUAAAUGGUAAUCAAUUUAUAUUAAAAUAUCAGCUUUAUUAGUUGUAUUAUUUCAUUAAUGUUCUUAUAAUAUUAUUUCAUUUUUAUUUAUAGACACCAACUUUAAAAUUAGAAGAGAAUUAAUUUACGAGAAGACAUGAUUCAUACUGUAAAUGAUAAAUAAGAUAUUAUAAAUUAAUAUGAUUAAAAUUUAAAUAAUACACAAAGAGUAGCAAAAUAAAUUGAAAACAUUUGAUAUGGUCUAAAUGAACUAUUUAAUAAAAGGAUUAUAUAUUUUGAAAUGGUGAUUUGAGAGACAACUAUAUAAUAAAAGGAUUAUAUAUUUUGUCUUUUAUAAAUAAUUUGUGAUCAAAGAUGACUCACAUAUGUUUUCCAAAGUUGUGGUAAAUAUAUAUAUAUAUUCCUAUCAAGCAAGUUGACAGCUGAAGGGUGCAAAUUUGACUUUGCUAAAUUCUCUAGCAUCAAAGAGGCAAGAUAUGCUGCAAACAAGACAUAAACCAAUAUCAACAUGGUGAUUCCAAAAUUCAGAAGACACUAAACCCCUACUUUUGUAUGAUAGAUGAAAUAUGAUGUACAAAUUUACAGUCAUGGAAUUAGGUGCACUGAAGAUAAUUCAGUGUUAAAAUCAAAGAAAUUUAUCAUUAUUUUUGUUAAUUGUAAAAUUGUGCAUAAACUGGAAAAAAUGUUUCAUUGCCAUUACAAGAAUUUCUUUAAAGUUAAUAGUUUGAGAGAUAAUUUUAAGUAAGAAUUGGAAGGCAUUGUUAUAAAGAGAAUCUGAAGAAAGUAAUUUCGUUUUGAGUUUCAAGUGAAAGGAAUGAAAGAAAGGUUGCUUAAAUAAAUACGGGAUUGGAUAUCGAGCUGUUUUGAAUAGUUGGAGCGAAGGACACAUGGACCAUAUGGAAUUCAAGUCUACUAAAGUAAUGCUAAUCAGGUUCCUCUUUAGAAAUGACAACUUUUCAAAACAUUAUCAAUCUACCUUGAAAGGUGGCAUCAGUGAAAGAAUCAAUCAUGAAAUAUUAAAAUUAUACUAAAAUUACUACAAAGAUUUAUUUCCCUAUAAAUAAACAUUUUCUUAUUCUUCCUUAAAAAUUAUUAACAUGAUUUUAUCUUAAUAUACAUGUGUUUAUAUAUAUUUACGUCCCAAAAUAGCCUUCUAAAAUAUUUAUUUUAAAAAAUAAUUUAUAUAAUACAUAUAACAAUUAAUUAUAAACUUAUUUUGAUAUGAUGUCAAAAUUAAAUAUUAUAACGGUCCUUUACCACAUUCAACACUAACUUUUAUUUUAUAAUUUUUGUUUAAAAAAUAAACUUUAAAUUUUAUAUAUAUAUAAAAAAGCAUGCAUAGGCUUCAAAUUUUAAGUUAAAAAUAUGGGAUAAUAGUUUACUAUAGACCCAUCCAUGGGCCCUCGACCAGAGUCGGGUCUAUAUAGAUAAAGUUUUUUAUAAUUCGGGUCAGCCCAACUCAAAUUUAAUUUAAAUAAUAAAAAAUAUUUUAAAAUUUAAAUUUAAUUAUAAAAACAUACUUUUAUUUUUUUUGAACAUUGAAAUGAGCUUUUUAAGUAGAUCGAGUUGGGUCGAAAACGGGCCCCUUUUACAAAAAUCGAUUGGCUUCUUUAUAGCCGAAUCUUUACAACCCAAAUAAUAUUUUUUUCAAUUUUUUCUCUAUUUCCCCCCCUUUUUUGCUUGAUGUUCGUGGUUUACUUGUUGCAGGUACAUGGAAACAGCAUGGGGGUUGCUACGACGUGGGGCGUGCACGGCGCUGGGGGUUGCUGUGACGUGGGGUGUGCACGACGCUGGGAGAGAAGGGGUUUCUAGAAUUAGGCUAACUGGGCUAGGCUAGAUUUGAGUUUGGGUUAUUGGUUGGGUCAAUUUUAAGUGGGCUGAGGCGAUUUGGGUAUUACAAACGCCACUAAAAAUUAAAGUUCUAAUAAAAAACGGCGCCGUUUUAUUAAGCUUUAAUGCAUAGUUCUGGCGUUUUUUGUAAAAACGCCACUAAAAAUUGAUUUACUUAAGUCAAACGGUUACGUUUUAAAAAAAUAAUUCUAAUCUUUUUAAGUAAUAUUUAUAAGAAUUAUAUAAAAUUAUAAAUUUUAGGUUUUUUUUUGUUUUUUGUUUAUUUCAUUUCUUAUAAUUUGGUCAUAUAUUUCCUAAAUAAAUAGUUAUACAUAAAUAUAUAUCCAUCCAUAUAUAUAUCAAUACUUUUUUUAACUUAUUUAUUAAUUCUAUUUAAACUAAUAUUUAAAUAUAUCAAAUCGCUUAGAUUAAAUUUUUAUAUUAUAAUUUUAAAAAAUAAUUAAUCUAAACCCAAAACCCUGAUCCGACCCUUGAAUUCCUAAACCCUAAACUAUUAACCUUUAACCCCUAACCCCUAAACUUUAAAUCUCAAACCCUAAGUCCAUACCCCCUAAUCCUUAAAAUAGUAAGCCCAUCCAAAAAAUCCCUAAAUCUUUAAUAAUCAUAAAUUAGUUAAAAUCGAUUAAACAUUAAUUAAUAGUUAAAAAUUUUGUAUAAAGUAGCAAUAAACAAUAUUAUCUUUAUAAUAUUUAUUUUUUCAUAUAAAGUUUGAAAUUUAUAAUAUUUUAUUUUAUUGAUAAAUGAAUAAAUUUCUCUAAUUAAGUAAUUUAUUAUAUUCUUUGUCAAAUAGAUAAAUGAAAACAACAAGGAGUAACAAGUAUAUGGGAUUUUUUUUAUUGAAGUGAUAAAAAUAGGAAUGAUAGCGAGUCAGGUAUAUGCAUAUUUUUGAAUGAUUUCAAUUUAAAUUCACAAAUUUAUUUAAGUAUUUAAAUGUUAUUCAUGAAUAAUUUGAGUAUUACUAUUCAAAUUCAAAUUUAAAUUAAAUAAUAUUAUCCAUCGAAUAUUUCAAUCCUAAAAAAAACCUAAAUUUAAAUUUUUAAUUUUUUUGUGGAUAUUUUCAAGUCCACAAAAACCUGAAUUUGAAUAUGGUAAAAUUAUUUUAAUAUAUAUAAUCACAAUUGUAAGAAUUUAGUAACUACUAGAUUUAUAUAUUUGAAAUUACAUUUGUUAUCUGAAUAAGAAAUGCAGAUUUAAAUAAUGGAUAUUCAAGGUAUCUUAUACCCACAUCCACUUCGAAUUCAUAUAGCAUAUAGCAAUUUUAAAAUCUGAAUCUAACUAUUAUUCCAACCUAAAAAAAAAAGUCUUAGAUCAUCAAUCUGAAUUUUCAUCUUUAACUAAAAUAUUCUUUAUUCCAUUAACAUAUGUAAGUGUCCACCGAGCUUUGUUCUUUAUUGUAAUAUUUAUUGAUUUUUUUCUAUUUCUUCAAGGAUUAUUUUUUUAUCGUGCUUUUAAUGUGGUGUUUUAUUAAUUUUUUUAGAUUUUGUUGGUUAAUAAUUUUUAUUUAUGUUGAAAAAUAAUGAAAAAAUAGUUGAUAUAUAUUGUUCGGAACCAAGAUAACUUGGUUGAAGAAAUGAAAGUGGGAGUGAAAGUGCAUUAUGAAGAAGCGUACUAUCUUUUACAAAUUUAUUAUCUCUUUUACAAUUAUAUACACAAACCAAAUCAUAUACCGAAACUAAAAACCCUAAACAAAUUUAUUAUUAUCUUUUUUACAAUUGUACAACCCAAUUUUGCCCAAAACCGGGCCCAUUACAAAACUCAAACAGACCAGCCCAAACCCGAACAACCCAGCAAACUCGGAGCCCAAUAGCUCAGGCCCAACAUCCUAAAAAAGUUGCUUAGGGUUUCAAAAAGUCUGAAACCCUAGCGCCGCAUCUAGGGUCUUUGACCCCUAGAUUUCAGCCGCCGCCGCCAUCGCCUUGCACCGCCACUGUCCCAUCGUCCCACUUGCGCCGUCACCUGCAAGGAAGAAAACAAAGAAAGCCACAGCAACCAAAGAGAGAGAAAUAAUAGAAUAUAAAAUACAUGUAAUUUUUGGGCUAUAAAAAGCUAGUGAUUAUCAUUGUAAGGGGUUCGGAUUCCCCUCUUUUACAAAUAUUUUCAAAAAUCAAAAGCAAACAAAGCGAUUGAAGGUGAUUUUCGCCUUUCACUUCUCUGUUUUUCUUACACUUUUCAUAAAAAUAUCAUUAUUUUUCGAUUUAUUUCUUUAAAAAACAAAAAAGGAGUAAAAAAUACCUUUUAGCGCCGCGCCGGAGGAAGAGGAGACGGACGGUUACUCCUCGUUUUGUGGGGUUAGGCUCGCCUUUUACAAGAUUCGGUGUUGGAUCCGUGUUUAGGAGGCCUUCGGCAUCAAAAAGGAACCGAAAAGGUUCCAUUUUGUACCUCCGGCCACCGCCUGCGGUGAGGAUACGACGGAGGUACGCCGGAGCGUUUGAUCGGAUCCAAGCCGGAGCCUUGAGAGGAGGAGGGGAGCUCUGUUGUUUUUUUAAAGAUGGGGGGGUUGAAAUGAGUUUUUAGAAAAUUUUUGGGCAUAAAUAGCCCUUUUAAAACGACGCCGUUUUGCCCUUAGGGGUCAGGUGACAAAACAACGCCGUUUUGGCCUUGACCCGCGCGGUGACCCGACCCAGGGGGAGGAUCCGCGUGUUUUCUUUAAAGGGUAUAAUUGCGCGCGCAGUCCUUCGACUCUGCAGCGCGUUUCAAUCAAGCCCCUUUUCGCUAUUUUCUUUUAUUUUCAAUCUAGCCCUAUAAUUUUAUUUUUGUUUCAAUUUAGUCCAAUGCAACGCCGCGUUUUUAGAACUCCGUCUAUUUACUAUUUUGGUCCCUCUCUGUUUGGCGCGAGUUACAAUUUAAUCCUUAUUUGUUUUUUUAUUUCGAUUUCGCCCAGUACUUUCGUUUUUAUUUCGAUUAAGUCCAUAUUUAGCAAUUUUAUUAUUAUUAUUAUUAUUAUUGUUAUUAGUAUAUUUAUUAAUAUUAUUGUCAUUAUUGUUAUGUUUUUUUAUUUCUAUUUUCUUAUGAAAGUUUUAGAUAUAUAUGUUUUAUUAUAUUAUUUUUAUUAUAUAAUUGUUUAUAUAUAUGCGUAUAUAUAUAUCUUCUUUUUUUAACUUAUUUAAUACAAAUACUCAUUUUUAUAUACAUAUCUAUCUUACAAUCUAUAUAUAUGCAUGUAUUUUUAUUAUCUUAAUAUAUACGUACAUGUUUUAGGAUAUAUAUAUAUAUACAAGUGUACAUUUAUCCCUUUGUUAGUAUUCAUGUACAUAUUUAUGUAUUUAUAUAUUUCCCUAAUAUAUACUAUAUUUUAUAUAAUAUGUUAUGUAUGUCCUAUAUACGUUCUAAUUUUCAUAUAUAUAUGUUUAAUAAUCUUAUAUAUGCAUAUUUUUAAUUUUCACAAAUACAUGCUUACAUAUUCUUAUAUGCACAUACGUAUAUUUUUAUGCUUUAUAAUUCUAAUACACACACAUACACAUACACAUAUAUAUAUAUACUAUAAUGUUAUCCAUUACUAUUGUUUCAUUUGGUGUUAAUUAAUUUAUUUAUCUACAUGCUUAUUAUUAUUAUUUGCUUAGGUGCUUUAAUUUUUAUUUGUUCAUUUACUUUUAUUUAUUGAUUUCUUUUUAUUAUAUGUUUGCCAUCUUAUUUAUUUAUCAAAAAAAACGGAAAAUUCAAAAAUAAAAACAACACUCGGUAUUUGGGAUCUUCGAGAGAAUCGAGCCCUAACGUAUUGGGUUUUGAUUUUCUUUGUUGAAUCUAAAUAAUCGAGAUUACCUUUUUUAUAAAAAAGACAUAAACGAAAACUCUUUACCGAGAAUUCAAUACGUCGUGUCCUAAUGCAUUGGACAUGAUACAUCGAUUUCUCGAGACGAGGAUUUUUCAAAAUAAUUGCAAUAUUCAAUGUUUAAUAUUUGAAGAAAUUGUACCCUAACGUAUUGGGUUGCAAUUUUUUCAUAUGACUUAAACAAUUAAACACUCUUUUAAACUUUUCUAUGCGAGUUUAGACUUGCUCAUUUCUGAAAAGGUAAGAUAUCGUACCCUAACGUAUUGGGUAUGACAUUUUCUCUUUCUGAAACGAAAAAGUCUUAAUAAGCAGCUCGAUUUUUAUAAAUUUUAUUUCAAAAUAAGGAUUGUAUUUUUAAAUUUCUUUAAAGUUCUCAGUUUUUCGACAUUAAGACAUUAACUAAUCAACUAGGUACCAAUUUUUGGGCGCUACGAGGGUGCUAAUCCUUCCUCGUACGUAACCGACUCCCGGACCCAUUUUCUGAAUUUCAUGGACCAAACUCGUUGUUUUUAAUAAAAUUAAAUUGUUUAUUAAAAACAACCAUUUUUCAAGGUGACCCGAUCACACCUCAUCAAAAAGAUCGGUGGCGACUCCCAUUUUUUUUCGUUUUUGUCAAAACCCAAGUUGACCCCGUUUUCAUCCCAAAAAAUGGUGUCAACAACAGUUAUAUAAGAACAUAUUUAAAAUAUAAAUUAAAAAACUAAUUAAUCUAAACCCAAUACCCUAACCCGACCCCUAAACCCUAGCUAAACCCUAAAUCCCUAACUCCCAACUCCCAACAUCUAACCCCGGCCCUAACCCCUAAACAUUAAAUCUCAGCCCUUAAACCAUAAUCCCUAAAUCCAUAUAUAUAUAUACUCCUGAUCAAUUAUAAUAACCUUAAAAUAGUAAUCCCUAAACCAACCUAAAAUAUUAAAUUAAUAAUUAUAUACCCUAAACCUAAAACCCUAAAUCAACAAUAGUGAUACUUAAUUCAAUAUUUUAAAUUUAAAUUAAUACUAUCUCUUUUACGAUUAUAUAAGAAUUUUUUUAAUAUAUAAAUUAAAAAAUAAUUAGGAAUCAUGUAACCAAAAAACUUUAAAAUUAUUUUAAAUAAUAGUCUUUUAAUUUUUCCAUGUGUUUUAUUUCAAAUUAAUUCUACGUGUUCUUUUUUUUCUGAAGAUUUUAAAUAUUCAAUUAGAAAUAAGUUGAAUUUUAUUUAAUUAAUAUAAAUAAUUAACCAAUUAAGGUAGAAUGUUUUUUGCGGCGCUUUCACAAAAACGUCGCUAAAAACACGAGCAUUAGCGGCACUUUUUCAAAUUGACCCUUAUUUUAUAUAAAAUUAUAAAAAAAAACUCAAAAUCAUUUAUAAAAUAGAAAAAUGUAUAUAAAAUUCUAGAAAAAUAAAAUAUUGAAUAUGUUGUUGAAGAACAAAAUUGUAUAAGAAAUAAAGAAAAAUAUCAUUCAAUAGAAUCCAAUAACAAACUUGGCAAAUAACAAAAUAAAAAAGUUAGAUCAUUACAUACUUCCUCAACGUGUCUCGAAACCAAAUUAGUAGUAUUAUCUAGUUGAGUUUCAUGCUCUUGAAGAACAUUUAGAACCGGUAUUACAGAGGCUUAUGAAAUCGACCCGGAAGUCAUUUUUUUUUAGUCAAAAGAUUACAAAAUAUACCACAAAAUUUUUUUUCAAACUCAAUUCAAGAUUUAAUUAUAUUUAAAUUAUUUUCCAUAACCCAAAUUGUAAAAACAAAUUAUGUUUCUUCUUCCAUGGUCGAGUUGGGCUUGGACAAGGUUUUUAUGUCUUGAGCCGUUACAACUUGAAUUCAAUUUAAAUAAUAAAAUUUAUUUUUAAAAUUCAAAUUUAAUUAAAAAUAUAAAAAUAUUUUUUAAUAUUUUAUUAUUUUCUAAACUCGCAAAUAGACUUUUUGGAUUGACCAAGCUAGGCUAAAAAUGGGUUAGGCUUGAAAAAAUAUUAGAUUAUUUAUAAGAGUAUAUCAAGGAGUCUAAUAAUUACAAUUUUUUUUGGAAGGUCUUAAUAACACUAGAAAUCUUAUCACACGCGUAUGCAUGUGGAAAUCACAUAUUUAUAACAUAGACUAUGUUUAAAAAUAACAUACAAUGAAUACUGAAAAGUAUAAUUUGGAACUAAUUAAUAAUAACACGUGAAAUAUGUAUGAUAUUAAAAUAAAAUUAGAUUAAAUUGAGAGUAAAACAAAAUCUAAACACAAAAACACAUCAUAUUAAGAAUACUAAAUAAAUACAAAUGUUUAUCAUUGUUUUUUCUUCAAUCUCGAGUUGGUGAUGCUAAAUCAAUAACAUUAUUUACAUACACAAAUAUAUAAAAACCUAGAACACAAAUGUUUAUCUGUUAUAAAGCAUGUAUGACAUGGACAUUUCUGACAUUUGUUAAUUCUGCAUGUGCAUUAGGGUGAGAUUUGUGUUUAUGGAGGAAGUGUGGGAGUUUAAUUCAUUUGCCAUAUUUAGUGGCUCAACCACACGUAUUUCUGCAUUUGGCGAUGAAUCACCUAAUGAUCUGGCAGUUAGACUGCGAAUAUUUUGAAAAGUUUCAUAUUGCAACUAAGUGGUGUGUAGGGUUUGAUAGGUAUUUAAUACCCUAUAUGGUGCGUAGGAAUGGUCGAAGAUGGUGUGUAACGAAUUGGAUUAAGAUUGUAAUCUACACAUGAUAUGUUCUGAUUCUGUUUCUGUAUAUAUGAUAUAUGUCUAAUUGACUUCCGAAAGCAUGUUUGAAAAUUAUAUCCAAUAUUUUUACUCUUAUAAGUUACACAUUUAGUUUGUAAGCUCACUCUCAAUUUCUCUUAUUCUUAGGUAAUCCUUAGACUUAGGUGGGUCGGUGCAACUGGAGUUCGAUUAAUUAUCUACUUGUUAUAUUUGUUAUUUUAAUAUGGUUUAUUCUGUUUUGGUUUUGGACUGUUUUUAAGUUUAGGUUUAGUUUUGUUUUAUUUAUUUAUUUAAACAUUUUUGGUUGGUUUAAAUUUGAUCUACAAAAUGUUAAAUUAUAUAGCAACAAAUCGUGUUUUCAAAAUCGGAUUCAACUAAGAAUUUUCGCUGCAAACGUAAGUGUUUUAUGAGUAAACAAUCAACAAAUUUAUCGAAAUGGUUAAGAAGGAUAUUUUCCUCAAAUAAACUCAAAUUUUACUUAAUAAGAGGUAGCAUUGUUUUAUAAGUCGACAGAUUCUGGGUUUUUAAAUAAAUUGUAGUAAUAUCUCCAGAUUUGGCCAUAACGUCUAGGCUAGGUUUGGGGUGUUACAGAGCCUAUAAGCUCACCCAAUGUUUCUAACUUCUCAAUUAAUCAACAUAUUUAGGACCAAACGACGUGCAAGAGAUCAGAUUGAGUUCUCAAUUAUUUAAAUAUGAUGGUUCAUGUUUUUAAAUUAUUCUGGACAUUCUGAUUUUUUUGGGGGGGGGUUGUAAAUCUUUUUUUGGAUUUUGCUUUGCUUAGUUGGAUUUAGUAAUUAUUACUUAAAACUACAAGAUUUUGUGUUUUACAAAUUAAGUCAUGGUUUUCAAAUUUUAGUACUCUAAAAUUUCCACUACAAAAUAAAGUAAUCACUUAAAUGUUUUUCUAUAACAAAAUAAAUAGUUUUAAUGAUUGUUUUCUUAAAAACUGAAAAGCGAUUUUCCAGAAUUAAUAUUGUCAAAGCACACAAUUUUAAAUUUAUUUUCUGGGUUUUUAAACAAGUUAAUGUAAUUCCUCCAGAUUCGACCAUAACGUAUAAACCAAGUUUGUGGUGUUACAAUUUUUGUCCUCAAUUUAUAUAUAUUUUUAUCAAUCUGACCCUGAUUUUAUAUAAAAAAAAUUAAAAUCAUUUAUAAAAUAGAAAAUGUGUAUAAAAUUCUAGAAAAAUAAAAUCUUGAAUAUGUUGUUGAAGAAUUAAAAUGUAUGAGAAAUAAAGAAAAGUAUCAUUCAAUAGAAUCCAAUAACAAAUUAGAAACAAAACGAAAUAAAAAAGUUAAGUUUCAUGCUCUUGAAGAACAUCUAGGACUGAUAUUAUAGAGACUUAUAAAAUCGACUCGACUGUCAUUUUUUUGGUCAAAAGAUUACAAAAUAUACCACAAAUUUUUUUUUCAAACUCAGUUCAAAUUUUAAUUACAUUUAAAUUAUUUUUCAAAACCCAAAUUGUAAAAACAAAAUUUGUUUCUUUUUCCAUGUUGAGUUGAGCUUAGACAAGGUUUUUAUGUCACGAGCUGUUCCAACUCCAAUUCAAUUUAAAUAAUAAAAAAUAUUUUUAAAUUUUAAAUUUAAUUAAGAGUAUAAAAAUAUUUUUUAACAUUUUAUUAUUUUUUUGAACUCUUAAAAGGUUGACUGAGCUCGGCUAAAAAUGAGUUUUGCUUGAAAAAAAUGUAGAUUAUUUUUAAGAGUAUAUCAAGGAGUCUAAUAAUUACAAUUUUUUUAAAAGGUUUUAAUAACACUAGAAAUCUUAUCACACGCAUAUUUCUUACUUUGCAAAUAAAAUAGUAUUUUUGGUAAUUUUCUUAUUGAGUUGGAACCCGAUUGAUGAGUGACACCAACUCAGUAAAAUGUUUAAUACAUAGUAUAGGUAAAACAAUUCUAAACUAAAAUUUUUAAAAGAAUUUAGGGUAAAAUUCAACUAUGGUUAAGUUUUCAUUUUGGUCACUUAAUUAAAAAAUGUUACAAUUUGAUCACUAAUAUUUUCAAAAUUAUUUUCUUUUUGUCACCCAACUGUUAAGUGGCACUUGUUUCAGUUGGUAUAAUAAUAAUUCUAGUCAUCAGUUUUUAUAUUUUCUAUCAAUUUGACUCUGAUUGUGUAUAAAAAAUUAUUAAAAAACUCAAAAUAUUUAUAAAAUAGAAAAAUGUAGAUAAGAUUUCUAGAAAAAUAAAAUCUUGAAGUUGUUGAAUAACUAAACUGUAUGAAAAAUAAAGAAAAUUAUGAUUUAAUAAAAUCCAAUAAUAAAUUAAAAACAAAACAAAGUUACAUUUUGCACCUUAUGCUUGUUCAUAAUAGCUAAUAUUCACAUAGUUUUUCAAUUCAGCCCAUUUUAGUGAUGAAUUCACUAAAUUCCAGUUAUACCAUGAAAGGAGAAGAUAACCCUCGUAUUUGGAAAAAUGCACUCGGGGAAUUGAAAGAGAGAAUAGGGAAAGUGGAAGGAGUGGAAGCUGAGGUAAUCGAGCGCUUGAAAUUUAGCUUCGAUCACUUAAAGGACGAGAAAGUGAAAUAUUGUUUCUUACAUUGCGCAUUAUAUCCCGAAGAUUUUGGAAUUGAAAAGGAUGAACUAAUUGAGUGCUGGAUUGAGGAGGGAUUCAUAGAUGAUAUGGGUACAAGACAAGAAAUGAAAGACAAGGGCCGUGUUAUUUUGAAGAAGUUAGCAGAGAAUUGCUUGCUGGAAAAUAUUACCAAUAAACGUGGUCAACCUUGCAUAAAGAUGCAUGAUGCAGUGAGAGAGAUGGCAUUGUCGAUCACAAGAAUGAAUCCUCGACAUAUGAUACAAGCAGGUUUGCAAUUAGAAGAGUUACCAGAAAAGGAGCAGUGGAGUCCGGAUAUUGAGAAAGUGUCACUUAUGUGUAACUCCAUAUCAGAAAUUUCCAUAGAUGUGCUGCCCACAAAAUGUCAACUGCUCACAACCUUGUUAUUGCAGGAGAACUCUAUAAAGAAGAUCUCAAUUUCUUUCUUCACAAACAUGCCUUGUCUUAGUGUUCUCAAUUUGUCUUUUACAAAGAUCGAGAGUUUACCAAAUUCCAUCUCUGAACUAAAGAACCUCACAACAUUGUUGCUUCGUGGCUGUUAUGAAUUAAGACAUCUGCCAUGUCUUUCGAUGCUUCAAGAAUUGAAGAAGUUGGAUCUUUCUGCGACUAAAAUUGAGGAAGUCCCUGAAGGAAUGGAUAUGCUGAUAAAGCUAAGAUAUCUUGAUCUUGGAGUGUUCACUCAGAAAGAGAUACCCGCUGGACUUUUACCAAAACUCGUUCGCCUUUAGCACUUGGGUUUUCAUGAGGACAAUGAAAAUACAAGUCUAAAAGCAGAGGAGAUGGAACCAUUGAAGAAGUUGGAGUGCUUAACUGGACAUUUCGAAGACAUCAGUGAAUUCAAUAAGUUCAUCUCCUCAAUGCAACAAAGUAAGAAAAAUCUCAUCAAGUACAAAUUACAGGUGGGCUCAUCUUUUAUGCCUGCUAGAAGAGAUAAAACAGUAACAAUUGGAGGAGUCCAGAAUUGGGAAGGUGAGUUAAUUAUGCACCCAAUUGAAAUUCAAGAGUUGCAUAUUAUUGAGUGCGACUAUUUGAGAAGCUUAGUCGAUGAUAAAUCUUCCUUCAAAAAUGCGAUUGACUUGAAGGUUUGUAGUAUUUGGGGGUGUGAAGGGAUAGAGUGUGUUGGUUCCCUGUCCUCUUUUGCCUCUUCAUCCGCUCAUCCAUUUCAAAGCUUCGAGGUGUUGGAUCUUCGAUUUCUGCCAAAGUUGAGUGCCCUUAUUAUGAAAGAUGAAGGAAUUUGUUCAGCAACAACAUCAACAUUGGCUCCGUCUGCCACCUUUUCCCAUCUCAAGGAAAUUAAGAUAGUGAGCUGCUCAAGUAUGAAGUCGUUGAUUCCACAUUGGUUGCUACCAAACCUCCAAAACCUGGAAGAAAUAUUAGUGGAUCAUUGUGAUGAGUUCGUAGAAAUAUUGGGAGCAGAAACAUCAGAAGUUGAAGAAAAAGGGUGUGAUGCAUUAAUCAAAUUCCAUCUUCCCAAAUUGAGAGAAUUGAGUCUACGUAGGUUACCAAAUUUGAAGAGCAUUUGCAGCAAAAGUGGAGUGAUGGUUUGCGAUUCUCUCCAACUUAUCCAAGUUGCUAGAGACUGUUAUAAACUGAAGAGAAUUCCUCCAUUUGUUCCCCUUGUUGGCAAUGGGCAACCAUUUGCAUAUGCUCCACCUUCUCUUACCAUCAAGUCAAGGAAAGAAUGGUGGGAAUCGUUGGAGUGGGAUGGCCAUCCAAACUUUAAAAAUGUUCUUCAACCCCUUUGGAAGGAUGAAAGGUAUGAACCAUUUAUAGUGUAGUUCAUUUUUUUAUUUUGAUAAAUCUAAUUUCUCCAUAUUAAUAAAAUUUGAAGUAUAUUUGUGAUGUUGAUGAAGAGAAAGAGAAAAGGGUUGGUGGGAAAGAAGUAGGGGGGAGGAUAAUGCAAAAGAGAGGAGAAAAGGAAUGAUGGAAGGAAGAGGUUAAGAGCAUAAAUAAAUAAGAAAUCAAACUGCCUCCACUUUUUAAGCAUUGUCCCUCUCACCAUUCCUUCUAUUCUCUUAUUCUUCUCUAAUAUAUAUAUACUUCCCAAAAUAACCUUCUAAAUAUUUAUGAUUAAAAUAUUUAUAUUAAUCAAAAUGAUUUAAGGUGAGACAAAACUAUAAUCAUAGUUUUUUCUUUUUCCAAUAAAAGUUCGGAAAGUAAUGUAAAAAGACAUAAUAAUUUUUAAUUUCGAUGUAAAAUUUCUGGAAACAUUAAGAUUUAAAAAAUAAUAAAUGCUUUUUUUUUAGAACAUAAUAUUUAUUAAACAAUAUAAUUGGAUUCAUUCAUAUGUAAACGUAAUCAUAAAGAGUAAAACAAUAAUGUACGUACUUUCAUAAAAGUAUGAUUUUAGAAAUUAAAAGUGGAAAUUAAAUAAGACAAAUUCUUUUUCUUAAGUAAUAUAAAAAUGGUAGGGAUUAACAUAGUUAAUCCACGUUUCCCAUAUAUAAAAGACAUUUUCCUUUUUCUUUUAAUUUGUGAUGGAUAAGUUGGAAAAUAAAAAUAAAAAAAACUUAGUUUCCUUCUUUUUUUUUUUUUCUUGCUUCAUUUUGUUGUCCGACUUUUAUUUUGAAGCUGAAGGUUUAAUUUUUUUUUAUUCUAAAUACCGAAAAUAUCAUAAGUUCUCAAUAAUUGUGUAGUUUGUAACGCUAGAAAGUUUACAUUUUUAAAAAAGAAAAAGUCAAAAUAGGAUGUUUUUGUUGUCAAGAGAGGCAUAGAUAUAGAGAUUCUGAAUAAAAAAAAAAACUUCGACUUUUUUUAUUUUACAUUGGCGUAAUGCCCCAAAUUUUAUGAAUUCUAGUUGUUAAGCAUGUUAAGUAAUUUGAUUGGGUGUGGUGGUUAAGUGCCUUGAAUGUUUGUUUUAAGUCUUGAGUUCAAUUUUUUUUUAAUUUUUCCUAUUUAUUUUGGUAUUAUGUUCAACUUAAGCCUUAGGGCUUAUCUCUUAUUUUGAAUGAUGAGUAGUGAUAAGGCUUUAGGUUAUCACCAAUUUAAAUUCUAUAAAAUCUGGUAAGUUGGAUUUGGAUUAACUUAAAUCUUUUUAUUUAUUUAUUUUAGUUUAAUUUUACUAAAUCUCUAUUUUCACUCAUUGUUUCAACCGUCCACGCUCUCACCCCACUUUGUACGCUACUUUCUUUUGUUUCCUUAUUCGGCCGUUUAUCUUCUUUUCUCAUCCUUCUUUCUCCUCUUUGAUUAUUCCUAAAUACUACAGUUUAUUUUGUGAGUUCUGUCACUUGAAUCGUAUUCUGUUUGCAAUGUUAGUUUUAUUUGGUUACUUUUGUUAUAUUUCCAUUAAUAGUUUUGUUUUGUUUUGUUUCUUGAACAAGUUGAGUUUGUGUUGGUAUUUUCUGUUCGUUGUCAUGAUUAGUAUUUUUGUGGUUCUCGAUUAGGCGAAAGGUGUGAGAAUCCUAACAUUCCAGCAAAGUAGACACAAUUUUCGAUGUUGUUUUGGAUAACUAAGUAUUCAAAAUCUAUUUUAGGGGCUGAAAUUUUGAUUCAACGAUGUUAUUUUGGAUAAGUAUUGUUAGUUAAUCGGUGUGGUUUGAUGAACGUUUAUAGGAUUCGUGAGUUUCAAUUGAGCGGUUGAUCAAAUCAGCAAUGGGUUGAUGAAAUUAACCCGAAAACUCAAUUGAAACUCGAGAAAUCUAGGGGCCACGCGACUAUGUGGGAAUUUUGGCCAAUUUUAAGCCCUAAUUAGGGGCCGAUUAAAGGACUCAAUUAUUGGGCAUCAUAUAAGCCCAAAAAACUAUAAGUUUUAGUACGUAUAUAUACUUGGCUAAGCUUAGAAGGUAUGUUAAGUAGGUGGUAUAUAAAUCAUAUGCUACGUUAUGUUUCUUAUAAAAAUAUAUGUAUGCAUGUCAUACAAAUUAUGAUAUAUGUAUUUAUGGUAUUAUAAUUAUGAUUAUGCCUAUGUUUUGGGAUGGGUUAUGAUAUGAUGGAGGAAACGUUAUAUGAUAGUUUUUACCGCAACUAUGACGAUAAUACUAUAAAAUUUUUAUCUGAUAGCUCAGUUGCAUAUUUAUGAGUGACAUACUGCCACAUAUUGGUGUGAUUGGAUGGAUGGAUUCUUGGAGUCGUAAUUGGUGAUAUUGCUUGGACGGAGAUGAUAUGUAGCAAUUGGGGGUAUGAUAUGAUAUGAUGUGGGAUAUGAUAUGAUAAGAUAAGAUAUGAAACAUGCUAUAACAUGAUAUGAAAACUGAUAUGAUAUAAGAUAUGCUCCGAUAUGCUAUGAUACAUUAUGAUUUAUAUAUGUACUGCAAUGUGUGGGUCAAAUCACACGUUGGAUGUUAAGCUCACAUGUUUGUUUAUUUUGUUUCAGGUGAUCUUCAGACUUAGGAUUGGACAAUGACUCUAAAGCUCAUAUUUCACUCUUUCGGUUUAAGUAUGCAUUAGACUCUCUUUUGUUUAUGUAGACUUUUUGGGCUUUUGGAUAUUUUAAAUUUAUUUGGGACACUAAAAAUUAUUUUAGCAUUUAUUUUUCAGAAGUUUUAACUUUUACCCAUACUUAAAUCAAGACAACUAAAAAUAAACUAUAGUUAUAAGGUAAAUUUGCUAUAAUGCUUUCUGCUAUAAUGUUGUCCUCCGCAAGUUUUAUUUCAAUUUGCUAUAAUGUUGUCCUCCGCAAGUUUUAUUGAAAUUUGCUAUAAUGUUUUAUCUCACAAACAAAGUAAAUAAAUUAAAUGCAUUUUGAUAAAAUUAAUAAAUAUGGCUUUCUUCAAUGUACUCACGGGUUUUCAAAAAUGAUACGUCUUCAAUAGGUUUUCACUUGAGUUAAAUAGUUUUUUGCCAAAAUGAAGUAAAAUUGUUCUUUUAAUAAUUUUAAAACCAUUUAUUGGUGGUAUAUAAGAGAAAAUAAUGUUAUGUUAGUAUCUAAAUUCAUUUGGGCCGUCAUGUCAGAGGUUAAUGUUGACCGUUAAACAAAUAACAGCCACAUCAGCCUCUAUGUUAAAAACAAACCAAUUUGCUAGAAAUUUAAAUUUUACACUAUAAAAUUAAUUUUUAAAAUUAACUAUUCAAUUUGUAAUUGAUUUUAUUAAAUUAAAAUAUUCACUAAUGUUUAAAAAUGUUCUCCAUGUUUAUUAUACCCUUGUUUGUUCUUUUUUUUUUUAAUUAUUUAAGAUUUCAGUUAAAUGGUAAUCAAUAUAUAUUAAAAUAUUAGUUUUAUUGGUUGUAUUAUUUCAUUAAUGUUCUUAUAAUAUUAUUUCAUUUUUAUUUAUAGACACCAACUUUAAAAUUAGAAGAGGAUUAAUUUACGAGAAAAUAUGGCUCAUACUGUAAACAAUAAAUAAGAUAUUAUAAAUUGAUAUGAUUAAAAUUUAAAUAAUAUAGAAAGAGUAGCAAAAUAAAUUGAAAACAUUUGAUAUGGUCUAUAUGAACUAUAAUAAAAUGAUUAUAUAUUUUGAAAUGGUGAUUUGAGAGACAACUAAUCAAUCCUACUAUUUUGUCUUUUAUAAAUAAUUUGUGAUCAAAGAGCCAUCAAAGAUGACUCACAUAUGUUUUCCAAAGAUAUGAUAAAUAUAUAUAUAUAUAUUCCUAUCAAGCAAGUUGACAGCUAAAGGGUGCAAAUUUGACUUUGCUAAAUUCUCUAGCAUCAAAGAGGGAAGAUAUGUUGCAAACAAGACAUAAACCAAUAUCAACAUGGUGAUUCCAAAAUUCAAGACAGUAAACCCCUACUUUUGUAUGAUAGAGAUAAUAUGAUGUACAAAUUUACAGUCAUGGAAUGUAUUAGGUGCAUUGAAGAUAACUCAAUGUUAGAAUCAAAGAAAUUUAUCAUCAUUUUUGUUAAUUGUAAAAUUGUGCAUAAACUGGAAAAAAAUGUUUUGAUUGCCAUUAUAAGAAUUUCUUUGAAGUUAAUAGUUUGAGAGAUAAUUUUAAGGAGGAAUUGGAAGGCAUUGCUAUAAAGAGAAUCUCAAGAAAGUAAUUUCAUUUUGAGUUUCAAGUGAAAUGAAUGAAAGGAAAGGUUGCUUAAAUAAAUAUAGGAUUGGAUAUUGAGCUGUUUUGAAUAGUUAGAGCGAAGGACACAUAGACCAUAUGAAAUUCAAGUCUACCAAAAUAAUGCUAAUCAGAUUCCUCUUUGGAAAUGACAACUUUUCAAAAAAUUGUCAAUCUACCUUGAAAGGUGGCAUCGGUAAAAGAAUCAAUCAUGAAAUAUUAAAAUUAUACUAAAAUAACUAUAAAGAUUUAUUUCCCCUAUAAAUAAACAUUUUCUUAUUCUUCCUUAAAAAUUAACAUGAUUUUAUCUUAAUAUACAUGUAUAUAUAUAUGUCUCAGAAUAGCCUUCUAAAAUAUUUAUUUUAAAAAAUAAUUUAUAUAAUACAUAUAACAAUUAAUUAUAAACUUAUUUUGAUAUGAUGUCAAAAUUAAAUAUUAUAAUGGUCCUUUAUCACAUUCAACACUAACUUUUAUUUUAUAAUUUUUUAAAAAUAAACUUUAAAUUUUAUAAUAAAAAGGCUUCAAAUUUUAAAUUAAAAAUUUUAAGUCAAAUUUUAAGUUAAAAGAACAUGUUCUUUAGCGGCGCUUUUAAAAAUAAACGCCGCAAAUGUUUGUGGCGUUGUCAUGAAGCGCCGCAAAUACUUUUAGUGGCGCUAAAAAGCGCCGCUAAAGGCUUAAAAAAAUGCCGCUAAAAACCUGUUUUGGUGUAGUGCCUUGACCAGAGUCGGGUCUAUAUAGAUAAAGUUUUUUAUAAUUCAUGUCGGUCCAACUCAAAUUUAAUUUAAAUAAUACAAAAUUAUUUUUAAAAUUUAAAUUUAAUUAUAAAAAUAUACUUUUAUUUUUUUGAACAUUGAAACGAGCUUUUUAGGUAGAUCGAGUUGGGUCAAAAACGGGUUUGGACUUGAAAAUUUUUAGAUUAUUUUUAAGAGAAUAAUAAUAUCAAGGAGUCUAAUAAUUAAAAAUUUUAAAUUAAAAUUUUAUUGUUUGAAAUCUUCUAAUAACAUAAAAAAAUUAAACUAAAGUUUUUAAAAGAAUUUAGGGUAAAAUGCACCAUUCGUCACUCAACAAAGGGUCAAUUUUCAUUUUGGUCACUAAACUAAAAUAAGAUACAAUUUGGUCACUAAUGUUUCUAGAAAAAAAAUUUUGGUCACCCGACUGUUAAGUGGCACUUACUUUAGCUGGUAUGAUAACAAUUUUUGUCACAUUCCAAAAAUCAAGUUAGUAGAAAUUGGGUUAGUGAAACCAAGAGUGGUCACAUCCUAUUUUUGAGUUAAGAUUGUGAAAAUUACGUUAAGUAAAUUGAUUUAGUUAAGUGGUUAAGUGCUUUAGAUGUGUGUUUAAGGUUUUGUGUUCAAAUCUUUCCCCUUAAAUUUUCAUUGUAUUGUCCUAACUUCCAUCUCUAAACAUCUAGCUUAUAUAUUAUUUUUGUUCAAUUGAUUAUAAGAAUGAGUUUGCUCGUUUAGUGGUAAGGCUUUAGUUUACUUAGAGUUCUUAUGUGUGUAAAUUGGAAUUAUUUUUGUUUUUAAACUCUGAGAAUUUUUUUAUAAGGAUAACUAAUCAAAUUGAGUGGGGAAGUUUUCCACUUUCCUACAAAAUUUCCCCAAAAUUUGCCUCAUUCUGUUGUCCACUUCUUGCCACAUUGUUCACGUUUUCUUUUCCCUUUUUUUUUCCAUCUAAUGAUUUCUAUUUUCUUUUUGCUUUAGUAGUUUUGCUGCCUUCCUUUCUCAUCUUUACUCUACUAUUUUCUUUUAUGUUAUUCUAUUGGUAUGCUAUUGAAUCUCUGUUAUUCCUUCGAGUAAGUGUUGGUUAUUUGUUUUAUAUAAAUGUGGUGUUGGGUUAAUCUUUCAAGUGAUUGAUGGUUUCAAGUUUGAUCUUUGCAAUGUGUUGACAUUUGUUAAUUCUGCAUGUGCAUUAGGAUGAGAUUUGUGUUUAGGAGGAAGUGUGGGAGUUUAAUUCAUUUUCCAUAUUUGGUGGCUCAACCACAUAUAUUUUUGCAUUUGGCGAUGAAUCACCUAAUGAUCUGGCAACUAGGCUGCGAAUAUUUUGAAAAGUUUCAUACCGGCACUAAGCAGUGUGUAGGGUUUGAUGGGUAUUUAAUACCCUAUAUGGUGUGUAGGGAUAGUCAGAGAUGGUGUGUAGCGGAUCGGAGUGGGAUUGUAAUCUACAUUUAAUAUGUUCUGAUUAUGUUUCUGUAUAUGAUAUAUGUCUGAUGGACUUCCUAAAGCAUGUUUGAAAAUUAUAUCUGAUAUUUUUACUCUUAUAAGUUACACAUUGAGCUUGUAAGCUCACUCUCAGUUCCUCUUAUUCUUAAGUAAUCCUUAGACUUAGGUGGGUCGGUGCGACUGGAGCUCGAUUAAUUACUUCUUGUUAUAUUUGUGAUUUUAAUCUUGUUUAUUCUGUUUUGGUUUUGAACUAUUUUUAAGUUUAGGUUUAUUUUUGUUUUAUUUAUUUAUUUAAACAUUUUUGGCUGGUUUAAAUUCAAUCUGCAAAAUGUUAAAUUAUAUGGCAAAAAAUCGUGUUUUCAAAUUUGGACUCAAUUAAGAAUUUUCACUGCAAACAUAAGUGGUUUAUGAGUAAAUAAUUGAAAAUUUUAUCGAAAAGGUUAAGAAGGAUAUUUUCCCCAAAUAAACUCGAAUUUUACUUAAUAAGAGCUAGCAUUGUUUUAUAAGUUGAACGGAUUCUAGAUUUUCAAAUAAAUUGUAAUAACAUCUCCAGAUUUGCCCAUAACGUCUAGGCCGGAUUUGGGGUGUUACAGAGCCUAUAAGCUCACUUAGUGUUUCUAACUUCUCAAUUAAUCAACAUAUUUAGGACCAAACGACGUGCAGAAGAUCAGAUUGAGUUCUCAAUUAUUUAAGUAUGAUGGUUCAUGUUUUUAAAUUAUUCUGGACAGUCUGAUUUUUUUGGGGGGGUUGUAAAUCUUUUUCCGGAUUUUGCUUUGCUUAGUUGGAUUUAGUAAUUAUUACUUAAAACUACAAGAUUUUAUGUUUUACAAAUUAAGUCAUGGUUUUCAAAUUUUACUACUCUAAAAUUUCCACUACAAAAUAAAAUAAUCACUUAAGUGUUUUUCUAUAACAAAAUAAAUUGUUUUAAUGAUUGUUUUCUUAAAAACUAAAAAGCGAUUCGCCAGAAUUAAUAUUGUCAAAACACACAAUUUUAAAUUUAUUUUCUAGGUUUUUAAACAAGUUAAUGUAAUUCCUCCAGAUUCGGUCAUAACGUAUAAAUCAGGUUUGUGGCGUUACAAUUUUUGUUCUCAAUUUAUAUAUAUAUUUAUCAAUUUGACCCUGCUUUUAUAUAAAAAAAUUAAAAUCAUUUAUAAAAUAGAACAAUGUAUAUAAAAUUCUAGAAAAAUAAAAUCUUGAAUAUGUUGUCGAAGAACGAAAAUGUAUGAGAAAUAAAGAAAAGUAUCAUUCAAUAGAAUCCAAUAACAAAUUAGAAACAAAAUGAAAUUAAAAAGUUCAUUUUCAUGCUCUUGAAGAACGUCUAGGACUGAUAUUAUAGAGACUUAUAAAAUCGACCCGACUGUCAUUUUUUUGGUCAAAAGAAUACAAAAUAUACCACAAAAGUUUUUUCAAACUCAGUUCAAAUUUUAAUUACAUUUAAAUUAUUUUUCAAAACCCAAAUUGUAAAAACAAUAUGUGUUUCUUCUUCCAUGGUUGAGUUGGGCUUAGACAAGGUUUUUAUGUCACAAGUUGUUCCAACUCCAAUUCAAUUUAAAUAAUAAAAAAUAUUUUUAAAAUUUAAAUUUAAUUAAGAGUAUAAAAAUAUUUUUUAACAUUGUAUUAUUUUUUGAACUCUCAAAUGGACUUUUCUAGGUUGACUGAGCUUGGCUAAAAAUGGGUUAGGCUUGAAAAAAUUUUAGAUUAUUUUUAAGAGUAUAUCAAGGAGUCUAAUAAUUACAAUUUUUUUAAAAGGUUUUAAUAACACUAGAAAUCUUAUCACACGCAUAUAUCUUACUUUGCAAAUAAAAUAGUAUUUUUGGUAAUUUUCUUAUUGAGUUGGGACCCGAUUGAUGAGUGACACAAACUCAGUAAAAUGUUUAAUACAUGGUAUAGAUAAAACAAUUCUAAACUAAAAUUUUUAAAAGAAUUUAGGGUAAAAUUCAACUAUGGUUAAGUUUUCAUUUUGGUCACUUAAUUAAAAAAUGUUACAAUUUGAUCACUAAUAUUUUCGAAAUUAUUUUCUUUUUGUCACCCGACUGUUAAGUGGCACUUGUUUCAGGUGGUAUAAUAAUAAUUCUAGUCAUCAGUUUUUAUAUUUUCUAUCAAUUUGACUCUGAUUGUGUAUAAAAAAUUAUUUAAAAAACUCAAAAUAUUUAUAAAAUAGAAAAAUGUAGAUAAGAUUUCUGGAAAAAUAAAAUCUUGAAGUUGUUGAAUAACUAAACUGUAUGAAAAAUAAAGAAAAUUAUGAUUUAAUAAAAUGCAAUAACAAAUUAAAACAAAACAAAACAAAGUUACAUUUUGCACCUUAUACUUGUUCCUAAUAGCUAAUAUUCACAUAGUUUUUCAAUUCAGUCCAUUUUAGUGAUAAAUUCACUAAAUUCUAGUUAUAGCUAAACAUAUAGAUGAAAUCAAGUACAAAUUACACAUAAUAUAAAACCAGAUAGUAAGUUUCAUAUUUAAUGUCACACCCUAAUACAACUCAUUCACUUGUAUAUUUAAUUUCAAGUUGUAUAUUGAAUACUGACAACUUCAACAAUGCAAAAAAUUUAGUAAUGGGGUGCGAAUAACUAUACCUAAUGCAACUCCUUUACUUGUAUAUUUAAUUUCAAGUUGUAACUUAUAAUUAUGCAUUCUUAUACCCUGCCGUCCCAACUAUUAUUAUUAUUAAAUAUUAUUUAUUGCCAACUUCAAUGAUUUUGUUUUGAUGUCCAAGGUCUAUCCCCAAAUUUCAAGCAUCCUGUCAAGCUAAUUUUCUUUCAUUUGCUUAAUCCAUCACAUGCUUUUCUUUGCUUGAUUCAUGACUUUGCAAUUUCACACCCUAAUACAACUCAUUCCUAAUACAACUCAUUGACUUGUAUAUUUUAUUUCAAGUUGUAACGUAUGAUUAUGCAUUAUUAUACCCUGCUGUCCCAUACUUUUCCAUUAAUUAUUAGAUUUAAUGAUAAAUUUAGCCUUUAACAUUAGAUUAUUUUAUUAAAAUGGCCCUAAUUGUGUUUUUGAGGGUUUUUUUUUUUGCUUAUCAACCUUCGUUCUUUUUUUUUUAGGUAUCUGAUCAGCUGAACCGCUAAAGCGAUUGAAAGCUUGGUAGAUUAUUAUGUUCCGAUGCUACAAAUUCAACUUUGGUUUCCUUACUUCAUUAGACAGUUUCAUUAUAGUUUGCCUAUGUGUAGAAAGCUUAGGAUACGACACAAAAUAUGCAUAACAUUCUAUCCAACAUUAGAACGGUACAAAAAAAAAGUUAGUUAUUAUGAUGGAAAUGUCAUCCUUGUUCCUCUUAACAGCUUCCUUAGUUAGGUGCUUUGCUGCAGAUCGAGCAUCCUUAAUGCCUUUGAUAGCAUCGACAGCUUCUUGGUAACGGACCAUUAAAUCUCAGGUUCAACAUGUAGGUUCAAUAAAAGAAAAAUGUGAUUAGAUAGGGCUUACCUUCCAUAAACCAUCACUAGCCAAUAUUUUAAGGUCGGUAUCAUCGUCGGUUGUUUCAAUGCUCACAUCUGGCUCCGAAGUAAGAUGUUUCUUUAAACUCUUGUCACCAAAUGCUCUUGCCACCGCCAGCUGACCAUCAACAGGCACGACAUCCCCUGAAACAAAAACAAUAUCAGGAAAAGAUGGUGUAACCUUGAGCGUCAUCCCCAAAAGAUCAGGCACCCAUUACCUGGAAUCCAAUAUAUAUUUUUUUGGACCCAUAUCAUGGUUUCAAACAGGUCAUUAGAAAAUUUUGUAAAACCUUAAAAAGAAUAACCAGUACCACACUAAGGUAUCUCUUGUUCUUAAAAAGAAUAAACAGUUCAUUGAAUAACUAAAUUGUAUGAGAAAUAAAACAAAUUACCAUUCAAUAAAAUCCGAGAACAAAUUAAAAACAAAAUAAAACCAAAAAAAGCUUCCUCAUUGUUUCUCAAAAUCAAAUUAGUAAUAUUAUCAAGUUGAGUUUCAUGCCCUUGAAGAACAUCUAGAACUCAUAUUACCAAGUCUUAUGAAAUUGAUCCUAAUGCCAUUUUUUUAGUCAAAAGAAUACAAGAUAUAUAACUAAAUUUCCUUUUUCAAACUUAAUUCAAGUUUUCAUUACAUUUAAAUUAUUUUUCAAAACUCAAAUUAUUAAAAUAAAUUAUAUUUAGAAACAAAAUUUUAUAACGUAAAAGCUAUGUCAAGAAACAUAGAACAAAUAAUUUUGCUUAAUGUUUUUCUACGUUUUUUACUAAAGAACGUGUAUUGGAUAUUUCGAUACAGAUAAUAUAAAUAAAUUUUGUACGGCUUAAAAACAAUUAUCUCUCAUUUUCUCUCACUUUAUUUAUUUUUGAAUAUUUUAUCUACUUUUAUUUAAUUUUUUAUUUUAUAAUGUUCUAAAUUUUUUUAAAAAAAUUAAUUUUUACCACUUUAUAUAUUAUCAAGAUCAAAUUGACUAAAAGUAUAAAAUUUGAGGAUUAAAAUUGUUAUUAUAUCAAUUAAAAAAGUGUCACUUAACAUUUGAGUGACAAAAAAAUAAUUUCAAAAACAUUAGUGAUGAAAUUGUAACUCUUUUAAUUAAGUGACCAAAACAAAAAUACCCAUAGUUUAGUGACUAAUAGUGUAGCCUUUUUUUGGUAAAAUGAAAAUUUGACCCUAAUUUUAUAUAAAAAACUCAAAAUUAUUUAUAAAAUAGAAAAAUGUAUAUUAUUCAACAUAGGGUUUUUUAUCCAAAUCAUACAAAAAUAAUAAUUAAUGACGAAAAUGAUAUGGAAAAUAAAUUAAUUACAAAAACAAGUCAUUUGUUUCGAUGUUCUGCUGGUGUUGUCUGACAUAUUGGCAACACCAGACUAAAAUGUGAUGACCAAAAAUAUUCAAAGACUUGAUAUGUAAAUUUCUCAUUUUGAUUAUCUGUUGAAAAUAAGCUCUAAGGGUGUUGUGUGACAGUGUGGCGGCUCAAAAUCUUAAAUAGUUUUAAUACUUGCAAAAUCAAUACUUCAUCCAAUACAUUCACAAAUUUUCAUUGGUUUUAUUUGUUUUGUUUUAGCUUCUUCUUUUUUUAAUUGUUUUAUUUUUAUUUUUAUUUUACUUUUUUUCCAUUUAUUAUCUUUUGAAUUAUAAUUUUAUUUUUAUGGUUGUUUCUAAAGUUGUAACCUUUUAAUCUUCUUCAGUAUUUGUGUUUAGUUUCUUGUUAGUUUGCUCAAAACUAUGCACUACACCUUCAGUUGCCUACAAUUCCAGUUUUGCAAUUUUAUAUAUAUUAAGGUAGUUUCAAUUUUCUCCCUCUCUUAUGAUAUUCUACUUAGUUUGUGUUUAUAUCUGGUUGUACAUUGAGCACAAUGUACAUUUUAAGUGUGGGGAGGUUAUUUAUAUAAUUAUUAGAAAAUUCUUGAAUUAUUUGUGGUACUUAAGUAAUUUUCUCAUGCUUCCAUUAGAAUGAAUUUUUAUCGAUUUGAGAUUUUUAUUGAUAUUGUUUUGGAUUAAUUUGUAGAUACUUGUGUAUUGGUUGAUUUAAACUUUAAGACAUAAGAGAAUCAAGCACGAUAAGUUAUUUUUUACAAAACAAAUUUCAGUUGUUUCCCUAAAUUUAAGUAUUAUUUUGAAGUUUGAGAUUUGCAAGUUUGACGUCAAAAACUAUGAUUUUUUUUUGAGAUUUUGAGAUUUUCAGCCACUAAGUCAGGUAAUAAGACUGAAGCUAUGAUUUCCUCUGCUGAUUAUCAACAGUUUUAGAUUUCAAGACUGGAUGAUCAGCAGACAUAAUCUACUUUAGAUAGAAAUUAAUACCAAAAGAGCUACCCAGAAGCAAUAUAAUGUUGAAAUCCCAAACUGUUGAACAUUUUACCUCUUUAAUGUUAAAACUCAUUGCUAAUACAACUCAUUGACUUGUAUAUUUAAUUUCAAGUUGUAUAUUCAAUACUGACAACUUCAACGAUGCAAAUCAUUUAGUAAUGGGGUGCGAAUAACUAUACCUAAUGCAACUCCUUUACUUGUAUAUUUAAUUUCAAGUUGUAACUUAUAAUUAUGCAUUCUUAUACCCUGCCAACUAUUAUUAUUAAAUAUUAUUUAUUGCCAUCUUCAAUGAUUUUGUUUUGAUGUCCAACGUUUAUCAUAACAUUUCAAGCAUCCUGUCAAGGUAAUUUUCUUUCAUUUGCUUAAUCCAUCACAUGCUUUUCUUUGCUUGAUUCAUGACUUUGCAAUGAUUGUUUCUGAUUAUCUGCUAUUCUUCGGAGCUAGCUUUGUAAGACAGUCAAGGAAGAAGUGAACUUCACUGCUUCAUUUUUAGUUCUAUUCUCUCGACACUUUUCAGCCACUAAGUCUGGUAAUAAGAUCUGAAGCUAUGAUUUCCUCUACUGAUUAUCAAUAGUUUUAGAUUUCAAGACAAGAUGAUUAGCAGACAUAUUCUACUCUAGAUUGAAAUUAAUACAGAAAGAGCUACCCAGAAGCAAUAUAAUGUUGAAAUCUCAAACGGUUAACAUUUUAGCUCUUAAUAUUCUGUAAUGAACUGUUGCACACUUGAAUCUAGCAUUCUAUAUACAUCGAGAGCUUAAUUCUGGUGACCAGAAUUUCAUCAUGUUCCUGUCUGCCACCCAUCCAUAGCUCCAUCUAAUAAACGCCAUUGCUUGAAACUUGCUUUCAUGUUUUCCUUUUCAUGCUUACACCGACAUAUCAAUACUUCAUAAAAUAUCCAAUCCAUUCAAAGAUUUUCAUUCUCUGCUACUGUUAUAUAUGAUUGCAUUACAGGGACAUAGCAAUGGAGUAUGUAGAGCUUGUUGUCAGCAUUGCAAAUUGUCUCGGAACUCCUGUUUGUAAAUAUUUGCAAUAUCACAGAAAGCUGAACGAUUAUGUGAGAAACUUCAAGAGGAUCAGAGAUGAAUUGAAUUGCAAAAUGGAAGAUAUAGAGCUGUAAUUGAAAGCAGAGCUUCUUUGUCCUCUGGGGAAGAUACCGAAGAAGGGAGUUGAAAAUUGGUUGAAAGCUAUGAAAGAGAUAAUUAGGGAAGCACAAGUUGUUGAAAACAAAGUCAGUAACGGGAGAUAUCUCUGUCGUGCUUGCAACGGGAAGCUGGUUGAUGAAAAGACUCAAGAAAUGGAGGAAUUUCUUGAUAACUCUCCUAAUGCCUCUGGAGGUCUUGCCAUAGAUGGUCUAAGUGCUGGGUUGCCGCUGCCAACAUCAGAACUAGUUGGAGAAGAAGCUGUCAGAAAUGAGAUUUGGGCAUGUUUGAUGCAGGAGGAGGUGAGCAAGAUUGGGGUUUGGGGGAUGGGCGGUGUGGGUAAAACCACUAUCAUGAAGCACAUCCACAAUGAUAUUUUGAAACAACAUAGAUUCGAAAGAGUAAUCUGGGUUACCAUAUCAAAGGAGUUCAAUGUAAUGAAGGUACAAGAUAAUAUUGCAAGUGCGUUGAAGGCGAAAGAAUAUUUAGACAAAGAAGAGGACAAGCUCAGACGAGCAGCAAUCUUGUCAGAAAUGCUGAAGAACGCAGGAAAGCAUGUUCUAAUCCUAGAUGAUGUGUGGGAUAAAGUCUCUCUAGAGGAAGUUGGGAUCCCAGAGCCGAGUGGCAGCUCUGGCUGCAAGUUGGUAUUGACAACCCGUUCGGAGCAUGUCUGUAAGUAUAUGGGUUGUAAGGUGAUAAAAGUGAAGCCCCUUUUAGAAGACGAGGCAUUGAUACUAUUCUUGAAUAAAGUUGGACCUAACAUAGUUCAAAGUCCAACUAUAAUGCCAACUCUGAAGCUUGUUGUCAAGGAAUGUGCGGGUCUACCUCUUACAAUUGUCAUGGUAGCUGGUACCAUGAAAGGAGAAUAUAACCCUCGUAUUUGGAAAAAUGCACUCAAAGAUUUGAAAGAAAGAAUAGGGAAAGUGGAAGGAGUAGAAGCUGAGGUAAUCGAGCGCUUGAAAUUUAGUUUCGAUCACUUGAAAGAUGAGAAAGUAAAAGAUUGCUUCUUGUAUUGUGCUUUAUAUCCUGAAGAUUAUGAAAUUCAUAAGGUUGA